CCUAACCACCUUGUUUCUUCCUGGUCUGGUAAUGACCCCUGUGAAGGGCCAUGGUUGGGAUUGUCCUGCGCCGACCAAAAGGUUUCCAUCAUAAAUUUGCCUAAGUUUGGUUUUAAUGGUACCUUGAGCCCUUCUCUUGCAAACCUAGAGUCUCUUUCUCAAAUUAGACUUCCAUCCAACAAUAUAACAGGUCAGGUUCCCACUAACUGGACUAGCUUGAAAUCUCUGACAUAUUUGGAUUUGAGUGGCAAUAACAUUUCCCCUCCAUUUCCAAACUUCAGCAAAACAGUAAAACUUGUCCUAUAUGGCAAUCCUCUAUUAAGCAGUAAUCAGUCUACUACACCGGGAAACAGUCCGUCAUCUGGAGGUUCACAAUCAUCCUCUGGCUCAGCUUCACCAACCAUGGGAUCAAAUUCUGGCACCAGUGAUUCGUCUGAAGAACCAACCAAAAAUAAAAAUUCCAAAGGGCCCAAGUUAGUUGUAAUUGUAGUCCCUCUUGCGAGUUUUGCACUUCUUGUUUUUCUGGUUGCUCCUCUUUCUAUUUAUUACUGUAAGAAGAGGAAAAAUACCAACCAGGCUUCUAGUUCCCUUGUGAUUCACCCAAGAGAUCCGUCUGACUCAGAAAAUAUGGUUAAGAUUGUAGUGGCCAAUAGCAACAAUGGAAGUGUUUCCACACUGGGGGCUUGUUCUGGAAGCAGAAAUAGUAGUGGGACAGGUGAAUCUCAUGUCAUUGAGGCUGGAAAUUUGGUCAUAUCUGUUCAAGUUCUUCGAAAUGUAACCAAGAACUUUGCCCCAGAAAAUGUACUUGGACGUGGAGGUUUUGGUGUUGUUUAUAAGGGAGAACUGGAUGAUGGAACAAAAAUAGCAGUGAAAAGAAUGGAGGCAGGCAUCAUUAGCAGCAAAGCUUUGGAUGAAUUUCAGGCUGAAAUUGCAGUUCUUUCAAAGGUCCGGCACCGUCAUUUGGUAUCUCUUUUGGGGUAUUCUGUUGAAGGAAAUGAGAGGAUUCUGGUAUACGAAUACAUGCCUCAAGGGGCUCUCAGCAAGCACCUUUUCCAUUGGAAGAGCCUUAAAUUGGAGCCUCUAUCUUGGAAGAGAAGGCUAAACAUUGCUCUGGAUGUUGCUAGAGGGAUGGAAUAUCUUCAUACUCUGGCUCAUCAAACCUUCAUACACAGAGAUCUUAAAUCUUCAAAUAUCUUGCUUGGUGAUGAUUACAGGGCGAAAGUUUCAGAUUUUGGAUUGGUGAAACUCGCCCCUGAUGGGGAGAAGUCUGUGGUGACCAAGCUUGCUGGGACAUUUGGAUACUUAGCACCAGAAUACGCCGGUAAGCAUUCUAUUUUAAGUACUUUUUUAAUCUGCAUUGCCUUGAAUUUUGAGACUAACACUGAUUAUAGCUUCAUGAAUUCUUGAUGCACUACACACAUGUAAGUUAUAAGAAUUCCUGGAAAGGAUUUGUGCAAUCAUUCUCUAGUGGUCAGAUACUAGGAUUUCUAGAGUUAGCCACCUUCUCAUAGACAAAAUGCUGAAGUAUCUGUUUUAAGAUUUGAUAUAUGAGAUGGAACCUUGAUGAAACUUCAAAACUUAUUUGAUUUUAAGUCAUUUCAAUAUUCCAACAAACCUUGGUUGUCUCUGAAACUUUUUGUUGCUUGAUAAAAUUUUCAAAGAGAGGUUUGAAAUUUGGAGCAGAGUUUCAAUUUUGAGCAGGUUGACGGUUUUCAUGCCGAAAAUGAGAUUUCAAAUCUUGAUUUACAUCUCUUAGCUAGGAAAUCAUGUAAUUCAUCAGUAUGUCUGGAAUGUCUGAGAUGUUUAUGCUGUAUGCCAGAGUACCACACAUUUUUAGCCUCUUCCCAUUAGUUGCAUGUAAAAUAUUGGACUAACUAACUCAAGACAUUGAAUGCUGAUUGUUCAGUGACAGGAAAAAUCACAGUUAAAGUGGAUGUCUUCAGUUUUGGGGUUGUGUUAAUGGAGCUAUUGACUGGAUUGAUGGCACUAGAUGAAGACAGGCCUGAGGAAAGCCAAUACUUGGCGGCAUGGUUCUGGCACAUAAAAUCUAACAAGGAGAAGUUGAUGGCUGCCAUAGAUCCAGUCCUUGACAAGAAAGAAGAAACAUUAGAGAGCAUCUCCACUAUCGCAGAACUGGCUGGGCACUGCACAGCAAGAGAGCCGAGCCAACGACCUGAAAUGGGCCAUGCAGUGAACGUACUGGCCCCUCUUGUUGAGAAAUGGAAGCCAUUUGAUGAUGACACAGAGGAGUAUUCUGGUAUUGAUUACAGCCUUCCCCUGAACCAGAUGGUGAAGGGAUGGCAAGAAGCAGAAGGAAAGGACUUCAGCUACUUGGACCUAGAGGAUAGCAAGGGGAGUAUCCCAGCAAGGCCAACUGGAUUUGCAGAUUCCUUCACUUCAGCUGAUGGUCGAUAAAUGAGGUAUUUUGUGGCAUUCCAUUUAUCGCACACCAUUCUUCGGUAGGGUCAUGUAGAUAGCACAUCAUUUUCUUUGUGGUGUUUGAGAAUUUAAUGUACGUGGUAAGGGUGUUUGAAUUAAGUUGGGGAUUUGGAAUGGUAAGAGAUGCCAUGUUGAACUUUGAUCAUCAGCUGUGCAUGGGGGUGUAGAUACAGAACCAAAAAUGGAAUGUGAACUGCUUUAUCUGUUGUUCCUGUAUGGAAUCCUGUAAAUUCCUUAUCCAUCCAUAAUUCCAUUUCCCUUUCUCAAAACCACAUAUUUUUUUUAUUAGAGAUUGUGCUGUAAUGAUGAUGCAGGGGGUAGUGCAUGAGAAGUGAUAUUUGGGUGGAAUUGAGCUGAAACCUUAAAUCCUCACCUUCCCAACUGGACCACUCUCCCAAAAUUAAUUGGGCCAAGCAAACAUUUCGGUUUUAAUGACACAUGACAUAGACAUGGAUAAAUAUGGAAAACUUUUGUGAUGUUGGAGACACGCGUAACGCAAUAGACACAAUGGCACGACGCCCCGCCCCAUCUGGUAGUUAUCCGUGUCGGCACUGCACUGGUGUAUUGGCACAUCACUGGACCGUCCACUUCAUUGGGCCCAAUGAUAACGAGAGAUCCUAAGAGGAUGCAUCGUGUAUGGUAGAUAACUGUGAGGAGUGGUGGUCCUGGUCCUGGUCCUGCUGGAGGUCAUUUUCAUUUUUUCAGGGAGUAAUCGUAAUGCCGAUAAUCACGUAACUAAUAUCAUAUUUUGUAUUACCUGAUGUGACUACGUGGGUUUUCAGAUCUAUUGUCCGUCCAUCUUGCCAUAUGCCUUAUUUAGUAGCUUCAAGAUACCGAAGAGUAUAUUUAUUAGGGUUGUUGCUCCACUGGGAGUUGUUGCAUACGUGCAAUGCCGAUUCACAUGCCGCACUGCUUUUGACAGUCCCACCACCAUCGAUGGAGCUACCGUUGCAUUUCAAAUAUUAAUUUUCACCAAACACUCAAAUAAUAAUAAUAAAAAAAAAUAUUUACGUUAGCAUUUUGCAUUAAAGCGAUGUGCCACAAUUUGAUAUUCUUAUUCAUCCAAGGUGCUCAUAAAAGGAAUCAAUCUAUAUCUUUUUCAUGUCAAGAUUUCGUAUCUUCUUUUUCUUUUGAAAGUGAAGAGAUUUAAUUUGCUUUAUAUAUUAUAUUACAUUCACCGCCCACAACCACCAUGCAAUUUGGUCAUCAAAUUUCUGGGCUUCCAAGUUGAUACCCAAAGGACCCACACACAAUACACAUAGAAACUCUUUGGAAAUAUUUUGACAGAUCCUCUCUCUUAAAGGAUCGAUUGGCAGCCUAAUAAUUUUUUCAGGCUAGUGAGAAGGAAAUAAAAUAGGAGUCAUAAUAUUAAGAAUUUUAUUGAAGGUUUUACAAAAUUAUGGAACAGGAAUGAAAUAUAUGUUUAUCAUAACACCUUUAUUAGUAAUGUUUUAAAUUUAAUAUUUAAAAACCAAUAAAUUAUAAUAAAGAAAAUUACAUUACAAUUAUAUAUGAGGAUGGUAAAAUUUGAUAUAAUUUGUCAAUACAAUUCAACAUGCUUUUCAUAACUUGUAUAAAAUAAAACUUAUUUAAUAAUCCCAUUAUAAACCUAAUUAUAUAUAUAUAUAUAUAUAUAUAUUUAAAUAAUUUGGAUUUUAUUUUUAUUCAACUUCCCUGGGACAUGAGAAUUGAUGAGAAAAAGAAUGAUAUAUGGAUUCCCGGUAUUCUUUCCUACAGAUUGGCCAUGAAUUACAAAUUUACUUUUAAAAUGGUGUACUAAUCAAAGAUGUGUGUAAAAAUUUCCAUUCAUUUUAAUUUAUAUAUACACAACUUUUGCGUCAAAAAUUGGCUAACAUUUGCUUCCCAUGCGAGGCAAAGUGAGAAUUUGAAGCUCUUGUUUAAAAAUAUUUCCCUUAAAUUUAACAUUUGAUUUUUAUUUUCCCAAAAUAAUUUUUGUGCUUGAAAAAUAUUUUAAGAUUUUUUAUAUCCCAUACAAGUAUAUGAUACCUUUGUCAAGAACAAACAAAAAAACUAUUUUUCAUAUUUAAAUUUUCAAUCAAAAUUUAUUUCUGAAAAUAAUUAAAAUAUUUAAAAACUGUUUUUUAAUAGCUAUUUUCAAUGCUUUUACGUUCUCUCGCAAAGUAACGAGAACGGUCAUGUAGCGCCAAUAUUCUUAUUAUCUAUACUGUUGAAACACAGCUCUAAAAUUCCUCCGGAUCAUAAUGGGCCACAAAACAACACAUUGUGUCUGACAUUGCCUAGAACUAUUACCCCCGCACGAUGGGUAUGGCAGGCAAUUCUCAAAUAUCAAUCAAAUGCUCCUUUGUACAAGACAUAAAAAUAGAUUUCUGCGUGUUUCAGUUACAUCCCAUUGGCAGCCUCCCUAAUCACGAAGUGAUGCUCGGGGCACUGAUGGUAAACCCAAUUCAUCCUCAGGCUGCAAAGGAAUCAUAGUUUGGGUAGAAAAAGUAAGCAUCAUUGAACUCAUGGCACCAUAACUUAAAACAAUACAAAGAUAAAUCUAGUGAUAUAAAUGCAGUAAGUUAGCAGUCUAUAAAUGCUUGAACAUUUUAUUUAGUGCAUGGGUAAUGCGGCCAUUAGGAACAUAGAUAUAUACAAUAUGCAAUUUUCUCAACUAGGAAACUAGUAACAGCUAAUAAGCUGAUCUCAGGAAAAUUCCAUAGGCAAAAUUUUCAAAGAAUUCAAGACAAGAUAUUUUUACAUCAACUGAUCUCUGUUUAAAAGAGGAAGGGGGUAUAAACAGUUCUAUCAAUUGGACAACUUGGGUGAUGAGAGCAAACUCAUUAAACCAAAAUCAUAAAGCCCAUUCCUGGUAGUCUAAUAUAUUAGAUUAAGAAAAAAAGUAUAUGUUUUUCUAGAUGAUUAAUCCAGUUUGAUCUGCCUUAAAAUUCUAGAGGGGAGGGAGUUAUUACUAGAAUAAUUCAGUACUUCUAAAAAAAUUGUGGAUAACAAAUUAUGCAAUCCAAGGAAAUAAAGGAAACAGUCAAAAAACAGGCUUCCACAGGAAAAGGGCAGGCAAUUUGCCCGGAUUCCGUUUAAUCCAUGUUAAGUAAAUAAUUUUUUCGAUAGGCAAUGAUGAAAUACAUUAAACGAGCCUAAUAGUGCAAAGUACAUCAGAAGUACACAAAGAGCACCAGUGAAACAACAAAAACGAGCCAAAGAGCAACCAAGGCGGGAUUGCAUAAAAGUUCUUUGAGCUCAACUGGUGAUGCUUCUUUCUCAGUUGGCAUUCAUUCCUAGCUACUAGAUCCUAAAUACCAUCCUAUAUAUUAAUUUAUAGGAUCAUAGGUACAUAUAUUUUCUUUAUUUUUCCUAGUUCUUCCUUUUCUACUUCAUCUUUCUUUUCCCUACUUUUUUGAUAGGCAAGUGGAUAAUAAAAGUGUUAGCUCAAGUCAAGGACUGAAUAUGCAUGACAUGAGAGCUCAACUGGUCAUGCUUCUUUCUCAGUUGCCAUGAUUCCUAGCCACUAGAUCCUAAAUGCCAUCCUAUAUAUUAAUUUAUAGGAUCAUAGGUAUUUAAGUUUUCUUCGUUUUCCUAGUUCUUUCCUUUCUCCUUCAUCUUUCUUUUCCCUACUUUUGAUAGGGCAUGUAGAUAAUGAAGUGUUUAAAGCUCUGAUUGAGGACUGAACAUGCAUGACAUGAGAAUAUACUUAGAAUAAUUACAGAAAAGCCAUAGUGUAAAAGAAUAAUUUUGAAAAGUAUAGGCUAAUCCACUAUCUCAAGCAAUAUUUCUUUUAAGUUGAAGAUUACAUGUGAAGUUAAUUUUUUGUUUUAUGAUCCUUUUUACUUCUCAUCACCGAAUAUUCUUACCAAAAUUUCUCUAUAAGAAAGGGCUUGAGUAGAGCAAGUUCCUCGAAAAAUUUAAGCAAGUUAACAUGCAAUAGUUUCUAGACAACAGGUGGAGGACAAAAAUUACCCGGGCAUUUUGUCUGCUGGGUGGAACUGCACCAUGUCCAGUUGGUGCUGAAGGCAAGCUAAGUUCUGCAUCCAAAUCAGGUUCCUUAUCAGGUUGAAGAUAGGCAGGCACUCCUGUGGACUCAGUCUCCAUUCCCAUGUCUGCUUCCAAGGCAUCAAGCUCUGCAGGGGAAAAAAGAGGGACAUAAAACAAUAAAUCUAUAAAAUUAAAAGAAGGGGGGAGAACCCUUUGCUGACCCUCGUGACAAGCAAGGAUACUGAAGAAAAUGCAACAUUCUCUUAGCAUCCAUUCCAAAGUUCCAUGACAUAUGAAUACAAUUUAAGCAUACCGCCCAUGAGGUCAUCCUCAUCAAUGUCAUCUGGCACAUUGUAACUUCUGCCAAGGGAUUCUUGAAUUUCUGAGCUUACAUCCAUCAGGUCCAUCAUCUCAUCUUGCAUGCUCUGAAAACAAAAACAAUCAGUUGUUCAGUUUGGCGGUCCAGAUGAAAUAUAGCUAGCAUGAUGCAUAGAACCUCGGUAAAGCAAUACAGACAUCUAUAUCUUCAAUCUUCACAGUCUUCAUCAUUCCUUUUAACUCCUUGUUUGCAGCUUUCAAAGCUGUCAUCUGAAAAGAAGCAUAAUAAUUAGAUUCAAAGAAACUUCAGCCAAACGAAUGAAAACCGCAAAAUAAAAAUGCAUUUGGAAUAAAAAAGAGAUUAAACAUUAAAUAAAAUCAACAGCGAUAGGGGAAUGUGGAAUAAAUGUGUUUACAUUAUCCUCACAAAAACGAGAGUAUCGUCUACAAACAAUAGGCGUGAGAUUUGAAUCCCUUCUCCCCUCUACCCUCAAUCUUGAAGCCCUUAAUGAAACUUCCCUGAUCAGCCUUCGCAAUUAAGCAGUAAGGGCUUCCAUGACCAAAACAGAAGGAUGAGGUGAAAGAGGGUCCCCUUGCCUUAAGCCUCUAAAGGUCAGGAAGGACUCUAAGGUGGUGCCAUUGACAAGCAUUGCCAAUCUCACAUCAGAAAUGCAUAAAAGGAUCUACUCUCUCCAUUUAAGACCAAAUCCCAUCAGUUCUAAGACCGAGAGAAGGAACUUCCAGUUUGCAUCAUCAUAAACUUUUUCUAUAUAUAAUUUGCAAACUAAACCAACAUUGGAGCUUCACUUCCUCAAAUCAAUUGUCUCAUUAGCAAUCAAAGCUGCAUCAAGAAUCUGUCUACCCCCACAAAAACAUUCUAAUUGUUUGACAACACCUUACCAACCACCCUUUUCAGCCUAUUAGCUAGGACUUUCACUAGAAGUUUUUUUUUUUUUUUUUGAUAGGUAAAUUGUUAGAAUAUAUUAAAAGCCCUAGGGAAGGACACAACAGCAUACAACUUUCACUAGAAGUUUAUACAGACUCCCCCCACAAGGCUGAUUGGCCUAAAAUCCUUCACGUCACUUGCCCCUCCUUUCUUAGGAAUAAGUACCAAAAGCAUUGCAUUGAGGUUGCCAACCAUGGAUCCUGUGAAUGAAAUUCCUCAAAUAGCUGCAUCAAUUCCUGACCCACUAUAGGCCAACAGACCUUCCAAAAAUCCAUCAAGAACCCAUCUAGUCCUAGAGCUUUAUCACACCCGACUCUAAAAGUGCUCUAGUCACCUCAUCCUCCAAGAAAGGCCCCUCUAAGCCCUCUCUAUCGAACGAAUCAAUGCACUUGAAUAAUUCUAUUGCCAAGUUAGGUCUCUCACUUAGGGAUCUUCAAAGGCUGCUUUAAAGUAGGAGAAUAUAAUUUCCUUAAGCUCCUCCACUUUUUCCAAUUGGAUGCCACUGAUAGUAAGACUACUAAUGAAAUUUCCAUUUCACCUUGCAUUAGCCAUACAAUAAACAAAUUUAGUGUUCUUAUCCCCUUCCUUCAUCCAAAAGGCCGUUGAUCUCUGCCUCUAUGGGGUCAUAGCAUUUCUACUUUAGCCCAGGAAUUAAUCAACUCCAAAGCAAAAUCUUUCCUAAUUGAAAACCUACCACCUUUUUAUUCCACUUCUUUAAGUCAACUUUCAACACUUUAACUUCUUAGCAAGCACAAAACUAGCACUACUUCCAAAAUUAUACUUCUACCACCACUCUUUGAUUCUAUCCGCAAAGCCUGAAACCUUUAACCACAUGUUUUUGAAUCUAAACAGGGUUUUGCCUUUUUCACUCUCCCCCACAAUCUAGAAAAAUAGGAGACUGAUCAAACAUUGGCCUUGGCAACAAAUGUUGCAACAACCCUAAAACAUGCUCCUCCCAAUAACUGAAAAACAAAAAGCAGUCCAAACAAGCUUGAAUGAUCCUCCUUGCCCUUUACUCCAAGUGAAUCAACCUCCACCUAGGGGUGAAUCUAUGAGCUCAAACUCUUCAAUAAAGCUGGAAAAAUAUCUCAUAGCAGCCGACAUUUGCCUACAAUUGCUCGUCAACUGGAAAACACAGCACAUUAAAGCCGCCGGCUAAACACCAAGGCACAUCCCACAGCCCCCUAAUCGAGGCUAGCUCCCUCCUCUCCUUCUCCUUUGGGUCGCAUGCUUAAAGGGAGCAUUUAAAGAGUCAAGUGUUUAUAGUGACAAUAGCACUAAAACAACACCUAAUUUUUGGAUUUCAAUAAGUACGAUAUAGGAAGCUAUUUCUGAACAUAAUAACAACACAAUCAUGAUGCAUAUACAUAUAAUGACGUUUCCCAAUAAAGAGUGAGGAUUUGAUGUAGGUUGUAAUGUGUCAAAAUUCAUAGUUUCUACUGCAUCAAUAUUUUAAAGGAGCAUCACAGUCAUUAUUCAAGAAGAUUCUAUAACCAGAUCAUUCUAGCAAACCAAUGGUGCAUCCUAACACCAAAGGCUUUGAUGCUUCUCAAAAACUGAUCUUUAGCAAGCAAGCCAACAAGAUAAGUGCCAAAAUUUGUGUAAGCAGCAGCAUUUUCCUCGGUCUAAGCUAUAGGAUUGGCCAGACAAAGAUAAUAAGAUGAGGUAAGAUAUGUCCGAAAAGUAAACACCCUUGGCUUGCACGAGAUAAUUGAAGAACGUGAGGUUUGUGUCUUGUUCCCAUCUUUAGCAACCAGGUAGCUUUGCCCUUGAUCUUCCUUAGUGUGACACUACAACACUUAUAGUGAUAUUUGAUACAAUGUUGCAACAUUAAGCAACGAGUGCAGAACGAUGCACCAAUAAGCCAGUUUUUUUUUUUGAUAGGUAAAACAAAGGAGUAUGUAUUAAAAGAAAACGCCCAAACAGCGUCCAAAGUAUACUAACAGGAAGUAUAUAGUGGCCACCAAAAAGCUUAGCUAAGAAAGGGAGGGAAAAAACAAAAAUACAUUACUUGCCCUCAUUUACAACCUAACCAAUCAAUGAAACUAAUAAGUGACCUAGAAUCCACAUUUACAAACGCCCUAGUCCAUGACCAUAAAUUACAAACAAAAGAGUUUUUCAUCCUUUGGACCGAUAACUCAGCAUUAUCAAAUGCAAGCAUGUUCCUUUCUUUCCAAACAGUCCAAAAAAUACAUAAGGGGACAACCUUCCCAGGCUUUUUGCAACCUUUACCCAAAAAAGACCCUUGCCACCUGAGAAGCAUCUCUCUAACCAAGGAGGGGAGGGCCUAAGAAAUCCCAAAGAGAGUAAACAACAAUUGCCAAAGACUCCUUUGCCCUUGCACAAUGGAGAAGAAUAUGAUCAAUGGUUUCUUCUUCAAAGUGGCAAAGAAAGCAUCUGUUUGGCAACAAAACCCCCCUCAUCUGGACAAGGUCCAAAGUUAAGGCUUUCCCCCAAGUCGCCUUCCAAGCAAAAAAGGUCACCUUAGGUGGCACAUAAGAACUCCAAAUGAUGCUCCAAGGGAACAAAAAAGGGUCACCGGGCUUCAACACGGAAAAGAGGAACUUGACUGAAAACUUUCCACUCUUCGAAACCAUCCAAAACAUCCUAACUUCCUCAUCCCUCAACACCAUUUUUUCUUGAAUAAAGGGUAAAAAGUGUUCCAUACUUUCCACCUCCUAAUCAUUAAAUGACCUAGAAAAACGAGGAACCCAACCACCCCAAUCAGCUAUUGAGUUCCACACAUCCACCACCCACACGUCCUUAGUGACAACGAUGGAAAAUAAGGAAGGGAAGGAAACACAUAGUGGCUCGUCUUCACACUACUUAUCCUUCCAAAAUUUCACUCUUUGACCAUUACCAACUAAAAAAAAGAUUUUGUUGCUCAAAAGAUCCCACUCUUUGCUUAUGGCUUUCCAAAGGCCAACUCCAUGACCAUCUCUCACCUCACUAAAAUGCCAUUCCCCUUCAUUUUCACCAUACUUCUGGCUAAUAACUUGCCUCCAAAAAGCCCUUUUCUCAUUGGAAAAGCACCAGCUCCACUUACAAAGGAGGGCUUUGUUCAUCGCUGAAAGACACCUUACGCUCCAGCCCCCUUUCCUUUUCCUAGAACAAACCAUCUUCCACCUUACUAAGUGAGGUUUUUGCACAAGAACCCCACUUCACAAAAGAAAAUCCCUCUGAAUCUGCUCUAACCUUAAACUAACCAGCCUUGGCAUACAAAAAAGCGACAUGAAAAAAAAUCGGCAUACUACAAAGGGUACUACGAAUCAAUGUAAGUCUCUCACCUUUUGAGAUGUACUAUCUUUUCCACAUGGCUAACCUCUUACGAAACCUUUCUUCCACCCCAUCCCAAGUUGUCACAAAUUUAUAAUGGAACCCCAAAGAAAGACCCAAGUAAGAGGAGGGAAGAGCGCCCACCUUACAACCUAAAUCCAAAGCCAAAUCAAGCAAAUUCUCCACAUUUCCCACAAGAAUUAACCCACUUUUCUCCAAAUUGAUUCUCAAACCCAAUCAUAUCAUGCAAUGAAUAAUCCAACUAGGCCAAGCCAAAAAAAUCUGGGUUUAAAUAUUUGGGUUUUUUUUUUAAUAGGUAAAUUUUUGUCCCCAUUGGGACUUGAACCUGGAACCUCCCACAAACCUUUCCCAUCUCUUACCACUUGAGCCAGGCCUCAAGGGCUUAAAUAUAUGGCUACUAAGCACAUCAUGUGAUGAAUCAUCCAAAUGGACCACGCCCAAAAGAUGGGGGUUCAGAUAUAUGACAUUUAUCCCAUAAUGGCAAGACAGAUCACCCAAUUUGGUUGUGUAUCAAGUUAUGUACAGUUGAGCCUUUGAUGCAAACCAAUUCCCUAACUGCAUUUUACUUGUGUACCCAGUAAGCUGUGUAUUCUAAGUUCUAACUAUCUACUAAUACAUUUUUUUAUAGGCAAACAGAAAGUAGUAAGCACCACCUGAAAAAAUGGGGGGAACCAUCUAUAGAUACAUAUAUACAUACACAAAUACUUGUAUGUGUGAAUCAUCAUCACAACGAUUAGCACACUUACAGUUUGCUGAGCAUCUUUAAUUCCUUCAGCCGCAAAUGAAACUUGGUCAAGGUUGAAUGUUUGGUUGUAAAGCAUGUCACGCUGUCCUUCAUACCUGAGCAAAAGCAUAAGGAGUGACCUUAAAUUGUGGAACAUAAAAUUAAUAGAAAAGGAAACUUUGUAGGGAGAGUGGAGGUAGACCGUAGAUAUUUUUAAAAGAAAUACUACAUUCAGUUGCUGGAAAAUUUGAAAAAAAAUGUGAGGGAAAGAAAAUAGAGAGGAGAAAUUAAGGUGAAAGAAAAUAAAGAAUAGCUUUGAAGUCAAUAGAUUAUUUUAUAUGCUACUUUAAACUCAUUUCACUUAUUUAACUCUUCUACAUGAAGAUUAAAUAAGCUAAAAAUAUAUAAUUUUCUAACUAAUUUUACUUAUAUUUUAUUUUCUUUCAUAUUUUUCAUAAUAAAACCACACAUGAAAAAAAAAAUUUUCUUAGCAUUUUUUUCUUUCCUUUCUAAUUUUCUGAAACACAACAUAGCAUAAAGUUAGAACGUGGGCCUUUGGCAAUACCAUAGCUAACACAAAUCCCAAAACUAACUGAUUACUACUCAAAAACCACACAUUUUAGAUACUAAUUUUCCUGAGUUUCACACCUUUUGAGUAAUAAUUAUGCCUAAUAUGCCCAAGUAAUACAUUGCUACCCUUGCAAGAGAUACUAAUGGUUCUUUGUUGAGUUUUGGAGAUAUUUUAAGGUGAUUUUUGAAGCAUGGAGUGACAAAUGGAAAAUGGAAUGGAGAAGGGUACAUAAUGUGGAUGAAGAGGAAGAGGAAAUGCACUUGGACCAAGCUUUGGAGCUUAAUUGAAGGUGGUGGAGAUGUAUUAAAAAUGAAGAAAUGGGAGAAAUUGCAAAGAGGAGUCGGAAAAGCAUGUUUUUCAAUUUCGCAUAGUCAUGCGAAAUGAAACAAAGUAGGAUUGGCUGCAGCACAUAAGGGAAAUGUGAAAAGUGAUUUCGCAUGACCAUGCGAAAUUUUCGCAUAGUCAUGCAAAACGCUCUAGCAAGACGAAAAUGCAGCUGAUGGAUUUUCCACUUCGCAUCAUCAUGCGAAAUUGCUGAGGCUCAUGCGAAAAUGUAUUUUUCUCCAGAUUCCUUGAUGAAGAAGCAUCCGGAAGACCUCUAAAAUGAUGUCAAGUGUCCUUUUGACCUUGGCCUAUAAAUAGAAACGUGAUUGACUCAUUUAAGGAUUUUUGGAUGCAUUUUCUAAUAUUAGAACUUUUCAGACUUCUUCUCUCUAUAUAAUUCUUUAUUUUCCUUCAGUUUCUCUUAUUUUCUCGGUAGCCAAACAUGUCUUGUGAGAUCAAAUCUCUAAGCAUGAGUGGCUAAAUCUCGUUUUUCUCGGAGGAGGGAGGAUCUAGAAGCAAGAUCUAUGGUGAAUUAAAGAAUUGAGCUUGAGUUGCAAAGGUAAUUUGAUCCAAUUGAUUGAUUAAUUGAAAUUUGGGGAUUUUUCUCUUCAAAUUGUCUUAGAUGAUUACUACAAUGCAAGUUAGGUAGAAUCAUCAAAUUCUUAAUGCUAGAUUUGAUGAGAUUGAAUAGUUGCAUAGUAUGAAUCAUCGGAAGAUAAUUUAAGAUGAAUUGAAUAUAUGAUUCCAAUUGAUCUCUUGGAUUAGAUUACCUAAUUUGAAGAGAAAUUAGAUCUAGAUCUAAAGCUAAAUCAAAAAUCGGUUUAGAUGAAAAUUAGAUCUCAGCACCUAUUCACCAUGGAAAUUGCUUUCUAGAAAAUCCUAACUCCGAAAAUCUCACAUCUUAUUAAUUUUCUUCUCUUUUAUACUUCAUUUUCAUUUCAAUUUGAAUACAUUGCUAUCUUGAGAUUUUAUCAUGCAAUUUCAAGUAAAUUUCACUUGAUCACUAUCAUUUCUUAUCAUCUCGUUCAAGCUUUAAUUACCAAGAAUAAUCCAUCAUUGUGGACGAUAUCUAAAUACCACUAUACUACAGUAGUUUGUACUAAAACCAUUUUUUGAUCUGGUACAAAUUGCUAUAGAAUAGUGAAUUAGGUUAUAAAUUUUGUUUUGAUCCAACAAACGACAAAAUCCGAGCGAUCACUAACAAUGGAACUAAAUGCUAUCAAAGUCCACAAAUUGAACCAAGUAAAACAUGAAAUCUCGUAGAUGUCUUAAGCAAUGUGCCAUCCUGAGCUACUAUCCUUUUUAUUGAGAUCAUUAGAGAGAAAGAGAGAGGUGAUUGAAAGCCAUGAUAGAGCUUUAUGCAUAAAGCGUCCACAAAAAUAAAAAACUUCGCUCUUGAAUGCCCAUAGAGAUACAGAAGUACAUGAGAAAUAAUGAGUUGCAGAGGAUUGUUAGUCAUUUUCUGCUAAUCAUGAAGGUCAAGUUCAAUGAUGUAGAAGCAGACUACCGGUUUUGCAUUAAACACAAGAAUUGGCUGGCCCUCCCUGUUAUGAAAUUUCAGGCAAUUCAUUGUAUAACAACAUUGUUACUGAAGCAUGCCCAAAGGCUGAAUCCUUAAAUCGCAACUUUUCCACAAGUAUAGAAGCAUUGACAUACAGUUUUAUCAUAAAUUCCUGCAACAGAUGACUGAAAGCCUGAAGUGCAAACCAGGUCCUUAACACCAAUGGUUUGCUUACUGAUACACUAGGGGCUCCAGCCUUGAUGCCUAAAGUUGGGCACCUUAACUUUCCAGAAGAUCCGCACCCACCCUAAAAGGGGGGAUAAUGGGCCUCAACAAUAUAAAUCAUGUUCCCAAACCAAAUAACUUUAAAGUGAUAGAAGGGAAAAGAGCACAUACAUCCUUUUUUGCUUGAGAACCCUCAUGGCCCUAGCUUUAACAGCUUCUUGAGCAGGACCAGGUCGUGUUCUCUUUAUCUGUUCUUUGUAUUUGCUAAGCUCAGCAUCAAGCCUUGUAAUCUUCUCAUCCACAGUUUCACCUCUUUUAUUAAUCUGCAAACAACAAUUUUAGAUGAAACUACAUCUCAAAUGAAAUAUCUGCAAUACCUGUCUUGAGUGCCCGCCUUGUAAGAUGAGCAAAUUGAGAGGGCAAAUAUAUAGCAGUCAACAUUACAAACGUAGAUGUAAUCUUCAACAUUAAAAAUACAAGAGUCCAGAAUGUGAGACAAAUGAGCAUAGGACGCUCGGUGGUAAACACUGAUGCAGUUUCUAUGCAAGAUAUGUGCAUACAUCAGAGAUGAAAUAUAUAUAUCAUCACCAUGAUCACCUUGUCAUGAAACCAUUGUUAUGAGACAAGUUCAUCACCUUGAUCAAACCAUAACUUGAGAGGGUAUUCAGCACAGAUAUUUCACUUUUCUUAUUUUUAUCUUAGAACUGUUCAUGAUUGCGUUGGUGUAUUUUGGCUUGGGUUUGAAAACUUCCGUUUAAACUUUAAAUACGCAGACUUGCACCCAUAAAAAAUUGACCGACACCUACCAAUUCUCCAACCAAGAUUUUCAAAUUUGCCCUAAUUUUCCACCAAAAAUUGUGAUAACCAAAAGUGAAAUGGAGUUUCAGAUUACAAAUCUAAAAAAUAGAAAUUUUGGGAAGUUAAUAAUAGAGGAAACAAGCCAAUACAAACGAACUAGUAAAUUCAGGCAAGAAGAUAGAGAAAUAAAUUAAAAUUCGUCAAAAGAAAAAAAAAGAUCAACAUGAAUCAACAAAACGAACCCUAUCGGAAGCAUCUUGAACUGAAGGAGGGGGUUCCUUCUCUUUCUUCACUCCGAACACCCGUUUCAUCUUCUUCUUCCUUGAUCCGACUUUCGAUCGAUCUACACAAAUCCCUCCACGAUCUCUUUGCGCCUAACCAAGCUGUUUCCUCCUAUAUUUCUUUGUCCGCGAAUAAGCUUCUUCGUUUGUCCCGUUCCAAAAACGCGGUUUUGAUCUAAAGUUGAAUCCUCAGACAAGAUAGAAUCGUGUUUAAAAUUCUUUCCAGCUUAGCUUAAACCCCUUAGUAAAUUAAAAAAUAAAAUAAAAUAAAAUAAAACCAUAUUUUUCCUAUCCACAUUUCAAAACUGACUGCGUCAAAGACAAAAUAAAAGUUGAAUCUCUUCGGUUCCGUUUUUUGACAUCAAAGAUUUUGCCCGACUUCAAAAUCGUUGAAAUCCACAAAUUUGAAACUUAGUAAAAUUCAUAAAAUUUGCUGGAUGUCGGGAAUCUUGAAGUAUUUUUCCAAAAUUUACGAUUUGUUAGUAAACUCUGUGGGAUGUCUGGGAUCUCAUCAAUUAGUAACUUAAUUAUAUGUAAAAUGUUAAAUUAAUCACUAUAUAUUAAAAUAUAUUUUAUAGCAUUUAAAUUGAUUUAAGAUAUUUAUAAGACUUUAUGAAAAUUAAUAACUUACUUAACAAGCUUUCUGCCAAUAAAUAUAUAAUAAUUUUACGUAUCGUCCACUCUCUAUUUUAUUUCUUCCAAUACUCUUUCUCUUCAUCUUUAUUUUAUAAAAUUUGACAAUGAAUAAAUUAUUAUAACUUACUUAAUAAGAUUUCUACUAGUAAAUAUAUAAUAAUUUUACAUAUUGUAUGUUCCACCUUGUGGUAUUUAUUUAUUUAUUUUUCCAAUACUCUUCAUCAUUAUAUUAAUAAAAUUUGAAAACGAAUUUUUAAAUUGAUUUUAUUUAUGAUAAUGAAAAUAAUUUAGUGGAAGAAAGUUUCAAAAUUAUAAGUUUUACGGACAUUCACAAUAUAAAAUAACAGUUAAUAAUUAUGGUUUUAAUUUUUUUUAAAUGAUUAAAACUAUAAUUAUUAAUUAUGAUUUUAAACUUAAAAUUAAAGUUAUGAUCAAGGACCAUAAUUUUAAUCUCUUAAAAAAAAAAUUCAUAGUCAUUAUGAUUUUAUGAUGUGGAUGUAUACGGGAUUUUUGAAUCGAGUUUAGCGUAUGGAUUUGUCUUUUUUAAAUGGGUUACUUUUGUUCAAAACUCCAUAAUGGGAGCAUCGCAAGGGUGCACCCCAAUGAGUCGAGGGUCCGUGAAUUCCGAAAUUGCCCUUAGUCCAUGCUACCGUUUAAAUUCCAAAGUUGCUUUGCAGAAGAGAAUAGAGGUCUGUUUGGGGGCAAGUAACGUAAGCUGUGGCGGCACUCAAAACCCUAACACGGAAGAAACGGUCCCAAUCUCACAGAACAGAAUUUAUUCGUUUGUUUCUCGGGGGAGUGCAAGAAACUCAUCCAGUUGAUUCUUGGUUUGGUAAGUGGUGAAAAUGGUGCGAAACAAGGCUUCAUCAAAGAAGCAGCAAAAGCGUGGAGUAGACUUCAAAGUAAUAUAUCUGAACACCUAUAUUUCUCUCCUGUUUGAAAAUUUCAACGUUUCCAAGAUUAAUCUGACACUGUUUGAUGGAUUUCCAUAGAAAAUAAAGCGGAAGAUUGGUAGGAAAUUGCCACCACCGAAUAAUGCGACAAGCACUGAAAUCAAAUCCAAAGGUAGUGGUCUUCGUACUCUACUGGUUUUUUUGGUUAUUAUUAUCGACGAAUCUGUGGGUGCAGAUACGUUCCUUUUGUCUACUUGUCGAGGGGAAAAAUCGUAGUUUAAUUUUUUUCUUUCAACGAAAGCAGUUCUUCUUUGUGGUUUGAAAUAUAGCGUAGAGCCUUAAAACAAAUAAAUUUUCAUUAAAAAGAAUUCUGGAACUAUUUAAUUGAAACAAGCAGAUGGUUAAUUUUUUCUCAAAACGAACCAAAGAGACAUGAUAAUUUUAAAGUUGUGUGUUAAAUCUUCUACCAGGAGGAAAACAGCCCUAGAAGAGGUUUUUUUUUUCCCUUCCUUGUGUGUUAAUAGAUGGGUUUGUACUUGUAGUGAUACGGUGUUGUUGAUGGCGUUUGUUCUUAUGUGUAUUCUGAGCAGCAAUUAUUCUUCCUGAGCAGAGUGUGGCAUCAGAGAAGGCAGGUUUAGCCGUGAGCAAGAAAGGUUUAACAUUAAAAGAGCUUCUUCAGCAGACAUCCCACCACAACCCAAAAGUUCGAAAAGGUAUUUGGUUCUUAUUGCAGAAAUUUAUAUAUGUAUAAAGAUUUGCCUUCAACAUUUUGAAGAGUGAUGAUGAGAAUAUGCAAAUGAAAUAAUGACUUGUUCCUUUAUAAGAAAAUUAAGAAUAGAAAUGAAAAAUUGAUAUUUUAGAUUUCACUGUUUUGACCGCGAGGAAGCACAAGGCUUCACUCAGUUGAGUUUAAUGAAGUUAUCUGACUCAGUUGAGAACAUUAAUGUGGGAACUGGACCAACUUAAAUUUAGGAUUUAAAAGUUGAUUAGCUUUUCAUUUACUCAGUAUUUUUAAGCAUUGAAAUGAUGGGUUGACAAAUAUAAUUUGUUUGAUUUUGUAGUCAGCUAGAGGCAGGCAUUGUUGCCCAAACAUCUCUAUAAGGGGACAAAAUUCGGAUAGGAUUAUAAUAGCUGAAAACUGUUAACUUCUUUAAUCACCAGUACAUGCUUCAUUGUGGUGACUAUCCUUGUCUUAAUCUAAUCCGCCUUGCCACUCAUCAUACCUAUCAUUUAGAUUUUUUUUUUAUUUUUUUUUGAUAGGUAAUAAAAGGGCUUGCAUUAAAUUUUAUUAUUAUCAUCACUGUGCUCACAUAUGACACAGAAAAAAAAUGUGUUUUGCUUCAGGUUGUAAAUUUGGCUGAUGGUAUAAUUGUAAACAACUGAACAAAUUAGCAUAAAUUUAGUGUUAUAACAAAAUGCAUUCCGGCUUAUAUUAUAUAGUAUAGAUAUACAGAGAUAGAAGACCGAUAGGUUCUCCAUUGUUGCUUCAUUAUUUUGACAUGGCCAUUUACUGAAUUCAUUAUUUGUUAAAAAAUGCAGACAUGCUAAAUUCUUUUCAUUUGAGAGUGGCUUGAAAGCAACUCUAUCUUAUGUCCUUGUUGUCAGAUUAUAUAUAUAGAUGCGAUCUUUGUGUACUUCCUGUGUACCUUGUUGCACUCUUUCUUUGGUGUGUGUUUAUAAUAUCUCAUGUAUAUACAUAGAGAGAGAGACACUAAUACAAAAUGUUUUCCCUUUGAAGAUGCAUUGAUAGGUAUUAGGGAUUUAUUCCUUAAAUAUCCAGCAGAGCUGAAGUUGCACAAAUAUGCUGUUAUGGAGAAACUUCGUGAACGCAUUAGUGAUAAUGAUAGAGUUGUCCGAGAGACAUUAUAUCAACUUCUUAAGUCAGUCGUUUUCCCCGGCUGUAAGGAGGUAACUCUUGUUAUCUUUUCUUCUUUAAACCCUCUCAAACGAGAACAGGGGCUUGUUCAAUAUUCUGUUAACACUUUCUCCAAUGUCCAAACAAUCAUUAAUUUGUGUUGGUAUUUCUAAAACACAAGAGAUGACAACAUAUACAUGCAUGUAUAAUAGGGAGUUUAGAAGUUGUAAAACAUGUAGAAAGUGGGAGAGAUAGGGAUAGGUUAUAAGAGUGUAUUGAAAAGUAGGAAAAAAAAAUGUUGAGAAAUGAGGGAGAUAUUUUAGGAAUUGGUAGUGAUAUGGCAGACUUUGGUCUAUUUUGCUUUAUAUAUCUUUAGAAAAAUUAUACUUUCAAACCUCCUUUUGGAUUAUUUAACAAAUGCAGUCCCCUUAAAAAAUAAUCCCUCCCACAUGCCCUUAAAUAGUACUAGCUUACUUAUUCCUAAAAUACCCCACUCAUCUACUUCUACCCAGCCAUUCUCCUUACUAAAUGUACUUUCAUUUUUUUUUAUUUAUAAUUCCAUUAAAAAUGUCUCUAGUUCUCAGAAAAUUUUAAAUGAAUAUUAAAGUUGUAUUUUCCAUAAAAAAUGCAUAUUAACAUGUUAGAAAUUUAGCAAAGAAUUAUAAUAUUUUAUAAAUUCACAUAAACUUUUUGAGAUGAAUAUUAAAUUAUAAGGAGUACAUACAAAAUAAAUGGAUAAUGAUUUUUCGUAUAUGAAUACUGACAUGAUAAUAAAAAUACAAUUCAUGUAGUGGCUAAAAAUGAAUGAUAGUAUUCUAAAAAAUGAUAAUGGUUAAUAAUAUUUAUUUAAAACAAAUUAUAAAAACAAGCAUGAUUAAUUUUUCUAGCGUGUCAAUAAACUAAGUUAUUCUUUUAGACGAAUAUAUUUACUAUCCAAUUGCUGAUAGGGUAUUCUGGAGCAUUUUGAUUUAUAAAUUCUAUUAUUAAUUGGCUUGAUUUUUAAGUUUCAAAUUAUUUAUAAAAAUUACUAGACUUGUUAACGAAUUCAAUGCAUUAAGUCUCACUUGAUUUGAAAUCCAUUUACUUUGUGAGAAAAUGCAGAAAAGUAUAGUUAUGUGCACAAGAGAAAUCGACAUAGUUAUUCUAGAUCAACUCUGAUUUGGGAAAUUCUGAUAUUAAUUGGCUCAAAUUUUAAAAAAUUAUAAACUCAUUAACAAAUUCAACACGAUGAGUGUGUUUGAAUGCAGAUGCACUAAAGGUUCAAACUUGGCUAAAGAAAUAACUAUGUUCCACCCUUUGUUCCUUCAUAUUCUACACCUUACCUAUAUAUAUACUACUUCAUGAAUAAACUUGUAUUAUUACAACCAUUAAGCAUUAAUUCUAACUCACCAAAUAGGUUUGUUAGGUAAAUGAAUUCCUAAUUAAGCCAGGCUUGAUACAUUGUAUUUGUAAAUGACUUUAGGAAAUUUUAAAAUAAUUUGAAACUAAAAAAUUGAAUCAAUUAAUAUUAGAAUUUCUUGGACUAAAAUUGGUUCAUAAUGAAUUCUUUAGUGCACAUAAUUAUACUUUUCCAAAAUUUGUCACUAGGCAAAUGGACUUCGGUCCAAUCAAGCAACACCUUGAUGCUCAUUGGGUUUUUUAAUGAAUCUAAUAAUUUUUAAAAAUAAUUUAGAGCUCAAAACUUGAAACAAUUAACACCAAAAUUUUUAAGAACAAAACUAGUGACUAGUAUAGAAUGUCUUUAUCGGUUUCUCUUCUGUACACAAUUAUACUUUUUUGAAUUUUCUCACUAAACACAUAGACUCCAAAUCAAGCGAGAGUUGAUGUAUCGAAUCUUUCAGGAGUCGCAUAAUUUUUAAGAAUAACUUCAAACUUAAAGAUCAAUUUAAUUGAUACUAGAAUUUCUCAAACCAAAAUGGCGUGUAAUACUUUACCAAUAAUUAGGUAGUAAAUCUCUCUCUCUCUCUCUCUCUCUCUCUAUAUAUAUAUAUAUAUAUAUAUAUAUAUAAAUUUGACUAUUUAUAUGUUUAGAAAAAAAUAAGUGUAUGUGUUUUUAUAAUUUAAAAUAUUUUUAUUUAUUUUUAACAAAAAUACAAUUUAUGACCUUAUUAAAAUAAUUAAUAUUUGUAUUUUAUAAUAUUUAGUAAAAAAAAAAAAAACAUUUAGCUUAGUUGAUAAAGCACACGAUUCUCAACCUUGUUCAACAUUUACUUAUAAAAAAAAAAAAUCUUAGCAUUAAUGACACUUAUCAUUACAUUGAUCAUUUAAAAAAAUUAUUACCCAUUUAUUUUGUAUUUACUUUUUAUAAUUUAAUAUUUAUUUUAAAAUUUUAAAAUGUUAUUAUUGAUUUUUAAUGAAAAAAAUAUAAUUUUAAUAUUCAUUUAAAAAUUUGGAAAUUAUAGAAUUAUUUUUAAUGAAAGGUUAAAAAAAGAAAUGAAGUGGGUUUUUAACAAAAUCCUUCAAGGUAAAUGGAAUUGAUGGUUUGCUGAGGAUAGGGGGGUUUUAUGGAAGCAAGUUAUAAGUGGUAAGUAUGGGGUAGAAAAUGGAGGGUGGUGCUCCAAGAAGGUAAGAGAAAGUUGUAGGGUAGGGUAAUGGAAAGUCAUUAGAAAGGAUUGGAAUCUUUUGGCUAGAAGAGUUGUUUUAUCAGUCAACAAUGGGCAAAGAUGAAAUUUUGGAAGGACAAGUGGUGUGGUGAUGAAGCAUUGUGUACUACCUUCUCUUCUCUUUAUGCUAUUGUUGAUUCUAAAGAGGAUUGGGUGACAGAUGUUUAACGCCUGACAAUUGAAGGGGGUUGUUGGACCCCUCGUUUUUCUAGGCACCUAAAUGAUUGGGAAGUGGACUUCGUAGAACAAUUUCUUUUGAGUUUGCAAGGGAGGAGUGUGUGUAGGGAAGAGGAAGAUAAAAUAAUUUAGACAAGGUUGAAAAAUAGGAAGUUCUCUGUUAAAGCCGUGUACUUGACUUUAGAGUAAGAAAGUAUGGUGUCAUUUCCUGCUAGUGUGAUUUGGAACUCUUGGAUUCCUUCAAAGGUGGGUUUUUUUCGCUUGGGAGGCUAUUUGCACAAAGGUGUUAACUUUAGAUCAUGUAAAUAGGAGAGGGUGUUUUUUGGUAAUCAAAUGUUUCCUUUGUCUGGUCGAGAAAGAGUCCAUUGAUCACAUUCUUAUUCACUAUGCCAAGACAAGGGUUUUAUGGAAUCUUUUGUUCUCCCUGUUUGUGUGCUUUUGGUGCUUCUGUCUUUGAUCAAAGAGACUCUUUUAGGAUGGCAUGGUUCUUUUGUGGAGGAAAAACUGGAAAAAGGUAUGGCGGGCAACUCCAUUGUGGUUAUUUUGGACCAUUUGGAAGGAACUCCUUCCUUUGUAGUUUAUGACAAGUUGUUUUUUGACUUUUUUUUGAUAGAUAAAGUUGUUUUAGAUUUUGGUCCUUCAUCUAUAACAGAAGUUCUAGACUGGUUGGAUUCCUUUUGAAGGGGGUGUAGUUUUUUGUUGGUCCCUACUUUUUUGUUGGCGCUUUUAAGGCGUUCAUUGUAUAAUGGAGUGCUGUUUUGGCGCUCUUUGUUUAUAAUACUCUCUUGCUUUACUCAUUAAAAAAGGGAAGUGGGUGCAUUUAAUGUGGCGAAUGGGUGUGUGAAGUAGAUGAGAAGGGCAUUUUGGGAAUAAGUGAAUUAGAUGGGGCUGCAUUUGUUAAAUAUUUCCAAAUUAACAAAUGAAAGCAUAAAUUUUUCUGUAUCACUAGGCUUUACCAUUUAACAUAUAUUUCCACUGUGACAGUACAUUCCAAAAAUAGCUUGUUGAAAUUUCUUUUGGAUCACUUUGCCUUAUUCAAUUUGCCAAAACUAAUAAAUAAAGUGAAUUAUUUAUUUUAUUUUAUUUUACUGUUCCAAACAUUGUUUUGGGAGUGUAUGUUUGCUUGUUGUAUGUUUAAUGAUCAUCCAUGUUUAUUCUUGAUUUCUUCUCUCAUUUUGUCUGAAAUAUGCUCAUAGAAAAACAAACCUAGAAAGAUGACAAUAUAUUUUUUGCUCAGUAUUUCAUUGCUCUAAUUGACUGUUUCUUUUGUUUGCUUGAAGAACUGAGACACACUUUUGAAAUUAUUAAGGAAGAAGCUGCUUAAAGUCAAUAAUUUUGCUUAGGUACAUUGGAGUUAUUUUGCAAAAUGCCAAAGAAGCAUAUCUUCAUAAGGUUUUCUAAUCCAGGAUGAUAGGAUAUCUUGGUGAUGAAUAUUUCCUUAUUUUCAUGGAUAUGUAUAAUUUUUUCUUAAUAGGCUUGUUUAUUGAUCUCUUGACCCAAUAUAAUAUUGUAUUUACUUUUCUAUUAAACGUUUAAACAGAACCCUGAAUGGCUAAAGUACCCCUUGGUGUGUAGUAGGUUGAAUCUAUAAAGGAACUUAUCAGAAGAAAAAAAAAUGUUGAAUCCAUAAAGGAAUUUUUGAAAUAGAAAAAUGAGUCCUUUUGAUUUUCUAUCUAAAUCUCAAAAUUUCAUCUGAUUGAAGGAUUGUGCUCUUUCUAAUAUUGGUUUAGUUUGUAUUUCUUUUGGAUAGUAAGUAUUAUGUCAUGAGCUUCCUCUAUUAUCCUCAUGGAAUCAUGGAUCAUAUUUUGGGCGUAUGUCUGCUUCUGUCAUCAAUUUGGCUUUGUAAUAAUUAUUGUCAUUUUAGUAACACACAACUCUUUGUUUUUCAUGUACAGGAUAAUCAAGGGCCUUUCAUUUCCAUGAUGAUGGCUUACAUUUUUAAUGCAAUGACACAUUUAGCAGUUGAUGUUAGGUUGAUGGCUUUCAAAUUUUUUGACCUUGUUGUCCAGCACUAUCCACCUUCCUUUUCCUUGUAUGCUGAAAAGGUAUCUCAUUUUGUUCUCAUUCUGAAAUAUUGUGUUAGUAUACAUUUCUUUGUAAUUCCAAAAUUCUUGUCACAGUUCCUGUUCUCUUCAAAGAGAUUAUGUACCUUGUGGUGUCUAAACUUGUUCAGCCCUGGCUCAUUAAGAUUAAAGCUUGGAAUUCAGGCUUGGGCCUGGUCUGAUCAAUUAAAGCAAGUUUGAAAUUCAGGUUUGAGCUUGGUCCAAUUAGAUAUAGUUAACCAAUGAGUUUAAGCAAGUUCCAUAAUGAUCUGGGUUCUAGUUGCUGUAAUAUGCUGUCUGGGACAAUAUUAUGGAAUAUUCUCUAUGUUGGUUUAUUUUUCUAUGGCUCUUGCUUUUAUUAUAGGUGUUAACAAAUCUGACUUCCAGUUAAUUAAUUCUUCUACUCAUAUGUUAUUUUUCAACAGAUUCUCCAAAACUAUGAAGAUAUUCUACAGAAGAACCAAUUCUAUUUGCAGGACAAGGGAAAGCUCAAGAAUGCUCUUGCUGGGUUGGUGCGCUGCUUGACACUGUUGCCAUGUAAUACAAGAGAAGUUGUCUCAUCAUUUGAAGAGGUAGCUCUAUUGUUGCUAAGUACCAAUUGGUUUGCACCGUCUAUUUUGUAUUUUGGUGUCUCAAUAUCAUGGUGGGAAAUUGUUGCAUUUAUUUUUUGGUCUUAUUUUCGUUAAUGGUUGAUUUCUUUUCUCUUGAAUUACUUUUCAUUGUUGUUCUUGUGCUUAUUGUCUUUAUGUUUUUUUUUAUAAUGUCAUGAAGUUUACCUAUCAAAAAAUUUAUAAUUUCAUAAAAUUCUAUAUCAAAUCACUUCUAAGCAUGCUCACAGGUCCAUCACAAAUAAAACAAUGUACAUGUAGUGGCGUAUCUUUCAUGGUAUUUAUUGCUGGCAUGAAAAUCUGUUUGAAAUGAAUGUGUGGAUAUUAUUUAAAAGUUUUGUUUACUAAACAGGUUUUCUCAAACUAAUUUGAUCUUGGCCUUCUAAUUUUGAUUUUGGGAAAAUGAUGCUGAGAAGUUUUACUGAAAAUUAAUUUGAUGAAUUUGUAUGGGAUUCUUGAAUUUAUUAAGCAAAUGAGCAGUGUGCUAUGUGGUGAUUGCCAAUUGUAAGGCUUAUUUUUACAAGUUGCCAGUCUUGAAAUUAUACUUUCUACUAUAUUUCCUUGUCCUUAAUUUAAUAAAUUUGAGGAUUCCUCAUCCUUCUUCUAUAUAUCUUUAUCCUUAAUUUAAUACAUUUGUUUUUGAUAAAAAAAGUAUACUUUCUACUGUUACUUCUUUUGUAUAUAUUUUAUUAUGCUCAUAACCUGCUAGUUAAGCAUUCUGAUCUUACAGGCACAUGCACAUCUUUUCUCUGCAUAGAUAAAAUCACAUGUUACGUAUAUUUAUUAUGCUCGGGACUGGUCUAUUUCUCAUUUUAACUUUGUAGGCACUUCUUGGUUCCUAAUACUUGUCUAUUUACUAGAAUCUUGCUGGGCAAAGGGUUUUGCAUGCUUUUGAGCCUGAUUUGCCUAAAGAUCCUGCAGGUAUGUGAGAUAAUCUUCUACCUUAUGUCUAUUUAUUGCCUUUUAUGUUCCAUUUGAUGUAAGCAUCAGGUUUCUUGGGUCAUGAAAAUGCUUGAGAAUUUGAAUUCUCUGUUUUCAUAUCUAACUAUUCAUUAAAGUCAGAAAAGCUGUUAAUUUUUUGUAUUUUUUUGUGCCCUUCAAAUGAAAAUAAGCUGUUAAAGUUCAACCCUGCCAAAUUCAAGAGGUCCAAGUCUAACAUCAGUGGCAAUUGACCUAUGAUACUUGCUAAGCAGCGUGAGAUUUAAUCUUUCAUUCUUUUGCUGGAGAAAUUAUCUUAGAACAAAGAUAAACCCAUUGGGUUUGGUUCAUUAGCUUUCUUGUCAUAGGCAGAUCCUAGAGGAGUCUCCUUCAUUCCUCUUCUUCACUUGAUCAUGACCUAGAUGGCCAUUCUUCUGUCUCUGGGGAUUUACUUUUCUAAAAUAUUUUGUUGAUAGUUAGCAUAAAAUACAGCAGAAGGUGCCAAAAGGAGGAAAAAUUAGCAUACAAGAGUUAUACAAGGGACACCUGUAGAAUCAGAGAAAAACAAAGGCCUGAAACAAGGUAUAAGCUAAUAACAAUUUUUUAAUUAAGUAUAGAAAAGACAGUUUCCUUCCCAUAGGGAAUCACUGAACUGCAAAAAGAAAAAAAAGAAAAAAAAAAGGACUUUAUAUAUUGGUCUCUUGAUCUCAACCUCAAAAGCUUCACUUGGUUAAAGAUGAAUGGACUCUUCUCUUUCCAAUCAUACCAGAAUAUAAUAGGGGUUGUAGUUUCCCUCAUUUUCUUCCUCCUUUUACAAAUACAGCAGAAGGUGCCAAAAGGAGGAAAACCUAGCAUACAAGAGUUAUGCAAGGGACACCUGUAGAAUCAGAGAAAAACAAAGGCCUGAAACAAGGUAUAAGCUAAUAACAAUUUUUUAAUUAAGUAUAGAAAAGACCUACUAAGUUCGUCUGGAAUUCUCAAGUCCUUUGUUUGGUUAGUGAUACACAAGAAGGUAAAUACUAAUGACUUGCUACAGUUGAGAACACCCUACAAAGUACUUAGUCCCAACUUUUGUAAGUUGUGCAUGAAACAUGGAAAAACAGUAGAUCAUCUUUUUCUCCAUUGCUCUUUGACGACGGGGUUGUAGCACAGAUUAUUUCAGUUAGCAAAGACGGAUUGGGUUCCCCCAAGGAGCAUCUUUGACAUGCUAUCUACCAAUUUUAACGGUUUUGGAUUUUCUAAGAGAGGGAUUGUUUUAUGGCAAGCUGCGUGCAUCGCUUUAAUUUGGGUGGUGUGGCGGGAAAGAAAUGUAAGGAUUUUUGAGGAUAAAUCAAGGAAUUCAGAGAACCUUUGAGAUUCUAUUCAUUUCCUUGCUUCUCUUUGGGCUUUUUGUUCUAAGGUUUUUAAGGGGAUUCCCCUUAACAUGUUACAACUUGAUUAGUUAGCGGUGUGUAAUCCCAAUGGGUUGGUUUAACCUAGAGAGUUUGCUUGUUUUUACUUUGUAUUUUCUUGUAUUUGAUUCCUUGUAGUUUUGUUUUUCUUUGGUGGGAGGAUUCCUCAUCUUUCUUUUGUACAUCCUUUUUAUCAAUAUAUUCCUUUGUCGUUUCCUAUAAAAAAAAAAAAAAAUUAAGUAUAGAAAAGACAGUUUCCUUCCCAUAGGGAAUCACUGAACCGCAAAAAAAAAAAAAGAGAAUAAGAAAAAAAAAAGACUUUAUAUAUUGGUCUUUUGAUCUCAACCUCAAAAGCUUCACUUGGUUAAAGAUGAAUGGACUCUUCUCUUUCCAAUCAUACCAGAAUAUAAUAGGGGUUGUAGUUUUACUUAUCAAAAAAAAAAAAAAAAAAAAAAAAAAAAAUAGGGGUUGUAGUUUCCCUCAUCUUCUUCCUCCUUUUACAAAUACAGCAGAAGGUGCCAAAAGGAGGAAAACCUAGCAUACAAGAGUUAUGCAAGGGACACCUGUAGAAUCAGAGAAAAACAAAGGCCUGAAACAAGGUAUAAGCUAAUAACAAUUUUUUAAUUAAGUAUAGAAAAGACAAUUUCUUUCCCAUAGGGAAUCACUGAACUGCAAAAAGAAAAAAGAAAAAAAAAAGACUUUAUAUAUUGGUCUUUUGAUCUCAACCUCAAAAGUUUCACUUGGUUAAAGAUGAACGGACUCUUCUCUUUCCAAUCACACCAGAAUAUAAUAGGGGUUGUAGUUUCCCUCAUCUUCUUCCUCCUUUUACAAAUAAAGCUGCCAUGCCAACUGGCCAAAGAGCUCUUCAUAGGAAAAAGGUUACACACUAAUAGAUUCCAAUAUAGCAGAGAGGAGCAAGGCCUAGAGUGAGCGAGCCAUCUCACAAUGAUCAACCAAUUUUUACACUGCUUUUUGACACCCUUGGCGCUCCUUGUAUACUUCGUGCGUACUUGGUGGGUCUUUCUUUGUGGUUUUAAUAUAUUUGCUUAUUUGCCUAUAAAAGAAAAAAAACAGCACCAAGUUACCAGAACCCUGCCUCUAGGAAUAAGAACUUCCCAAGUGAAAAUGCUCACCUCCGAAGUAGCACAAGACAUCCAUGCCAAAUAAGAUGAGAAAAGAGAGGCAGCCCUAGAAGAGGGCAUUGUGAAAGUAAAAAAGAUGCACCCAGGAACAACCUCUCCUUUAAAUCAAAAUCUAUGUCAUUUCUCUUCCUAAAACAAAGCAUACCCUUUUAUUCAACCAAUUAAUGAACAAGAAUUAGAAACUUAUUGUUGUUGGAGCUUGGUAGUAGUUCCUUCUUUCACCUUUCAAUACUUGCUAGUUUGGGGGCCCCUGAAUAUUGUAAAAAUUUCUUUCUCAGUUGUGCUACACUACUUCAUUUUGGCAACUUCUCAUGUAAACCCAAAGUUUUUAAAAGUGAAAGACUAGGCAUUUUUGUGCCUGUGAGGUGAUGUGUAAGCCGCGAAGCAUGAGGUGUAAGCCUUUUAAGACCCUCAUUUUUAUAAUUAAUAAAUAUUUAAAAACAAUUUAAAUAUAUAAAAAUAAAAUAGAAUAAAUGAAAACCUGAUAUCAAAUCAUAAAAACCAUACUGAUAGUUUUACACUUGCACAAAAAACCAUAACUAAGUUACAAAAUAAUAAAUAGAGUCAAACACAUAGAUGUAGUCGACUUCAAAAAUAAUAAUAAAACAUAAUUGACUAGAAAUAUUAUAGAUAUAAUUAAUCAAUUUUAUUUAUUUUCAUGAUUUGUCAUUUGAAAAAACAAAACUAAAAUUAAAAAUUAAAAAAAAACAAAAUAUUUUCAAAAUUUAACAAAAUAAUUUUUUUUGAACAAUGUCUUAGUGUAUUUCUUUUAAGAAAAAAAAAACAAUUAAAAAAUUAAAACAAAUAAAUAGAAAAUAGAAAAUGGCAAAAAAAAAGUGCAAACUAUGGUUGUGGUGAAAUAAGAGAGAGAGAGAAAGAACAAAAGUGAAAAAUAAAUUAAUAAUUGUGUUGAGAAAACUAAGAGAGAAGUGGAAGUGUUGAGGUGAGAAAAAAAAAACAAAAUAAAAAGUGAAAAAAAUAUAAAAAGAAUAAGAGAAGUCGGAGUUGUGGUAGGUGAAGUCAUGCGAGAGAGAAGUGAGAGGACCAUGGGAGUUGAUCGAGAGAGGAGAAAAGACGAGGAAGAGGAGAAGAUGAAGCCUUGUCAAGAUGACAAAGGGGCUCUAGAGUGAGAACAAUGCCUCCGAGGUGAUGAAGAGGAGUGGGCACUUCCAUUCGAGUGAAGUCGUUGGAGAAGAGAUCAAUCUUCAAGCCGCUAGAGCUAUAGAGAGCUAGGGUUUAGGUUUUUCUUUGUUCGGUGUGUUAGGGUUUUGGUUCAUCUUCAAUUUUGUUUUUUGUUUUUGUUUUUUUUAAUUGGCCACCUCAACAACCAAGAGGCUUAUGCCUCAAACAGUGGGGUGUAAAAGGUGUACCCAAAGUGCACCUCAACAGAGCCUCAAGCCAAAAUGCAAACACCUUUUGUGUGUAACAUUUUUUUCACAAUGAAUUAAGACGUUUUGAGGAUGCUUGCCAACGCCUUUCAAAAGACUGUGUAAACCCAGGCAGUAUGGUAGAAAUUGGCUUGAAAUUUGGACUAUCCAUGAUGGAGUUGAAUCUGGAAUUCCAAUAGAACAAUGAUCAUUUUAUAGUCCCUAACUUGUUAAGACAAUGAAGAUAUCAUCUUUGAUUGCUUGUGUUCAAGUGUGAGGCAUUUCCUCUAGAUUGUUAGUUACUGAAAAAAUUAGUGUGAAGUUUCAUUUUAUCAAUGUGGCUUGCUUUGUGAGAUUAUAAUGUUUACCUGCUCUAUUCUUGGCAUAUGGGUAAUUGGUGUACCUAUAUGUUAAUGGUUGAACGGCACAUUCUUACAAAUUGAGUGAUAUUUUACUGAUGAUUUCACAUCUAUAUGGGUUUCCUUAAAUUAGGGGUACUAUCAUCAUUCCAUUCCCAACUCCUUUGCUUUGUUUGUGUAGGAUUUGAUCUCAUCAUCAAGAAGCUAAGGGACCUCGUGCCAGUUUUGAUCAAUUGUUUCCAUGAAUUCAUUCCAUUGGUUCAUGCUACCAUGCAUCUUGACGCUCAAUCAUUCGACUGUAUGCUAUAUAUACUUCAGAGCAUAGAUCUUGCAGUCAGGUUCUUUGUCUAUGGGACUGGCAAGUCUCAACCAGGAUUAUGCUCAUCUAUACACCCUUAUGAAGGACCAGAUAUGACCAUGUGGGAUCAAGAUGUCUCACCUGUAGUAUUGAAGAAGUUGCUAGUUGUAUUUCCCCUUAACCAAAGACAUGACCUUUCUGAAAAGGUACAACGUUUCUGCAUCUUUUGCAAGUAUAUCUUUGCUCCUAAAGAGCUGCUUUUAAUUUCUAAAUUUCUCUCUCUCUUUUAAUCAAUGUCAGUCUUCUAAUGUAUUCAUUUUUAUAAAUUAAUACACAUAAUUUCAUAUCAUGGAAUAACAUUUCCAGACUUCAUUGGUGUCUUGCUGUGUCCUUGACAACUCUUGAUCCCAGAAGUUAUGGUGUUUCGGUACAGCUGCCUAAUUAGCAGCUAUAUAAGAUAGCGCAUUUCUUUUCUAGUAGAAUUUCUCCUGAACAUUGGCGUUCUUGCAUUCUCAAGUAUAUAAGAAAAUUCCUUCUUAAUUGUGCUUGCUGUUGUUGGAGCUAGGAAUUGUCUAAUAUAUUUAUUUAUUUUUUUCUGCUUGGCAGGAUGGCGAUAGAUAUUUCAUCUUGAAUGUCGUGAUUACAGAAAUAUUUUUACACUUAAGUGAAUGGAGCUAUCCUCCUCCUGAUUUGUUGGAAAUAUUUCUAGAAUUCAUAGAAAAUGCACUGUCUGGAAAGGUUUGAUUCUUGGACCUUUAUGUUCUAUGGGAGUUUGAUUUUUUGUACCUUCAAAAAUUUAUUCAACAAUUAUUGGUGAUGAUGAGCUCAACAUUGAAAAUUGAGAUAAUCAGGUUCUAACAAUACUUUCUGAUAUUGUGUUCGUUAUUCAUUCCAGUGUUCCAACACCCUGAACUAGCAUAAAAAAAGGAUAUAAAUACCAAUAAUUAUUAUUUAGGAGUAGUUCAAAAACAGUAACUUAUGUGGAGAUCUUUGUAAUGUUGAAAGUGCAAGUCAGGUUGUCUGCUUUUGUGGGGGGAGCUUCCAGCAAUUUGGUUAGAAAGUCUUUCACUGGUAAAGUCAAAUUUUGAGAAAAGAAGUCUGAUAUAUAAAGAAAAAGGCCUAACACCAAGGAACUUUAAACAGCCCUCUAGUUUCCUUAAGAGUGAAGAUAUCCCCAUGUGGUCAAAGUUAACAUCUUCAUUUUGGAGCUUAUACGCACUUGCAGGAAAUUUCCAUACCAGGAGCUUAUACCCACUUGAAAGAAAUGAUCUUACAGAAAGCCUUUCAACUUUUCUCUUGAUAUCUGGAGCCCGCUUGUUAGUUUUGGAAGAGUCACCCUCUAUUAUUAACUUGAUGUUCCUCAUAACACUAAUUUCUUAAAGGCCUUUAUGAAUAAGAAAGAGUGGAGCAAUGCUUCAGUUGCGUUUUGUGUGAGAUAUAUUUACCCUAUGGAGUGUUGAGUGUUUUUCCUUGUAUAGUCUAAUGUGGUGUACUAUAUCAAUAUAUAGAUCUCCUUGGUAUAUCGGAGAAAGUUUAUCCACCUCUUCUUUUGAUUAGAUCUUGUAAAUUUGGGAAUGAUUCCUCAUCUUUGACUUGUAAAUUUGGGGAAAAAAAUGUUUGUCUAACAAACAAAUUGAUGAAUCUUUGAAUCAUUAAACCCCUGUUCUUUGUGAGUUUGUGGGUUGUUUGAUAUGCAGUAAGAUGUGGGAAAGAGAGCAGGUUUUGGAGCUUUUGGGUUUUCUUUUGUUUUUGGGUUUUUGGUGACUGGCAGAAUUUACUUGAUUCCCUUGUGAUUAUUGCGUUGUUUCUCUUGUGAGAUUUUGGUAUAAUUCAUCAAUGGUUUCUUUUAUUUGUUCAGUUUUUGGAUUGUGUUUUCCUUUUACCAAUAUAUGGUUGUUGACAAAACAAGAAUAAAAUCUUUGUAGUUGGUCAAACCCUACCUAUCUGAAUGUAAUGAUUUUGACUGGCCCUGUGCUUGUAUUGCCCAAACUGUCUUAGUUCAGAAAAUUAAGCUCUGGUUGGGCAUAACAGGUUAGAAAUCAGGUCCGAUCAAGAUUGGAUUGAGCUUGUAUUAAUUUUUAAAUCAUCUCAACUUGCCAAGUUGCAGCUCUGGCUAUUCCCAAUCUUCAUUAGAAUUUCUUAAAACAUAUCGAAGUGGAAUCUCUUUUAGCUGUUUUAUUACCAAUAAUAAAAGGAGACAAGGAACAAGUAAAAUCACAAGAUUUUUCUAUUUCUUCCUUUACCAGAACCCUUAAAAGUGGCACAAAAAUGAAAUUGAGUGUCUUAAGCAGGAAUCAAACUCAGAUAUGCUUUACUUGGCUCCCAUUUGGAAAGAAUAAAACAUGAAUAUAGGAAAAAGAUCACUAGCCCAUUGCAUUUUUUUUGUUGGGCAUGAUACAUAUGUCUGGGAAUAGCAUCAUUUUUUGCUUCUCCUAGCUUGAAGACUCCUUGCUGCUAGGAAAAAGUACAAUGACAAUUUAUAAAAAGGUUCAAUGGUCUUUUUUGCUUCAAUGGAAAAUGUCUGGACAUAGCAAUUUAUUAGGUCUCCUAGCUUGAGGCAUAUAUUAGUGUUAUGGUGUACAACCAAUCAAACCAAGGACCAACUUUUUGGAGGAAGUCUCUUUCUACAUCACUUUUUGAAGGAAUAAACCAUGUUCCUAUUUGGCAAAAAACUGAAAAUAGAAUUUCAUGGGGUAGUUUUUUCAUUUGUUUCUCCCUUAUCCCUACUUCCCCUGAAAAGCUGAAGUCCUUUUCAUUUUUUAUUUUUUUUGGUCUUUUUAUCCUUGUUUUAUGAAAAUUUUCAGAAAUCUGUAUGGGUGGCUUAAAUGCAUGUGGGAAAAAUAGUAAAGGAUAAGGGGUGCAUGCGGCUUAAAUGGCCUUGCUGCUAGGAAAAAGUACAAUGACAAUUUAUAAAAAAGGUUCAAUGGUCUUUUUUGCUUCAAUGGCAAAUGUCUGGACACAGCAAUUUAUUAGGUCUCCUAGCUUGAGGCAUAUAUUAGUGUUAUGGUGUACAACCAAUCAAACCAAGGAUUAACUUUUUGGAGGAAGUCUCUUUCUACAUCACUUUUUGAAGGAAUAAACCAUGUUCCUAUUUGGUAAAAAACUGAAUAGAAUUUCAUGGUGUAGUUUUUUCAUUUGUUUCUCCCUUAUCCCUACUUCCCCUGAAAAGCUGAAGUCCUUUUCAUUUUUUAUUUUUUUUGGUCUUUUUAUCCUUGUUUUAUGAAAAUUUUCAGAAAUCUGUAUGGGUGGCUUAAAUGGCCAUGUGGGAAAAAUAGCAAAGGAUAAGGGAUGCAUGCGGCUUAUGAUUUUGGAGGAAAGAACAAAAGAAUGAUGCUUUGUUAGAAUUUGCAAUGACGUGUGAUUUUGUAAUUUAACAAAUAUGUGCCUCAAUGAUACAGAUCAGUAGUUACUAAGAUAAUAGUCAAAUAAACUUCUUUCUUAUAGGAAUAAUGUUUAUAAAUUGUUGAAGAUGAUUUCUUGCAUGGUUUUUUUUGGAAGAUUUCAUUUAUUAUUAAUAUAUUUGGAAGCAAUAGUCAAAAUAAGAAUUUAACAAAUAUGAAACAAAAAUAAAAAAUCAAGACUGUAAAGAGUGGGAAAAACUUAAAAAGGAAAAAUGAUUCAGCAUUAUAUUAUGGAUGACUUGUCCACUCUUUUAGGAUGAUCUUUUGCUGUGUGUUUUUUCAUGAAUAAUAUUUGCUGCUUUGAAUAAUCCUAUGAAUUGCUGAAACAUUUUGAUGUUUUCAAGGGAAAGGUAGUUUUUGUAAAUGGUUCAUACAUUUGACUGAAAAAUUACAUGGUGUUUAUUGUUUGGCAGACUAGCAGUGCUGCAGAGUCCGGUAAAGCAUUUCGUGAAAAGCAUUUACUUUCACUUCUUCCUUUCAUUCCCAAACUUGUAUCACGAGUUUCAAGAAAUUGGAGUUUGCGUAUUCUUCAGGUUCAAUUCAUUCUUCUUGGAAUAAGUUGACUACUAAGGGCUUGUUUUUAGUGAAAUACUGUGAUCUAAUUCUCUCUCCCCUAAGGAUGAAAAUGUCGGUUUUUAUAGAUAUAUCAAUAAUUGAAUUAUAUUGGGAUAUAUCCAGAAAUAUCAAUGGAAAUUUUUACAAAAAAAUAUCAAUAUGAUGACAAUUAAUCAAAACUCAUAAGUAUGUUAGGGAAAAUACCAAAAAAUAAUAAAGAAAGCAAUAAUACACAUAUUAAUGUUGUUUUAUUGAAGAAAAUGAUGAAUGUAUGAUAAAAUUUGUAACAAUUGACAAUGAUAUGUAAACCUUAAAACACAUUAAUACUAAAAUGAUGGUCUAUUUAAUUUAGUUUUAUUCAAUGAUAUAAAAAAAAUGAUAAUAUAUGUAUGGUUUUUUUAAAAUAUAUUUAUACUUUUUGGUCUUUAAUUAAUAUACAAAAGGUAUAAAGAAAACAUUGUUACAAAAAUUAUCAUGAUUAGGAGUUUUCAUAUACUUAACAAUCAAUUAAAUGAAAUUUAAAAAUAAAAUAAUUGAAAUUUAUUUAUUUAUAAAAAAUUUUAAUUUAAUAUCUUGUUUUUCUCAUGCAUAUUUAUAUAUGUAUAGUUAUUAAAAUUAAUUUAAUUAAAGCUAAAGUCUAAGUAUAAAAUAUAUAUAUAGUUAUGUUCUUGCAUAUCUAAAAUGGCCAAGAUGCCUUGGUUAAACAUCUCAUGGUCUUCUGGGUAAGACCCAAGUUCAAUUCCUCAUAUCGUGGCUCUCUCUCUCUCUCUCUUUUAUUUUGUGAUUUUUUUGUGACUUUGACCAAUAUUUGGAUGGGUUGACCUAUGUCGACCAGUCAAACAAGGCAAUAAAAUCAUCGAAAAUUCCGAUAAAAUCAGGAUAAAACCAAUAAUAUCCAAAAAAUCGUUGAUAAUUUUAAAAAAUCGGUCAUAAUCUAUAUCCUACCCAUAUUUUGCUUCAGUGAAGCCUGAUACACGAAAUAUCACCUAUUUUUCGCAAUAUUUUCGUCCAUGCUCUUCCCUAUGAUCAGUGUUUGUUCAAGCACUGCUGUGGUUGUAUGGUUCUAGUCUUCUAUUCUCAAAGUUUUAUUGGUUCCUAAGCGAAUAAUGCUAAAUAAUUAAAAUUUUGAUUACAGGCAUUUACUAAAGCUUUCAAGGACAGCAAUCCAGAGUCUUCAGUGAAAUUGGCCUGCCUUUCUAUAAUAGAGGAAAUGCUAGUCCCUGUAAGCUAGUUCUGUACUUUCUCAGAAAAUUUGUUUAGAUUGCCUUUGUAUUUAUGAGGAAUAGUAAAAUGAAUAAUUUAUGUAUAUAAGAAUGCACCAUUGCCUCUUUCCGUGUAAUCAACUCAAAAUUAUCAUCCCUUUCUAUCCUUCCCAUUUAUAAUUAAGGAUUUUCUGUUCAUAUCACAGAGACAUGGCAUCCCAUCCCUAGAUGCAAGUGAUCCAGAAAUAUUAGGACAUCAGACGACAUGGAUAAGAGAGCUGCCUUUGUUGCUAAUCAUGUUGGGUGAUAAGCACCCAUCAUAUUCCAAGGUAUGUGUAUAUUUAUUACCUUUUUUUCUUGGUGUUGUUACUUGUUAGGUGUUGAUGGUGGUGUGGAGGAAAGUAAAAGUUUUUAGUGACAAAAAAAUGACUUUAUAGCAUAUGGAAAUCUAUAAGAAAGUGUCUUGGCUGACCCUUUUCAAGGUGAUUAGAAAUGUGCUACAACCAUAACCGUGUCUCUCCUGGAAAAAAAUUUGGCCUUUUCCUUUGCAGCCUGAGAGAUCCAAUCAAACUCUUACAUCCCAUCCUUGAUCUGAGGAGCAAACUUUCCUCAUGAAGCGGAUUGUUCUCCAAGGGGCUGAAAGCUUGGUGACCAUCUUCUUAGCGAUUGUUAAGCAAUCUCUUUCUUCCUUAGUCUAUUAAAGCCAGAAUGAUGAGCUUGUCCAAUUUCUUUGAGGACAGCAAUGGCCUUGGGGUCAAAUGAGUUAAAGCCCUUUGGCUUUGAGUUUGCUAACAACAUUCCUCUCAUAAUCUCUAAGGAUGACAAUUAUUUUAUAACCUACAAGGGGAAAUUAGGGCUCUACUUAUGAACACUGACCAAAACUGUGCUUCUCAUUUCUCUGAGCCACCUCCCAAUCUCUCAUAUGACCAGAGGUGUAGUGCCUUUAAAUUCCAUUCCAAACGGUGUUUAGAAAGCAGCCAAAAAGAGCAGUCCUAAUCUAAAAAAAUAUUCUUUAAUUUCUUGUCUUUCAUAUGGUUGAAACAAAAGCCAGAAAAGCGCAUAGCAUCUAUAUUUUGCAUUCAGGUUACCAACCUUUUGAGAAGGGCACUACCUGGGGAUAGAGAACACAUGUGUGCCUCCUGUUUCUUUAAGUGACCUCCCAGUGCUUCAUAGUGCACAGAAAUGGAGCUCCUUUAGGUUUUUUACUCACCAGAGCCCAAAAAUAAGCCAUAAAGAGAAUUCUAUCACAUAUUAGCUCACUUUGGUAAGUGCUUUUCUAAAAGAUUCUCUAAUUUCUUGCCUACCAUGUGUCUUAGAUGAAAGCCAGAAAUUUGACCACAAUAUUUUCCCCCAACUGUGUCCUAGAUGUUAGCUUUUUAUUUGGGAAGUAGCUUUUUUAUUUGGAAAGCUAUUUAGGAGAGAAUUCUAACUCUGGAUCAACUAAAAAGAAGGGGCUGGUUUUUACCAGGCAGGUGUUAUUUGUGUAAAGGGGAGGAGGAAUUAGGAAAUCAUUUGCUUCUUCACUAUCCCAUGGUAGCCAUGAUUUGGCAGCUUAUUUUGCUCUUUUUGGUAUUCAAUGGGUUAUGCCCUCUUCAAUCAAGGAAAUCAUACUUAGCUGGCAUGACUCUUUUGUUAGGAAGAAAAGGAUAAAGGCGUGGAAUGCGGACCCUUUGUGCUUAUUUUGGACCUUAUGGAAGGAGAGAAACAAGGGAGCCUUUGAAGAUACCAAAUUGGUGGACCAAGAUUUUUUUAUUUUUUUUUAUAGGUAAAUUUGUGUUCUAUUGGAACUUGAACCUGGAACCUCUCACAAUCCCUCCCCAUUCCAAAUUGGUUGACCAAGCUAUUUUAUGGUCCUUUUUGUACAAUUUUUCGGAAUAGGUCAGGGUGCAUGUAGGUUUUAGCUCAUGGUCUUUAUUUGAUUUCAUCGAUUGGUUGGGAUGUAAGUAAGGUGACGAUCUUUGUGUUUUCCCUUUUCUUUUUUGGCCGUAAUGCCUUGUAUACAUCAUGUAUACUUUCGGGUGGUCUUCUUUAGGCGCUCCUAAUACAAUUGCUUUUUACUUAUAAAAAAAAAUAAUUUUCCCGAAUUGUAAGCUGCUAAAGCGUGGCUCUUGCCAUGAAGCAAAAGUAGAAAGCCAAUCAAUGAAGUGUUCACUUGUCUCACUACUCUCUAUUCAUAAGAAGCAGAUGUUGGGGACAAAUUUUCUAGGGCCUCUAGUUUGAAGCAUGUUGUUACCAUUCACUUUAAGAGCAAGUGCCCACGCCAAGUACUAACCUUAAUAGGAAAUUUAAGGAGGAAAUCUAAGGAUCUAGUAUCCAUGGUCCAAGCAAAGAAAAAUGAGAUGAGGUUGUUAUUUUUAGGGGAACAAAUGUAAUCAACAAUGGAAGAAUAAAUAUUGACAUCUCUUAGAAUGUUAAGGAGGGAUGAUAUAUUGGAAACUGCUGUAUCAUUGAUAUUUAAAAAGUGGAAAUUUUAAUAGUCAGAUCCAUUAGAUGGAACCAUUGGAAGUCAUUUUUAGCACUGGAAUGAUGAUAUAAGAGAAGGGGGGGAGAAGUGUUGGUGGAAGAUUUAUCUUGCUGAUUAUGUAUCACACAUUCAUGCAGGAUGACAGAAUGAAGCAAAACCUUGAAAAACAAACUUCUAGAAACAUUGAGUUUCUCUUGCUGCCAAAUCUAGAAUCCAACUAUGGUGUUGAAUUUUGCACUUAAUCUUGAUAGCUAAAUGUUAGAAAACCUUUGCUUCCUUGAGAAAUCUCUAACCACUUUCCUGUGAGAUCCACAAUCCUUUUUUUUUACAGGUAAAAGCAAUUGUAUUAAGAAAGCCUGAUGUACACCUGAAAGUGUACACGUGAGAUCCACGAUCUUUGGGGGUUGUAUUACACAAUUUUAAUACCUAUUAAUGAUAGCAUGCAAUAUACAUCUGACUGCAUGGUAUCCCUAGUCUAUAUUGAUCAAAAAAAAAAAAAAAACAUGGUAUCCCUAGUCUAUCUGUUACUUCUCAUACCUGUCAGCCACUUCAACUAGACCCUAAAAUGAGUAAAGAAAGUAGAUGAGAUUUAGAAAUGCUUCAAUCGUUGGGCUUAAAUCUUUUCAAGACAAGGGAGCUCUCUAUGUAGCUCUUGCUUCUUCGCAAGGUUCAAGGCAAAAAGAAAGGGCUGAAUCACAACUUACUUUGACUUUCUUCUCACUGAGGUGGUGAGAUUUUUUAUAUUAUCCCUCUCAUUUUCUUUGUAAUUCUGAAUCCUAGGGAUCUUGUUAGAGAUUUAAUCCUUGAGAUCUUUGAGUUAGGUUUGAUAUUUAAGAGCCUACAUUCCUUUUCUACAAAUCAUAGAACUCUCAAGAUUGAUGCCUAAAAGUAUGCUUGUGGUCAUAUUGGUCCUCAAUUCUCAACCAACCUAGGAUGUUAGAGAGAUAACGUAGUAGCUUCAUCAUCCAUCUUCAUCACGUGCUUUUGUUCUCCUUGCAAUUUCCAUUCUCAUUGCAGGUAGUGUUGCACCUUCAACUUCGCCUGGGGCAAUGUGCUCUUUUAAAUUCUGCUGUUGCACAGGAAUAUGACAACAUGCAAUACUCGCUGCUUGAAUUCUACUGCACUUGUUUGGAAGAAAGUAAGAAUUGAAUUGUUUAAAAGUAUUAUAUUGAUCAAGUGCAUUUACUUCUUUGUCACACUCUUUCUUAUGUUUCAGGAAGCAUGUUUUAUGGUCCUUUCAUAAAGCUUGCCAGAGAUUCCCAGGAACUUUCUGUCUGUUGCCUUUACUAUUUCUCCCAUUUGGAUUCAUCUCUGCUCAAGUCAAUCGCUUUUUGUUGUCUAUGUGAGUACCAUGUGUAUGAUAAUUAAAAACUCCAUGAGUUGUGUUUUUUUUUUUUUUUUUAAAUAGAAUCUUAGAACAGAAUCCAGGUCUCUUCUCUUUGUAUUUAAAACUAAUUUUAAACAUGAAUGCAUAGGUUGAUUUUUAUUUUGGAUGAUCGUCAUAGCUGCUAGAUUUCAUGGAUAAAUUGCUCAAAGUACCUCAAUUUAGAAUUGAUGAUUCAGUAGCCAUAUUUCCUAAAGUAUGCUGCACUCCUUUAGUUCGCUGUCUUAAUACAACUACUAACUCAUCCUCACCAUGGUGAAAGAGUAUGUUUUCCUUUUCUUUAUGGUGAUAGAGAUGAUUCUAAGAGAUUCUGACAUGAAUAUUUGGGACAUAAAAAGUAGUUGGAGAAUUAUUUGCUUUGUAGGAGAUAGUGGUGGACCAUGGAUUGUUUUCAUAGAGCGAACCUGAGGACCAUGAAUUUGCUUUGACAUGAACAUCCAUGGAUUGUUCUCACAGGGCAUAAAUGCCUUCACUUGUUUGUCCUACACUUUGAAAGACAACUUUGUUCCAAAAAUUGAGGAUGAAUUAUAAUUCCUAACAUUUUUUUAGUUAUUCAAGGAUAAAAAUUUCUUUGAUGUAGGUGCAAUAUGCACAUUUAGAAAAGUAGCAGACUCUAUGCUUAAUGUCAAACAAUUGGAGAUGUUUAGGGAGCCCCCUCUCUCCCUCUCUAUACAUACUUACAUAUAUAUGUGUAUAUAUAUUUAUAUAGUAGUUGGUAAUUAUUCGUAUAUCAUGACUAAAAUAGGCUGAGAAUGCUUCUUCAUAAAAUUGUAAGCAUGAAAAGAAGAAAAAAACUAUGCUGUUUUUAGCACCUGUUUAUCAAACCUUUUGUAUACUUAUUUCUUGCCAACUUAUUGCAGGUGAUGAUUUGGAACCAUUUAUGUUAUUUCGAAUAAUAGAGGUUCUGCAUUCAGCAUAUAAAGCUGGGCAUAUUCAGAUUGCCGAUCAUAUUAGUUUCUUCAUCACUCUACUUUCACGAUUCAGAGUUUUUCCUGGUAUCCAGCCCAUUCAUUUUCUGGAAAAAUUUAGUAGCUAACAUUUGGUUUCUCUUCUCUCUGUUAGUUACCCUUUUUGCAAUUUUAUUUUGUGGUUGAACUUCCAUAAAACUGGAGUGCAUUUGGUCCUCAUAUGCAAUCAUCCAUAUCUAUGCAUAUAAGGGGUUGUGAGGAAACAUAUAUAUAUAUAUAUAUAUAUAUAUAUAUAUAUUAUAUAUGAGGGCAAUAGGUUGACUGUGACAACUAGUUUUAUUACAAAAAGAUAAAUGGCAUCAUAUAUGAGCGAGGUUCUUAUUAGUCAAGCUGAGCCUGAGAGAUAUCUUGCAAGCUAAAAUUGGUCUUUUUAUCUCUGCAGAAGAGAUUUAUACGGUUAUGGAGGGUGACAAGAAGAUGUCAAAUCGUGGGAUUUUCAAGUCAGUUACUAGUGUUGUUUCCUCUUGCCUGCUGCAGAUGGGGGAAGAUUCACUUGUUUUUCAGAUACUGGAGGAAGUUAUACUUGAUCAGAUGGUAAGUUGACAUAAUGCCUGUAUCUCAUCGUGCAUAUCUUUCAUUUCAUGCAUGUAUGCUACUUUUUAUACUUCUGGCAGCUUUAUGUUGGCUGAUUUCUCCUUUAUUUAGUGAGAACUCUCCAGCAUUUCCUUUGGACUACUGAUCGGCUUGUUAGGAAUUUUCCUAUGGACAUGAAGCCCUUAUACCAACCUUGUUUUUAUUUCAGUCACUCAGGCCACCUAUAGACAACAUCUGUGCUAUGCUUAGAAUGCUGCUUUUACUGGAUUCCAGACCCACAAGACUUUCUGAUCAGAGUGUUAUCAAUCUAAGCAGUUUCCUAUCAGGAUACCUGAUUGAUGUUGCAUCUGUAAGUUUGUCAGCUAGAAUCUGCGUUUAAAAAGUUUACAAAUUGUUUCUCUUUUUUGUCACUGUAUUUUUUAAAAUCUGUUUCACUUUCUUUUUUUUGUUAAAUCUUAAAUGUGUGUGUGUGUUAUGGUGAUUUCUUCUUGGAUACUUAUCUAUAAGUAGGCCUCACUUAGCUGGAAAAUCUCAAGUCCCCACCAUCAUACUUUUUAUCCUUCCAAAAUCUCCCUCUACCCAAAAACUGAACCAUGGGCCUCUGAGAAAAUCCACCCAAAUUAUCAUCACAAAUUUUACAGGGGCAUAGAAGAGAAAAAGUGCCUCCUCUAUACACGACAACUCCAAAAUUCAAUUAUCCCAUCAUCACCACUCACAAACCCCUUAGCAUUAGUGCAACCCACUCUAAACAGCAACCUGCCCUAAGGCUCCUAAACUUAUAUUGAAACCAAUUUAGAUUCUUGUAAGCACAACCAAUUGGGCCUUGUAAGGUUGGAGGAGAAAUGGAACGACCUCCCUCUUAUCCACAACAUUUGCCCUCUUAAAUUCCAUGAAUUAAUCCUAAGUUUCAUUGUCCAAUCAUGUUUGGGUUCAAGCAGCAACAGCACCUGCCUCAAUCUUCAAAUCACCACCCUCAUAAUUCACUGAGCAGGAUGGUUAUGCAAUUCUCUGUUCUUGCAUGAACUGCCUCUCCCCUUCUUUCAUAGUGUUAGAGCCCUGUUUGCCCCACCUGGAUUCUAUGUCUUAAGCAUGUCCAUACUCUCCUCCAUACGCUUUGAUCAACAGUUACAAAUACCUGUUGAAUAUCCCAAAUUUCAUUUUUGCCUGUGGUGUAGGAGCUUUCUCCACACCUUUUUGAACUCCUGAUCUGGAUUGCAUGAAAUUCCACCAGGCAGUAUAAUAGAUACCAUGUUCAUGUCAAUAGGAGGCAACACAAUACCACACCAAUCUUUCUCCAACCACACCACCAUAUUCCUCACGCAUUUUAAUGGGACUCUACCAUGGCCCAUCUUGCAAGAUCAUCUGCAAUAGUCACCUCCACUUCACUGCAAGCUUUCCUUACCUACAUUCCCAGGUGCAUCCAUUGCUCCAAUGCUUUUCUGACCUAUAAGGCCUGCUCAUCACCCACCAAACUAGAGGAAGAAGACCCCAGCAGACUUACCUAAGUUAGGAGACUCCCUUUCACAAAGAUAAGUGCUUACUGCUAAUUAGUGUCAUCACCUUUAGCUCCUCCACACCACCUUCACCUCUCAUCCCCAUAAAGGGACGAAAAGACCAACUUGAUUAACUCACAAUUUCUUUGCCUGGGCAUCAUACUGCCUCCUGUCCAGUAGAAAAGACUUGAGGAUGUCUUGCUCUCUGCUUCCAUAUGUUCUCCCUUCUCAGCCUCCAUGGGAGAUAUGAACUUAAAAAUUGCCAGCCUAAGGAGGUCAGAUUCACUUCCUUCACUUUAUUACAAUCCACCUUCAAAAUUUGAAUUACUGCCAAUGGGUUGCCAAACAAAAAACAAACACCCCUACCACCCAACAUCUUCUUGUCUACAUUGGCUACUUCUUGCUCUACUUGGCCUGGUCUUUAGUAUCUUACAGUUGUCAUUUAACAUCCUAAGCAAUGCUCAAAGCCCCCAUGGACCUUAGCUGCUACACUGCCUUCAGACACUGUUGAAAUUCCCCAUUUCCAGUUCCAUCCUCCACACGCUUUGAAUGUUUACCAGAAAAUCCCAGAUUAUGCAGCCUGCUUGGCUAAGAAUAUCGACUCAGAAAAUCUAAGCUAUCUAGGAAAAUAACAAAAUACCUCGUUAUGUCCUCUGGAAACACCAAGCCGGGCAGAUAUCAACAAUUCCCAUUUUUCAGCUCUCUUCCAUCAAGCUUAAGAUCUUUAAAUUACACAUAUCAUUUUUUCAUCCACAACAAUAAUCCAAACAGUUCAAAAGUCAUGAGAGUCCCCUAGAACCUAGUUUGUUCCGCCUUUAGUAGCCUUUUCCCGUAUUCAUGAUCUCCCCUUUAAUUUUCCCUUGCCAUUGUUUUCAUAAUUCCUCGUUUUAAUCCUAGCUGCAUCCCAAAUAUUUCAUUUCAGUUCAAUUUAUGCUGAAACCUUUAAAUUAUAAACAGCUAUCCAUAUUUCUGACUUUAUUGCUUACAUCUAGUCCAGUUUCAUCAGGUAGACAACAUGCACCACGGGACCUCAUCUUUUUUUUUUUUUCUUUUGAUCAAUAAGCAAAAGAAUUGUAUUAACGAAGAGGCACUAAAAUAGCGACCCACAGAAUUACAGUAUAGAGACACUCACCCCCUUACAAUUGGACCCAAAACAAGAAGGAAAAAACAAAAAACCUCCAGUUGUGCAGUUAAGUUCAUCCAUUGCUAAUGCAAAACGCAAGCAUCUGUGCAGCUAGAAAAUGGCAUCUCCCAUGAGUUGAUCUCUCAGGUUGUAUCCUCCAGUUGUAUGUGCAGCCCUUCAUCAAAUUAAUAAAUCUAGUUAUUCUAUUUUCUAUUUUUUUUCUUUUUUGAUCAGUAAGUGUAAUAUGUAUAUUCAAAAAGAGGCGCUAAAGAAGCGACUCAAAAAGCUACAGCAUCGAACAACUCACCCCCUUACAAAAGAACCCAAGCCACUAUGAAAGCACAAAAAACUCUCUCCCUUAACGCAUACACACCCAUUCCAUAAAAUCUAUUAAGGUCGAAGGACCAUCUUUUAUCCACAAUUUGGUUUCCGACCAUAGUAAAUACACAAAAGAAAUUUUCAGCUUUUGGAUGGACAGCACCCCAUCCUCAAAAGCAAUAGAAUUCCUAGCCUUCCAAAUAACCCAAAACAAGCAUAACGGUCCCAAAAGCCACGCCACCUUCCUCUUCUUGCCCACAAAGGAGCCUCUCCAACCUAUGAGAGUUUCCUUAACCGAAAGCGGAAAAACCCAAGAGACUCCAAAAAAAGAGAGUAGCAAAGUCCACACCUCCCUUGCUCUUCCAAACACCUAUUAGUUACAUUUGUCUUGUUAUAUACUAAUUUUGAAACAUAUAAUUUCCUCCCUGCUAUAUCUGAUGGAUAUGGACACAGGUAUGAGAUGCACAGAUUCACUGACCUAGCUCAAAAAGUAGGACCAUAGAUGUGGAAAGGACAGAACAAUAUAUUAGUAUAUGCUUACUGGUCUUUCCUCUCUUUUACUAGUCAUAUUCUUGUCUUUUGUGAGUUUGAUCUCUGUGCACUGCACUAUAUAGACGCAUGUCCAGCAGUGUGAGGGGAUUGUACUUUCCUACUUAGUAUUCACAUAGACAUGGGUCCUCUUUAAAGGCAAGCAUGCUACGGGCAUCCUGUUUAUGUUUACAUUUCAAGUUUAAGUAGUUUGUUAGUUGUUUUGAGGAUUUGUUUUGUGUUCUUUGUAAAUUGUUGCUUGUCAAUUUGCCAGCUUAAUGACUUACCAAUUUUAAUUGAAGCACUUCAUCCUGAUGCAGGGCAUUCCAGAAGAUGAUGGCAAGUCCACCAGUUCCAUUCAUGUCAACACAUGCCAUUAUUAUUUCCUACCAUGCUUUUUACUGUUCACAAGAAGUGAAAAGUUUUUAAAGCUCACCUUGGAUGUGAUGGGCUCAUUGAUAACAGAAAAUGGUUCAUCACCUUUUUCUCCUAAUUGUAUUCUAAAUGCCACUGACCAUACGAAUAGGAUAAGAGCUAUUGUUGAAAUCCUUAUAUUGAUGCACAAAGAUGUUAAAAUCCAGCGAAUUCUUUCUUCAUGCAAAUCAGAGAUUGACCAUAUUUUGCAGAACAUGCUCUUAUUACAGGUAUGAUUUUGUACAUUAAGCCAUGCAAUUCCGUUUAGUUUUUUUUUAGUUAGUUUGUGUAUUCAACUGACCUGUCUGGUCCAAGCAUCAUGGAUUUUUUUCAAGGUUAAACCAGGCAGCCAAAGCCUGCACUAUAAAUGCUAUUUAAUCACGGAUGUCAUAGAUUGUUUAUAUUUAAUAUGUAGAAUGUGCCAAAUUGAAAUGCUCAUUAAGUAUCUUUUAGCAGAAUAACUGAUUGGCCUUUAUACUGUCCGAUCUACCUGAUCUAAUAUGACUCUUUAACUCUCCAAGGAUUGCUGUAAAAAGGAAAAUGAGUCAGAAAUUCAGAGUAAAGAUUACCAUGACAAUCACAAGCUUCAUUGUAAUGAAAUCAGCCUGUUUAUUGUUUGAUCAUUAACAUGUUGAAUACUGCUGUUAUGAUUAGAUGUUUUUUUCCCUCAAGAUAGGGUAAGAACUUUAGAAUUGGACCCCUUAUAAUUCAGACCUAAUUUUAUAUUCACAAGCCUUCACAAAAUACCUUUCAAAUUCGAUUUGACCUCAUAAUCACUAGCCUUAUAUGCAAGAUAGUCUGCAAUUUUGUUGCUAUUUCUGUUGAAAAUAUCAAUAAUGGUUUUAUAAUCCAAUUAUAUGAUAAAUACCAAUCAUAUCCAAUUAUAUGAUAUAUAGAUCUACUUUCCUUCUUUUGAUCACACUUUACACAGCAGAUUUUGUAUGUGAGAAGGAUUUCUCUGUUUUCUCAGCCUUCUUUAUAUUUGUUUUCACUGGAAUAAAAUGGUUGUUUCUGAUUAAUAUUAACAUAUGCACACACACACAUAUUAUACACGCUAAAGACAUGUUGUUGUGUGUAAGUAAUAAAUUUCUUGACAUCAUUGUUACCGCAGGCUUCAAAAGGAAUGAAUAUGAGUAUCGAAGAAAGGCACAAUAUACAAUGUGCAUUUGACCGACUAAAGUGCAUAACAAGUACACUACCCAGUGCGACGCCAAUAAUCUAAAUGCAUUUUUGGAAUCCAAUAAAUUGGCCUAGUAAGUUAUCUAUCUUUCAUCUGCUUUUGUUUCACACAUUAUUCUUCAUUUAAAAGAGGUGAAAGGCAAGGUGGUUUUGGAGGUUUUGGGUUCUGUUUCUCAUGAGAAAGUUCAUGAUCCAGGGAGGGGGGAUGAUCAAUUACAAUCUUGCUUCUUUGACUCUAAAGGGCAUUCCAAUUUUAUGGUCUAAGAUAUCCUGACGCUACUGUACAGUAUGGGCAAAGGAGUCUAUAAUUCAAACUAGUCAUUGGCUUGUGCAAUGUACAUGAAACUGUUUUGUUCAAAACAGAUUGAUAAAAUAAUAUAUUCUAUGUCAACUAAAAGUGAUAUUUUUCUAAUAGGUAUAACUAGAAAGUGAUCUGAAUUUUGUUUGGCUCUUUAAUUAAUGAUCUCUUCGCCUGUCAAAGAAAACUAUGGAGUGACGUAAGGCUGCUAUAGUAAUGAAACUGUUUUUAUUUCUGAUAAAAAAAAUGAAAUUAAAAUAAAAUAAAAUGAAAGGGUUUUAGGUAUAGGAGAAAAUUAGUUGCUAUAUCCUUUGUGGUGGUUUUGAUCUGUUAUGGAAAAAAAUGAUCCCUUUACUUUAUGCAGCUGUCUCUUCUGACUCUUUUAUCUUAAAAGGGGCCAUGUGCUCCUUGGAUAGCGGUAGUCUUUCUUCUACUAAAUCCAUUGGCUCUCCCAGAGCCUGGGUUCCAUGUUGGAUUCUGUUGGGUGAUUCCUAGUGAGAUUCCAUUGGUGUUUGGGGUUGCUUUCUGGGUUUUUUCAGCAUAUAAGUUUUAUUGUCUGAUGCUUCUAAUGAUACGCAAUAACUUGAACCUAUACAGGAGAAUGCCCAUUGAAACAUCUCAUCGAGUAUUUAAUACAAUGUUUUGUAACAGAAGUGUGACUAAUUUUCUCUCAUUUUUCUUGUGCCUUCUUUCAGCUUUGUAUUUUACAAGAAUGGAGAGAACAUGGAGAAUCGGAUAUGUUGUUGGCAAGAUGUGGAAUUGGGAUGUGUUGUUAAAUCAACUAGUAUAUGUCACCAUAAUCUCAAGAUGACAAGGUGAAUUCACUCUGAUUCAACUUAUCCGAGUCAUGCCAGAAUUAUACCUAGUGGUCUUCAAUCACAUGCUUGUAUUCUUCAGAGUCAAAAGUGAGUGCAAUUUUGAGCCGUAGAUAAGGUAAUCAUCCCCCUUUCUUGGCCUUUUCCUUGGUUUUUUUCCUCUCCUUUUCUUCUGCAUGGCAAUUGCCUACGCACUUCAUCAUAUAGUUGAGUUAUAAGAUAUAUACUUAUAGUUGAUGAGAUUUUGUAGAAAAUUUUGGAAUUGCCCCAAACUGAUAAGAUGGCAUGAGGUUGAAUGCACACAAUUUUGGGAGUUGACUCAUAAGUUAAAAUGAUUCAAUGGAGUAGACGUAUUACACAAAUUUACCUCUCCGAGUGAAUAUUAAUAAAACGCACCAACAAUUGAGCAAUAUUUGGUCUUCUAAUUAUUCAGUGAUGUUCUUUGUUGUUGAAAGUCAAAAGAACAAUUUAUCAUCCGAAAAUCUGUUGAUUGAAAACCAUUUGUUUUCAAGACUAGUUAUAUUAGAAAGUUGAUUGUAGUAUGGGAUCAAGGACUAUUAUUGCCGAGGUUGGGUGAGUGAGAUUUUAUGUAUUGACCCUUUAAGUUCAUAUUUACAGAUUCUCAUUACCUCAUUAAGCAAAAUAAGAUGAGGGAUGGAUGAUACCUGAAUUGCCUGAUUCUUCUACAGCCCAAUACCCGAUAAUAUUUUUAAAGCGCCUAUCAUUUGUGAUGGUAAACUUCGGCAAGCACUCUUCUUACACAACGUGUGCUUGUCAGAAAAAUUAUUGAUGGAUUUAAUUUCCAGGAGGUUUGACCGUGGCCCAAGUAUCUUUUCAACUGCAACACCAAAGUCCCUAUGGGCCAUUAUGCAUUUAAUCCAUUUUACCCAAACGUCAUAUCAUCAAGAUAUCCAAAACGGUGCCGUAGAGGUUAUUUUGAUAAUAUGUCUAAAUACAAACUUCCAUAUUUUUUUGCGGUCGAAGUGAUUUGCCCUCACGCUUGAUCAAGAGAUCCGGACUAGUUUCCAUUUGAGAAAGUUAAAUUUACAGCCUGCUUGAGAGAAAUUAAGGAAUGGUAGGAUCAGACAAUGAAAUAUCGGAGUAUUCAAUUAAUUUGCUAAGAAAAACUCAAAAUGAAUUUUAAUAUUUUACCAUCUGAUUAAGUCAUCCAAAAAAAAUCAUAAAUGUACAAAUGCAUGCAGGUAGGUGUCCUCUUCAUGAUGGUAUGCACUGAAAUUCGCAUUAGGUGAGACCCACAAGUUCAUUUGACAUUUGCCAUAAUCAUCCCUUAAAUGAAAAUGACUAAAAUGUCUUCAUUAAUUUGCAUCAUGGUCCAUGCUUUUCGUUUUAUAUGCUUCUGCAAGUAAAGGGCAUUUAUCUUUACAGGCCUCGCUCAACCAGGUCCAUAUGCAUAUGAUGGUGGAGCUCACUUAAUCGUGUGUUACACCGCUAUCCCCCAGGAUCCCAGCCAAGCAAAUUGGGCCCACCAAACAUUCAUGGCUCACUUAUUCUUAGGUAAGCUGGUGGUGUACCACUUCCAGGAUUGGCCUUCCCAACCUAAAACCUCUCAUUUGAUGAUCAAUUUGUUUGCUUUCAGGAAAGCAUAGUCCAGCCAAUAAUGUGCCUGUGUGCAUGGUUCACCUCAAACAAAUCCAGAAAUUUGCCAAGUCUUGUUUUACAUUAACCAGCAGUCACCCGUUGCCCUGAAACUAACUUCUUUAGUGACAAAUUUGAACCUGAAUACAAACAGGUUUGUAUGAUUAAAAGCUAGUGAGAAAGGCGAGUGAAAAAUAACAAACCAAAACUAAGAAAUCAAGUAGACAUAUAGCAGAAAUAUGAACUGCCAUGCCUACAUGCUUGAAACCAAGGCCAUAUCAACAGAUCAAGUAUGUGAGCUGGAACAUGAUUUGAGUGAUGAAAAACAAAUGAUUAUGGGUGUUAUUUAUUCUAAGAUAACAUUUGGGUCCUGCAUUUGUUCCUACUAGACAACAAUUUCCAGGUGUUAUUAGUAGUAAUCCCAAAUGUCAAGAAAACUAAACAAUUUUCACAUCAAUGGCAACCCCUUAGGGUCUGAAAAGCUUGGUCGGCGCAAUCAUUCAAGUGAACCAUUGAAUUCUGAAUUCCUUGCAUUGGAGUGAAUACAAGAGAGAGCAAUAUCAGUUUCAUCCUUAAUCAGGUUUUUUAAAUUAUUUAAUGAGAGCAAAAUUUGCAACUAAUAGAUUUUGGUAAUAUAAAUUCAUUAGUCAUAAUUGUAUUCUCCUGAAGAAGGGGAUACUCAAAAUAUUACCAAUAUGAUCAGGACACCAAAAGAUUAACUGGACUGGAAAUUGAGAACAAAGAAAAUGAAAAAGAAACAGGACUGAGGAAUAGAAUAGAAGCUUAAUACAAAUUCCCAAUGCAAUUUAGAAGAUUCUAUGAAAUAAUAAACUGUAAUUUUUUUUUCUGAAAUGACAUAUGCACUUGUUUGCCAUAUCAGAGUAAAGCAAACUACUACAAAGUAGCUAAUCUGUCAUCCGAAAAAUAAGAAGUAGAGGACAAACAAAUCUAAAUAUACAAACCUCUGCAAGAAUUUCUACUGAAAGAACUUCCAUUUCUUCUCACAAUCCUGAGACUGGUGCAAGCCUCGGAUGUUCACCUUACCAGCACAUCCCUGUAUCAGAUUCAUCUCAUGAAGCCAUUUGUAUGUAACUGAAAAAAAAAUUAAAAAAAAUGCUGUAUUAGAUUCAUGAAAACGACCCAAGGAGCACAACCAACGAGGCACCCUUUAUGAGAUUGUUAAAUUUUGAAUGGUAGCCUUUCAUUGUUAAAUUUGACUCCUAGUAUUUCAUGCAAGGAAAUGCAUUUGUUCCCAAAAAAAAUAACCCGGUCAACACAGGUUUAAGAUCAAAGUAUUGCUUUAAAUUUCAAUUGUUUAUGAUAAAUAAGAGUGUAGAAAUCAACAACCCAAAAUUUUUUCCAUAUUUUCCUUCUAAAAACAAACUUAAGAUUAAGAAGUUGGUGAUGCUUAUGUCUCACCCAUCAAAGGACCAAAGAAAAAAAAAAUCAACCUCUGGUUCUUGCAUCUCAAAACUAUGCAACUAAAAUAUAAUUGUGUGAAUAAAUAUAAUAGAACAAGGGCUCCCCCUUAUUUCUUUUGGUCUAAGCUUUGAAAAGAUUGGAGGGACAGGAAUGCCAAUUUGCUAUCCAUCUGAUCACUAACUUUUGUAAUACAUCUAUUUAUGAUUCAUACGAUGGUGUCUGCAUAUCAUACAAGGUAGUUGUGUUGUAACUCCCAGCUAAACUUGGUAUGCCAAAUUUUGGCAUUCAUGUCCCUUGUGCCAAACCUCGUCGACUCAUGGAGACACGUGUAAGUUCUCAGGCCACUUUGGAGAAACCAACCUCAUCCCACCAUUUCCAUCAUUUCAGUUCAAUGUUGUUCGCUUUUAGUAAUUUCACCACAACACGCAAUUGCUUUCCUUUCAUAAUUUAUGUUGAAAUUUAGCAAAAAUAGUGAUAAUUUGAUAGAAAUCAUCCCCUCUUCUCUCCCCCUCUCCUCUCGAAAUCAGUAUUUCUAUAUAUAUAAAGAGAGAGCGCGCUACCUUUCUGGACGAGCAAAUGAGACAAACUCCUCGUUUCUUCUACAACCUUCCAGAGGAACUUCCAUGAAGGACGAUGAAAGGGAUCCCCAAGCACUGCGAGACUGAGUGGCAUGAAUGUGAAUCGAUUCAGAUGGGAAGGGCAAUAUCGUCACAAAAAAUUAAUAUGUGACGAUAAAAUAGCGAACUAGACGCCACUGCUCGAUGAGUGGAUGACUUGGGAAGCAAGCAACUAAUGAGAGUAGGAGCCUUUGAAGCUUCUUUCGUCAUCUGGUUUAUACCAUAAAAAUCAGAUUCAUGUUCCGUAAAUACCCCCACCGCCUUAAUUUAAUUACUAUUUCAGGUCUAAAACCCCACCACGCCUCGCGCCUUUUAUAAAACCCUUUCUGUUGCAAUAUUUCCUUGUUAAUGUUUUCAGCCGACGGGAUUCGCCGUGGUCUGCAGGUAAGAUGAUGGAGAUCAACGCCGGGGUCUCUUUUCCGGUCGUCUUCUUCGAUGGGGAACGGGAAAUCAACAUCGGAGACGUCGUUGUGUUUCCGUCGAUGGAGUUUAAGAAUUUCCAAUCAAUUCUGAGCCAGAAAAUUGGAAUCUCUCCACACCAGAUCUCCAUCUUCCUUGACUGUCAGAGGAAAUCGCGAUCAUCCAUGGAAACACGUCGGAGAAUUCCUAUUACCGGUAAGGUGAGUUUCUCUGCAAUUCUUCGCGAGAAGGAUUGCUUCUUUCUUGUGGUCUUGAAGCGAUCAAGGAGAGAAAGAAGGCGAAAAUCAAGACUUCUUAACGAAGUGGAAGAAGAAGAAGAGAACUUCACGACGCGGAAUACAGUAGCGCCGCCUCAGAAACUGCAUCUUCUCCGGCGAAACCAAGAGACAACCGAUCAAACAUUUUCAGGCUUCGUUUCGCCGUAUUACGAUCAGAUUAUGCCUUCGGACGACCUGUUCGUGGGAUCGCAGUUUCUAAAUUAUAAUAAUCGUCUCCAGAAUUUGCAGAUUCAACGAGAGAAGUAUUUGCGCUCUACCAAUUUGCAUUCGAUACCGAAUGAGAACUAUGACUUCCCGGUGACGAAUAAUCGAAUCGGAAGAGAUGUGAUAGUGUGCGAGGAGUGUGUGAAGGCGAUGACGAUGGGAAAACCGGUUCCCUUCCACUGGUGCGUGUACGACGCCGUCACUGUAGGGUUCCGAUCACCGGCCGGACCAAUUGCGAGGCCUGUCAAACGUUCCAAUUAGGGUUUGAAGGUCCACGUUUUUAUUUUAUUUUAUUUUGUUAUUUUGAUGAUGAUGAUGAUGAUGAUGAUUUGAAUUGAACCCAAGGAGACUUCCGAUUUAGGCUUUCUGCUUAGGAACAGGAAACAAUAGUGUUGGGGGGUGGUGAUGGUGGUGCGAUGUGGCAUACGAUAAGGAAGGUAUACCACACGCGAUACCACAUAGAUUACAGAAGAUACUAGGACUAGGAAAUUAUACAAGUGUUGAUAUACGUGUAUGGAAAAACGCCCUUUGGGAAAGGGUCCAAGUUGACAGAUCUUUUUCUGUAUUUUUCUUUUUUUCUUUGGAUUCUUGAGAGAGUGAGAAGCUCUGCUUCAUUGCUUGAAAUGGUGAGACACACCACUUGGAAUUGUUUUCCACCCCAUUCCAUUUUCAGGAUCGUAACACUACUUUGGGAUUAGGCCCUACAGGAAUUUAAUUCCCAUUGGCGUUUUGAUUGGAAAUUUGGUAUAUGAAUGAAUUGUCAUCGUCUCUUUUCUUUUCUGGGUUCAUGGCUUACCAUUUUUACUUGUAUUUUAAUGGAAAUGUUGUAUUUUUUUAUAGUUUUGGUCAUAUUUUAUAUUGGAUGGUGGUGGUGGUGGUGGUUGUUGUUCUUGUUAUUUGUAGGAGAGGGGCCUUGUCAUGGAUGACUAAUUGGAAAUUAUUGGUGUUGGUUGGGAAUUAUAUUAUUGGCACAUUAGAAUUUUCAAUUUUUGAUAUUUUUUGUGAAGAUUAAUUGUAUUCUUGUAGUUUUUGGGUGUCAUGUGAAUUUUUCUGAGGGAGGCACAUGGCGCAUUCUCUAUCACAGAUGAAAUAAUGGCCACGGAUGGGAGGAGUUUGUCAGAAGAUAACUUAAGACUAAUAAAUAGAGUUGUUAAGAUGUAAAUUGUUACUAUAUGUGUGAAAAUAACAUAUGCAUGUGGUUAUUAUUAUGUGUACAGGCUCUUCUUUAGGUCUUAAUGAUGAUAAGGAUUUGAUAUGCAGUCUACUUAAUGGUAAUUACUAAUUGCCUUGAAAACUGACUUAAAAGAGUUCGCAGUAAAAUAUGAUUUUGACCUUUUUCAAAAAGGAUACAAGGAUCGAGGGAUAGUGAUUAACAUUAACAGCACUGAAAAUUAAUGAAGAUUUAAAAAAAUUAAAAAAAAAAUAGAACUCCGAAACAUAAUUUAUACUCAUCUUAGAAAAAUUUCUUAUAUUUUUUAGCAACUAAACAUAUUUAGAAAUCAUAAUGAUUAUCCAAUUACCAAUUUCCUACAAAUUACAUAUUAAUCAUUAUCAAAAUUUAUCAUAAUAAUAAAUUAUGAUAUCUUGAAAUAUUUGAAAUAAUGUUAAAUUACUAUUUUUUUAAUUAUUAUUUUUAAAAUUAAAAUAAAAACAAAUAUAAUAAUUAUGUUUAUAAAUAUUUUAACAUGUAAAAAUAAAUAGAUCUAACAUUUAACAAUCAAUAGUAUUCUAAUAUUAAUAAAAAAAUAAACAUUUAAUGGUAACUUAUAAAAACUACCUUCCAAUUAUUAUUAUUAUUUUUUUCUCAAUUUCUUAUCCUCUCAUUUCCCCUUCCUUGUGCAAACCAUUAAGGCUAUGUUUUGGUAGCAAAAAACAUCAAGAAAAAAAAAUACUUUUAUCAAUUUUAUUACAAAAACCACAAAAAAAAUAAAAUAUAAUUAAAAUUAGUUCUAAGUUUAUAUAUUUUAAUUAUUUAGUCCAAUGAGAAAAAUAAGUGAAAUAAGAUUAAAAUUUUAUAUAAAAAUAUUUUAUUAACUUUAAAUUUAUAUUUUUAUUAGGUUAUGUUUUAUGAUAAAAUAAAGUUAUCCAAAGAUCUUAAGGCUAUGUUUGUUUUUUUUAAAUUUUUGAAGGAAAACAAAUAGUAGGGAAAAAAAAAAAAAGAUAAUAAAUAAAUAAAUUUAAAUUUAAUAAAUUAUUUUUAUAUAUUACUUCAAACUAAUUUCACUUAUUUUUUUCAUUAUAUUUAAAAAUAAAAUAUUGUAAUAUGCGUAAAGUUUUAACUAAAUUUAAUUUUAUAUGUUUAUAUUUUUUAUAAUUAAACCACAAAAAAUCAUGUUUUUUUAACUAUUUUGUUUCUUUUCUCACUACCGUUUUGAAGCCAACACAUUCUCCAACAAUAUAAAUUUUAAUUCCAUAUUCAUCUUAACAUUCAACACCAAAAUAAUAAUAAUAAUAAAAUAAAAAAUCAUUUUCUUUUUCAAAAUUAUAGAUAUAAAUUUAUUUUACCAUAUUUUUCUUAUUAUUUUCCAAAAAGUAUUUUAAUAUCAAUCGUGUAUAGUAAAAUUGGUUUAGGUAUAUAUUUUUAUCUUACAAAUAUAUAUAUUAUGCUAAAAAACACGUGUUAAUAUUUUUCCCACUAAAACGUUAUAAAGUGUUUUUGACGUUGAAAAUCUUAAAACAAAUACUAACAUUUUAGUUUGGGAAGUGUUAUUAAAAAUAGGUUUCUAUUUUUUAUAAUAAAAAAUAAAAAAACACCUUUAACAAAAUUUUGAAUUAAAAAUAGUUAUUUUUAAGGAUUUCUUUACAAGACAUUGUUAUAUAAAUAAUUAAAAAUUAUUUAUAAAUACGAUUUCAAAAUUACUUUUUUGAGACCUCUUUACGUUAGUAAUGAAAAUCCUGAUUUUAAUAUUAUAAGUAAUCAGUAAUUAUUAGAAAUGAAAUCAGAAUUUUUUCUUAUUUUUAUUUUUAGUAUAAAAUUUUUGGAAUAAUAAUAAUAAUAAUAAUAUGUUCGCAUUACAUUUUCAGAAAACAAAGUACGCUAUUGGUUGGGUUUUUGAAUUAAAAAGCAAGUUGACAACUGUUGAACCGCAUCUUCUACCAACCAAGGGUCUAUGCCAGUCGACUGUACAUCACGUGCAUAUCAACGACCAUAAGAAAGCAGGUUUCAAGCCAAGAUUGGCGAGUGGGGGCUAUUUCCUACUCGAGAGCGUGCAGAAGGCAUGGAAAUAAGACAGAAAGGAGAGGGGGGUUUUGCUGGGGGUUUUUGAAGAGCCAAAACGGCAAAACGGGCGAGUUAGUGGAGAUUGUAGAGCGCCGAGGAAAUCGCAGAGGGGGAGUGGUCACGUGAGUGCAGUACUCUUUCUUUCUCUCUAGCGAAGAUGAAAGAGAUUGCCGUAGCGCGUAUUCCCUCUCUUAUUUCUGGAGAGAGAAAAUCGUAACGUCAUUUUGAAAGCUGAGCGCUCUCUCUCGGUUCUCUCUCUUUAGCCUCCCUCCGUUCCCCAGAUGAACAUUUUGGUUUCAAACCCUUGAAAUUCCCUCUCUUCUCUCAUCUUCUUUUGUCUUCUCUCGAAGUUGGGUUUUGCUAGGGUUCCAAUCCUUUGUUUUAUGCUUUUUAAAAAUGGCGGAGUUUCCUCCAAAUUUAGAUGAUGGAGAACUAUGGCUUCCUUCUGAUAUUUUCCCAGAGGAAGUUCCUUCUAAAUUUGGGACCCACCACUUGCCUUCUGAGUUCGCUUACAUGAGCGACAUCGCUCGGCAGUUUGCUGCUUUCACUUUGCUUCAGCCGCCCCAGACCCAUCCUAAACAUCCUCUAAACUUGGCACCAAACUUGGAGGUUACUCUCUGUCCCUUGUGUUCUCUAUUUAACUAAGCUUCAGAGGAUUUGCAUUCACGUUGAUGCUUUGAUUUGUGGGUUUGCAGCGGUUGAGACCGAUGAUUAGGUAUGGGCCGUAUGGCCGUCCCGGUUGUAGCACCACUGUUGCAGUAACUGGAAUUGGUGACAGCCCUUGUGUGUGUGACAGUCCUUGUGGGUGUGACUGCCGACUCCGGAGCUGCUGGGACGGUGGUAGGCCGUUGUACGAGUACCGCAAUGUGAAACCGCCUCAACCCCAGGUAAAAAAAAGGGGAAAAACUGCGAAAAGGACCGUUUGUGUUGAGUCAUUUCAAAGCUUUUCACUUUUUCAGCUUUAAUACACAGGUCGAUAGCUUUCUGCAAACAAGGACUUUGGCUCUGCAGAGGCACCAAAACCGCUUUCAGAACCGGUCUUUGCCGUUUCAGAGAAGCGGGUCUGGGUUGGGUGGUGGUGGUGGUGGUGGUGGUGGUUUUGGUUUUGUGAGAAACUAUGGAGGGACAGGUGUGUUUCUUCCCCGUAUUUCAUCCACAACCACCACUUCUCCAAACCCCACCGCCACUGAUGACUCUAGAAAGAAACAAGGUGAGUUGUUACCGUUUUUCUUUCUUUGGGCACUUUUGAUAUAUUUGGUGUGGAUAUCUGCGUUUUCCGCUUUAGGUCUGCUAUUAUGUCUUUUGUUUAUUUUAGUUCCCCAUAUUUUAUUGCUUUUGCUUGUCGCCUUUGUCUUCAAAACAUAGAACCAGCUUCAAAUUCUUUAUCUGGGUUUUGCUUCGUUGGGAAUCUGGAACCAUUUUUCUUUUCCUUUUUUUUUAUCAAAAAGAAAAUUACUUUCAGACUUUAGGAGGCAUUUAUUGUGGUGAACUGUUGUUGGUUCCAGUCUUCUUUCAGUUUUUUCUUUUGUAGUUUUUCAAAUCUCAGUCAAAGAAAGCACUAAUUUGCAACUGCUCAAUUCAGAUGCUUGACAGUUACUAUGUUCAUAACCUCCUGUUUUUCUUGAAUUUUGUCAUUUAUUUCGGUUAUAGUUUAAUAGUUUAUUGGGUCUGGCAUUUCUGUUGAAAUUGUUUUGUCCAUCUAUCAAUAUGAGCCUGCUGCCCAUGGUGUGGUGCCAAUGCAGCUUAUUAUAAUGCUUAACAAACCAAUGGACUGAAAUAUAUCUAAUAAAACUUUGUCGCCUUUCAUUACAAGUCUGAUAAAGAAGUCAGUGAAUCUAAUUGACAAACAAAAUGUCUUUAGCAAUCUAUAUGGAUUUCUUCUUCUCUUAUUCCACAUCUCUUUUGUUGAUAUCAUUAUUCCUUGUCUAUGGUUGCCUGGUCCAGAAUAUGAAAAUGAACAAUUUUAAGGAUAAUUUGCGAUAUUUUGUUUUCAUUUAUCUUAAUCUAAGGAUGAAACAUUGGCAGGCAUGAACAAUUGGCAUGGGAUGCAAGUCAGUUUACCGAGGAAACCAACCAUGAAUGGCAUUGGUGGGGGGAAACAAGAGGAGUGCAUCCGCCAGCUUCCUCCUGAGCUUGCCUUGCCUCAAGACUGGACCUACUGAGUUCCUCUUCUUCCUUGUAAAGAGUUACUCUAGUGGCAGUGUGGAACAUAAGGAAAUAAGAGCUCUAAGCAGGACAGAAGUCAAAUAAUCAUUUGGGUUUUGUGUAGAACUAAUAGAAAUUACUAUUAAAGCUGAAGUGGGUAAUCCUUUCUUUUAGUAAGGCUCUAUAACUUUGUAGAAUAAAUAAUGGGUUUGAAGCUUUUUGUAGGAAUUUGCAUUGUUUCGUUAUUUACAUUACUGUCAGCCCUCAGAAAACAUUGUUUCUGCCCUAUUGUUUUCUUCUUUGUGCAGUAUUGAAUGCUUAUAGCUGGAAUAACACAGCACUGCUAAAAGGACUAUUGCUUCUUGUGUUGGGCUUUCAGUUGGUGAAUCCAUGAAAGGCACAUUAAUGACUCUGCUGCAGUCAUGGAAUGUUAAUUGAAAUCUGCCAACCUUUAGGAAAUUUUUGUGUGUAAUUUUCUCAAGGCAAUUUUCAGUGGUGGAUUUUUGGGUUUGGAAUCAUUCAUAGGGUAUUGAUGAUUUUUUUCCCUCCAAGCAAAUGGUUUGAAUUGUAUAGUCUUUACAGCCUGUUCACAAUACCAGCUUUUAUAGGAAGGAAAUAAAUGAGUUACUUAGAUGCCAACUUGAAACCAACCUUACGAUGAAGUUGAAAGCUUAUGAAUAGGGAAGGGCUUUUUGUGGAAAUUUUUAUUACACCAGUCCGAACUUUAUGAAUUGUUUUUACUUUUUGUUUCUCUCUUCUAAGGAAAAUUUAUGAAUGCCCUCGCUCACUUCAACUGCCUUCAUUCUCAUCCUAUUUAUGCGCUUGAAGCAGAUACCCAAUUCACUUAAUGUAUGGUGUGCCCAUCCAUCUAAACCUAAUAUACCUUAACUACUACCCCAUAUGGGUUUUAUGGAGCAGUGUAUUUUUAAAAAAUUCAUAAUAUAAAAAAUAAUUCUAAAUUUAUGAUAUCUUUGAAUUUUGAAUAAAAUUGAGUUUACUUUUACAUUGAACUCCUUUUUUGAAAUGGGUGAAUUUAAUGUAAAAAAACAAGUUUAAUGUAGAAAAUGUAAACUUUUUUUUUUUUAAAUAUGAGUAAUAAAAAAAAAUUAAGUUCAAAAGAAGAAUUCAAUAUAAAAAGUUUUAAAGUUAAAAGGAAAUUCAUUUUCUUAAGAAAAAAGAGUAGAAAAAAUAACGAGUUUAGUACAAAAAUAAAAGAAGUGUUGAAAAGUUCUGUAUUUUUAUAUUUGUUUUUAAAUAAUUAUAUUUCAAUAAUAUUUUAUUUUUUAAAAUCCCCUAUUCUCAGGACGGUCACAUGAAUGCAUUUACAAAAAAAAGAGAAUUGUCGUUGUCAUUACAAUUGUUUUAAGAAAAUUAAUUUAUUAUAUAAAAAGGAAUGUUUUAAAUUUAAAUAAAAUUAUUUCUUUAAUUUAAAGAAAAUAUUUAAAUUAUUUUAAAAUUUUAUAAAUAUUAAUUUAAUAAAAAAAAAACUUGCUAUUUGAAUUUACAUAAAAUUGCAUUUAUUCCUUCCUUUUAAAAAAAAGUAAUAAAUGAAACAUGAUUUAUUUUAUUUGUAGAUAUGAAGGGUAUUUUUAUGUACAUAUGUCGUGCGAACCUUUUCGUUGUGACAGAGGAGGAGCCCAAUGUGCAUAAUAAUGACAAUUGUCCAUCCAAUUACAUCAAUGAUAUGGCAUAAAAAUACAUAAUUUUCAUUUUUUUCAAAUAUAUAUGUGAUGUAAUAUACAAAAAGUUAAAUGAUGAAAUUUAAUAAAGAGUAAUGUUUGCAUGACCGUGUACAUUAGUAAUCUCAUGAAAUUGAAGCUUUCAAUUUGACAGAAUGAUAUGUUAUUUUUUAUUUAUGAGAAGAUUUCAUCUCUUAUUUAGUAAAUUUGUAUUAAGGGUUUAGUGACAUUUUCAUAUGGAUUUAGUAAUCUGAUCUUUAUUUAUACACUUCUCGAUAGAUGAUAGCUUAAGACAAAUACAUUUCAUCUGGCAUACGAGGAGAUGAUUAUUACAUUAAAGGACUCGUCGAUCAUCCUUAGCAUCCUUAUAUCGAGUAUAAUCAUAUUUACCACAAUAUAUGAUAAUGAUCAUACUAUGACAUAACUAGUUAAUAGAAUACUUGAGUUGUUAAGUCUAAUGUCUAAAUAAAGUUAUACAUGUAUAGAAAAUAGUCAAUUUGUUUAAGAUGGUUGAGAGAGCUUUAUAGUGAUGUUACUAUGUAGACGAGUGAUAAUAGGGUCCAAUAACUUGCUCAAGAUACACUUACAUAUCUAUCUCAUUAGUUAAGCCUUAUGACACAACGAUAUGUCAAAUCAAUUGUUGGAUACACAACAUUACUUGAGAUAUAGUCAUAAACAUCAAUAUUUCUCUUAUACUACAUUAUCAUGCAAAAGAAGAGUACUUUAAACUCUCAUAGGGCUGGGGAUAUGGGUAUAUCCCUAUAUUUGGAUCUCACCAAAAUAUAUAAUUUGUAUGAUCCAUUAGGAUUGCUUUUGCCAUCUAUGCAAGAGCGAUUAGAUGUCCUAUCCAUAGAUAAUAUAAGACAUUGUAAUUCAUAUAUUUUUUUUCCCAUAUAUAUAUAUAUAUAUAUAUAUAUGUAUAUAAUGUGGUUGAAUCUAUUGUUCAUGCAUUUUUUUUAGUUUAUUUUGGAUCCCCAUAUAUUUAUCCAAUUUAGUUAUUGAGCCACAAAUUAUAUCAGACUGUCGAGUAAGAAUAGCAAUGAGACAAGUCUUUUAAGUUUGUUUCAUCUCAAUUAUAUGUAUAAUUAAAUAAAAAAGAAUUUAAUUCAACUUUUUUUUUUGGGUUUUUUUAACACAAAAUAAAAAUAAUUUAUUUUUUAGUAAAAAAAAUUAUAAAAAAUUACAACAUUUUUUUAUUUAUAAAUUAUAAUCAUUUUAAUAAAAUAAAAAUCUUUAAAAAAAAUAAAUAAAUGGGGCUAAGCAAGUUGAUUCGAGAAUUUUCACUAUCCACCACGAUUUUCACAAUACAUUGUGACUUACUUGGUUUAUUUUUUAUUUUUGGAUCGAGGACGAGAAUUGAUUUAAGUAAUUGAGGUGGGAUUAGGAUGGAAGUGACAUGUUUUGUUUUCAUCAUUGAGUCCUAUCAUCCAAAUAGAGAAUUGAUGUUAUUUGGUACGGUACCGUCCAAAGCAAGAGCACCGUUUUCACCUUUUAACCAUUAUAAAGGUGUUAGCAUGGUUAUGAAUGCAUACUUUGACUAGAUCUAAGAUCAUUUGGAUGAUUGCAUAUCAUAUGCUAUCAUGUAUGGUGUACUUGUGAUGUAUUCAUUAGAUUGUGCUCUUUAUUAUAUGCAUUAAUACAAAUGGGUCUCACUCAUAUGCGUACAAAAGCCAUAUUGAAGUUAGUGGCUAUCCUAUUUCAACAGCAUGUAUAAAUAACUAAGCACAUCGUGCAACUGACUUAGAGACAUGAAAUUAUCGUAGAAAUUUAGAAAUUGUUUGGUAACUGUCUUUUAAAAUAAUUUUUUGUUCUUUAAAAUGAAAAAGUAAAAAAAUAUUUGAUAAUUAGAAAACUAUUUUUUGUUUUUUUGUUUUUAAAAAUAGAAAAUAAAGUGUUUUUAAAAAACGUCUUUUAAUUGUUUUUAAUUAUUUUUUUAUGUUUUAUGAGGAUUAUUUUAAAAAAUAAUUAUAUAAAUAUGUAAAAUAAUUAAAAAUAAAGUAUUAAAUAUAAAAAUUAUUUUUAAAAAUAUUAAAAACAUUUCAAGUUCUCAAACAAACUUUUAUUCUACAAAACAUCAUAAAAUAGUUUUUAAAGAUUAUUCUAAAAAAUUGUUUUCGAAAAUAGUUAUCAAAUAAGGUCUUAACAUGAAUAAACUUAUACCAAAGCAUGGAACAUAUUGAAAAAUUAUUUUGGUCGCCUUUAGGGAUGACAAUUGAGCGGGUUUGAGAUGAGACACUUUUAUCCCAUGCUCAUCUUAAUCAUAUAAUUAUUAUGAAAUAAAAGCUAAUUAAUUAAGUAAAAACACUCCAGAGGAGGGUGAAUUGAGUUUUAAAAUUUUUUUUUCAAAAACUAUUCUCAGGUUAUAUUGAAAAAAAUUAAUAGAAAUGAAGAGAUGAGAGUUAAAGAGAUUGCAAACUCAAAUUUUAUAGUAGUUCAUCCAAUUUCGCCUAUGUCCACUCUCCUUAAGUUUUUUCCAAGUGAGGGUUCUACUAGUAUGAAGCUUCAAUCAAGCUUUCAAGUCUUUACAAUUGGAUUUCCCGGCUCUAAUGAACACUACAAUCAAUCCUUCAAGUUUAUCCCCUACUUCAAGACUAAGCAUUCAACCUUACUUGAAUAAUAAAGAUUUAAAGCACUUAAAUCUAGCACAAUUAAUAAACAAGUACAAAAAAGACUAGGAUGAACACAAAGGUACACUAGAAAUGAAUUGCAAGUGAUAGCUUAAUAUACAAAUGAGAUAAUGAGAGCUUUGAAAGUGAGAAACAAGUAGGUAGAUAGUUUAAUGUAGGUGUUCUCUUAUUAAUAAAUGAAUAAGAGCUCUCUAUUUAUAAGUUUUUAACCUCAAGCAUAAAAGUACACUAAUAAACUUUUCUCAAUUGAGUUUCAAUCAAUUGGCUGACUAGUCAGUAGACAAUUAAUGUUUGACAGGUGAUUAUUAGAGAUUCGACUAGAACUUGACUGGGAAGAGGUACCCAUCGACUAAGAAGACAUUUCUCUCGGUCGGGAGAGUAAUCUUUUUGGAAGAAAGAGAAAAUUUUUGCACCCCUCAAUUGGUAUUUGAUUGAGAAAGGGUAACCAAUCAACCAAUUCUUUAUUUGGUUCAGUAGGUUCAACCCAUCCUCCACCUAUUGGAUAUAUUUUGUUCAAAAACCUAUCUUUUUCCAUCUUUAAUAAUUUUUAUAAAACAAAUUUGAGAAGUUUUUUUACUAAGGUUUUGGAUUAAUACUUGAGUUUAUAAAAAAAUACGAUUUUUUAAGUCUAAAACGAGUAUGAAAAAGAUGCAUUUAUGAAUUCAAAUUCCUAAUUGCACCCAAGUGAUCACCUUACAUUGAGUCUCUAUGCUUUGAAUAAUCUUCAUGCUCUUUUGAACUUGCAUCUCUUAGAUCGUUAACUUGAUUUCUCAUUUGAAUUAUUUGAUUAAUACUUGAAGUUUAUCUUGAUUUGAAAUGUUAGUAUACUAAGUUAUCAUCAAAAUAUAAUUAGGGAACAUUUAGGCCAACAAUUAUUUUUUAUACUUGUCCCAAACCCAAAAUGGGAUGGGUAGAAGGAUUCUCGUUAAACAUAAUAAUCUUGUUCUUGGCACACCCCAUCAAACUAUAUCUUUGAUGUACCUCCAACUCUAAUUGGUCAUGUUCUUUCUCAAGCUUUAGUUUUUUUUUUUGUAAAAUAAGUAAUAUAAAAAAAUAAAAAUUUUGAUUAUAAAAAUUAAAUUUAUGGUAUAUGAGUUAUGCAUCUCUUAUAUCUUAACUUAAAAUUAAUAUAGAUAUAAAAAAGAUAGUAAAUAAUAUAUCUCACUAUUCAUCAUAUAAUAUGUUUAAUCAAAUAUGAAAUAUGUCAAAUGAUAAAAUAACUAAUCAUAUCUCAUAAUCAACAAAAAAAAUAAUAUAAUAUUUCACUUUUUAUUCUAUCAUAUUUUAUAUCCCCAAAACAAAAAAUAGCUAAAGAGAGAGCAGAUAAUUGUAAAGAAGAUGAUAUGAUAAGGUUAGAGUGUUGAAAAUUGUAAAUAUGAUGAUAUGGAGAUAAAUAAAUAAUUGAUGAAGAAUAUGUUUGGGAGUGAUUUUAAAAAACGUUUUUAAUAUUUUUAAUAUUUAAAUAAUAAAAAAUUUUAAAUAUUAAAAAUAUUAAAUAAUUUUAAAUAUUAAAAAUGUAAAAAAAGGCUUCUAGAAUCAUGACUUUAAAUUUUGAUUAUCCUUCUAUUAGGUUUUUGGUAGGAAGAUGGUAGGGUUUGCUUUAACAUUAGAAGUUACAAUGAUGUUUCAACUUUGACGCCACACGUGGCGUUGGCUUAGCCGCUUUGGUGCUGUAAUCGACUAAUUUCUUUAGGUGAAAGUUUAAACCAUGUGUUCAGUUACGGCCACGUGGAACCAGCAUCCUCGUUGCAUAAACGCAUGCACUUUCUUCCCCGGACAUGCCGGACGAGUGAAUUUUAAGGAAGGUUCGAUGUUUUAGGAAAGUUUGAAAAAGCAUCGAACGGGAUUCUGAGAUUUUGAAUUCCCUUGAUGAACAAAAUCUAUACAAUUUAAAAAUCACGCAACAAAUCAACCAAAAGAGAAAUUCCAAAGAAUCCAAAUCCACUCAACCCAUCCAAACAAAAUAAAUUCACAAAAACGACUCACAUUUUGGAAUUCACUUCAUCAAUCUCUGCGAUGGGUGUUCCUCAGGCCAUGCAAACCCUAAGCGAGAGAGCAGCAUUCACGAGGGAGUCUCUGCAAAAGAGCCAGACCAUCACGGAUAGUAUGGUCGCCAUUCUCGGCUCCUUCGACCACCGCCUCUCCGCUCUCGAAACCGCCAUGCGUCCCACUCAGGUGUUUCUUCAUUUUCUCCUCGUUUGGUUUCCGUGAAAAAUUCAGGAAAGGACAAGAAAAUGGAAAGAAGAUUGCGGGCUUUAUGAGUUCUGUUUUUUGAUUCUCACAAAAUUUGGGUGGAAAAAAAACACAACAAAUUGUGGAAUCUAGGGUUUGCUUCCGUGUUCAUUCGAUUUGUGGGUUGAAUUUUUUUACGGCCACAAUGAAAUCCUCCUGACUGCUUGAUUUGAAUAAAAAAUUGUUAAAAGUGUUUUGAUAUGUUAAUUUGGAUUUGAUUUUGGUAGAUAAGGACGCAUUCGAUUAGGAAGGCCCAUGAGAAUAUAGAUAAGACACUGAAGGCGGCUGAAUUGAUACUGGCCCAAUUUGAUCUCACCCGCAAGGUUGGUGUCUCUUUCCGGCUCCUGUUUAAAUUGAUUUUAUGUCAUUCUUGAUUUCAGUUUGUCAUGUUGUGUAUAUUUUAACAUAGUUGAAAUUAUUAUGAGCUAAUGAAUUAUGCUUAUUGCUUCACAAUUAUGUACAAUGAUGAGAAGCACUUCCAGGACUCUGCUUUUAGAUUUUCAUUCAUCUGGUUUGUAAUACUCGAUCAAAAGAUUUUGCAUUUCCCCCCCUGUUCGGUUAACUGAGAGAACUCAUUAACAUUUAUACAAAAUCACAUGCAGAGACAAGUGUUAGGUGCAAAAAUGAGUUGCGGAUUGAGAAAAUAGCCCAUUCUAUAGCUUGGUGGUAACUGGUAUAUCUAUUUCAUGCUUUUAAUGUUUAUAAAUGAGACAUAAAUUGGGGGUGAGGCCAGAUAACAGGAAGGUAACCUCCUUAUUGAUUGUGGUUGUAUCACAAAAGAGGAACCUUCUCUAUCUAUUGGGUGAUGGAAUCAAUGUUUUGAAAACCGGACUGGGUAGUCUGACCGGUUGGACCGUCUAUUGGUCUUCUUCUUAAUCUAGGUAGCCUCUUUCAGCUGUUUUGAAGUUGAACUGGUCAAGAACCGACCAAACUGGCUAGCUGGUUUUACCAAAUUUGGCCGUUUUUACCAAAACUGUUCAUCUUGGAUCUCUUGUCUAAAAAAGAGAACUACUACAACAAUUGGGCUGCACCACUCUUUUAAAUAUAUUACGAUUUAAAUUCUUUUUUUUUAUAUUAUGAUUUAAAUAAUAUUAUCUACCGGCUUAAUAAAUCCAUAUAAAAUGAAAAUUUUGAAAUAAAUAUGAAAAUAAUUUAGGUUAACGAAUAUAAUAAUUUUUAAGAUGAUAGAAUGUAGAGUAUGUAGUUGUUGAAAUCUAGAUUAAAUAAUAAAAGUUUAUUUCAUUUUGGAUAUAUCUUUUUAAUAAUAAAAUAUUAUAAUUUGAUCUAUUAAUAUUAAAGAUAAAAAAGAUGAGGAAAAUCUUUAAGUUUGGGACAGGUUGUUCAACCCUAAUCAAACCAUGACAUUAACAUCAUAUUAUAAAAAUAUAUAAUUUAUAUAUUAUUAAAAUUUAAAAUAACUAUAUUAAUUUAUAAUUUGAUCUAUUAAUAUUAAAGAUAAAAAAGAUGAGGAAAAUCUUUAAGUUUCUUAAUAUAUAUAUGCCAUUAAACUAGAAAUGCAAUUGACACACAGUGUAUAACUAUACAUGGUCUAUUAAUGGGAAAUGUCACACAUUGGAUAGGGGAGAAAGUUUCUGACGUUAUAUAUGUAUGUGCUCCUCUUAACCUUGUAGACGUGUUUUAAAGUUAUGAGGACCCCUUUGGGUCCAAAGCGGACAAUAUCUACAUGGUUGGGUGUGGGUCGUUACAAAUGGUAUCAGAGCCGAUCUUUGAUCCCAGAGCAGGGGUUUGUUUGGACUCAUAAGGGGUGUUUGUUUGUUUGACCCUAUAAUCCCAUGGGUUACAACGAGAACGUUGUGUCUGUAUAAGGAAGUAUUCAUGAUGUCCUACAUCGGAUAGGGGAGAAAGUUCAUGACAUUAUAUAUGUAUGUGCUCUGCUUAACCUUGUAGACCCGUUUUAAAGCUGUGAGGAUCUCUUUAGACCCAAAGCGGACAAUAUUUACAUGGUUGGGUGCGAGUCGUCAAAAUUCCCACUAAUACACUGUGUGUAGUUAUACACCAUGUGCCAACUACAUUUCUGGUUUAAUGGCAUAUACAUAUUAAGAAACUUAAAGAUUUUCCUUAUUUUUUUUGUUUUUAAUAUUAAUAGAUCAAAUUAUACCUUAAUAUAGUUAUUUUAAAUUUUAAUAAUAUAUAAAUUAUAUAUUUAUAAUAUGAUGCUAAUGUCAUGGUUUGAUUGGGAUUGAACUACUUGUCCCACUAAUACACCGUGUGCCAACAACAUUCUGGUUCAAUGGCAAGUUCAAUUCUGAGAACGUUGGUUACAAUCACCUUGGACUCUACUAUUCUAGAAGUUUGAAAUAGGUUUUAACCAAUGUAAGGCUUCUCUAUUCAUCAAAAUUGUGGACCAUCCCAGUCUUUCCCCAUAUCUUUAUGCAAGCCAAAAAGAUUGCAUAGACUUUUAAAUUAAUUAAUAAACUAAAUGAUAACUAGAGUUUAUUGUUUUUAUUAAAAAAAUGUAGGUUGUGUUUUUUUUUUUUUUUGGUUAUUGGAGGGUGUGUUUUAUUGGUUAGUGGAGCUAUUAAAUUAUUGUUAUCUACCAGAAGUUUUUGAACAUUAAGAUAGUGUCAGUCUUCUCUUCUCUGAAAACUUCGAUUUUUCCUUAUUGCGUGUGGUGAUUAACAUCCAUUAUGUAUGGUAGCUCCAAAACAAUACUUCAUAGCACAUAUGAUCUGUUUCUCUAUGUUGAUCUCAAUUUUUCUUCAACUUUUAGGCGGAGGCUAAAAUACUGAGAGGGCCACACGAGGAUCUAGAAAGUUACCUAGAAGCAAUGGAUCAACUGAGAAGCAUUGUUCAUUUUUUCAACUGUAACAAAAGUUAUAAGAGCAAUGCUGGAGUGCUUAAUCAUGUCAAUAACUUACUUGCAAAAGCUAACUUAAAGAUAGAAGAGGAGUUUAGACAGCUCUUGACAUCUUACAGGUUUGUUCUUUUGCAUAUACUCAGUGUUACUAUUAUUUAUGAUUUCUUGGUUGGAACCCUGGCAAUCUCAUUCCUGGAAGCAUUGUGCUUCACAACAAAUGUUUCCUGACAUAAAUUUUCUGAGAUGAAUGAAAAUUGGUUUUUUAUUUAUAUUUUGUUUCUUGUGCAUGAAACAUAUUUUGGACUUUUGGCAAGUUCUAAUUCUUUCAAUCAGGGUUGAGUAACUGUCUUUUCAUUUGUAGCUGCUGAAGUUGUAUCUCUUUUGGAUUUCAGCAAACCAGUGGAACCUGAUCGCCUUUUUGAUUGCCUCCCCCACUCUCUACGACCAUCAUCAGGGUCUCCUGGGCAUCAGGGUGAAGCUACUGGCAAGAAUCCUUCUUCUACCAAUCACUCUGAGCACAACAAAAGCUUAGAAACUGCUGUUUACACUGCUCCAACUCUUAUUCCACCCAGGAUUCUGCCAUUGCUGCACGAUUUAGCCCAACAAAUGAGUCAAGCUGGUCACCAACAACAACUCUACAAAAUUUAUAGGUGAGAUUUUUUUAUUUUUUUUUAACUCUGUUUCUGAUGCAUUAACAUUGCCCAACAAUUUCUUUUCCUAGUAUCACGGAUUUUUAUUUUAUACACACACACACACACACACACACACACACACACACACACAUAUAAUAGAAAUAUAUUUGAGAAUUGUCAUCAUUGAAUCCCACUUCAAUGCUAUUUUUUGUUUUUAUUCUAUCUGUAAGCACAUGGUAAGCAAUCUAAAGUGAUUCUUGUUUGUAGUUAUCAUUUUUGUUUUGGAUAGGCACUUUGCCUGUAGUCAUCAUCAAUUUCUUCAUAAGCUGGGAAAAUUGAUAGUUAAUAUGUUUAUAAUCAUGCAGAGAAACCCGUGCUUCAGCUUUGGAACAGAGUCUCAGGAAAUUAGGUGUGGAAAAACUUACUAAAGAUGAUGUCCAGAAGAUGCAGUGGGAAGUUUUGGAGGCUAAGAUUGGAAAUUGGAUUCAUUUCAUGCGGAUUGCUGUAAGGGUUUACUAGGAACUGGAUAGGAUUAUUUGUGUGUGUGUGUGUGUGUGUGUGUGUGUGUACGUAUUUUCUCUUAAUCCAGCCAUUUCAUCAUGCUUGUAACAGGUCAAAUUGCUAUUUUCUGGGGAAAAGAAAGUCUGUGGUCAAAUAUUUGAUGGUGUUGAUUCUCUCAGGGAUCAAUGUUUUGCAGAAGUUACUGCAAACAGUGUAGCUGUGCUCCUUAGUUUUGGAGAUGCUAUUGCCAAAAGCAAGAGGUCCCCUGAAAAAUUAUUUGUUCUCUUAGACAUGUAUGAGAUAAUGCGAGAACUGCAUUCAGAGGUAUGAUUUAUAUAACUAGUUGCAUAAACACUGAAUUAUGGAUACUAAACUAGCCAGCAGAUUGGAAGUUGAUAUUGGUUAUGUGAAGUUUUAGUGAGCUGCUUCUAAGGUUUCCCAUAAUUUUGGAGGAAAAGCUUUGUUGCAAUUAAUGGAACCUAUAUGAAACUACUUGAGCUGUCAAUAGGCAGACAACAUAAAACAAUUUUCAUCAUUGCUUAGGAUAGAAAAUUUGCACUUUUUCCUCCAAUACCACUUGUCUCCUAUUCUUAAAAUGUGCAAGGUGCACCUAAGUUGGAAAAGUCUCCUAUGGCUUAGGCACGAGGUGCAGCACAAGGCAUGCACCUGAGUGAAGUGAAAUGCGAGUUAUGAUGUAUAGCAAUUUUAUAAAUAUGAUCCAAAAUCCAAUCCAAUCAACAAAAAACUUGAGAUUUCAAAUAUUUAAAAGAAGCAUUCAACAAAAAAGUAAUGAAAUAAUAUAAACUUCAAUAUAUAGUUAAAUUUUUUAAGAAUAAAAGUGUUUAAAAAGGAAGGGUAAAGUAGAUGAGGUGUGGCUCUCCUACAAAGUGCAUGCCUUGGCAAGUAAAGCACUAUAACUGGGGAUUAGUUUUGCCCUGAGCCUAGGCAUGCUUUAGGCGUGCCUGUUACAACUAUUUGUAAAUGAAUAGCAUAAAUAAAUGGCUUAAAGGGUUUUAACAACAAAGAUCAAAAUUCAGUUUGUUUCAUCACUGGACUAUUAGCAGAUAAUGCUUAAUUGCUACUAUGUCGGUUGUAAAAUGAAUUUGAGUGAUUCACAGCCACACCCACAGAUAUAUACACAUAUCAAGAAAUCAUUCUUGUUUGUUAUUCAUAAUUGGUUGUUCUAUUAAACAUGAAGUGUACUUUGGGAACAGAUGCAGAUUGAUAUACAUAUGUAUUGUUAAACUAAUGCAGAUUCUGUUUCUUUCUUCUUUUUUGCCCCUCUUGGGGUGUGGGGGUGGUAUUGGUGUUCAUGUUGGGGGUGAGUGUAGAUUGAAACAAUAUUUGAAGGUCAGGCCUGUGUCGAAAUGCGGGAAUCUUCAUUGAGUUUGACAAAGCGGCUAGCUCAGACGGCCCAAGAGACCUUUGGUGAUUUUGAAGAAGCCGUAGAAAAAGAUGCCACAAAAACUGCUGUUCUUGAUGGAACUGUGCAUCCUUUGACAAGCUAUGUAAUUAAUUACGUGAAGUUUUUAUUUGAGUAAGUCUAUAUAACUGUGCUGUCCAUCUCAUGCUGUUGAUCCUUUCAUAGACAGAAUCUAGUAAAAGUAUAUGUUGCCCUAUUAUUCCUUGAUAUGUUCAUCCACUUCCAAUGAAUUAUUUGUCUUGAUAGAUUUUGGAAAUGUUUCUCUGGUCUGUUGAAUUAUUCCUUAAGGUUUGUUUUUUUAUUUUUUUGGACUUAUUCCUCCUGACUAGUUCGUUCAUGGAUUUGAACAUUCAAAAUCCAUUAGUUUAUGUUUUCAAGUGUUUCAGUACUCACUUUCUGUUUUCUAAUGUCAUGUUAUUGCAUCUAUUCCCCUGUUUGGGUUAAUAUGCUUAUAUAGCUCUAUUGCACUUUCAUUUGGUAAUGUCUUGUUUCCAGAAUAUCUGACUAAUGGAUAUCAAAUGUGCACAGCUAUCAAUCGACAUUAAAGCAACUCUUCCAAGAGUUUGGUGAAGGGGAUGCUGAUGCUCAAUUAGCAUCUGUGACAACACAGAUUAUGCUGGCUCUUCAGAAUAACUUGGAUGGGAAAUCCAAGCAAUAUAAAGAUCCUGCAUUGACUCAAUUAUUUCUUAUGAAUAACAUUCACUACAUUGUCAGAUCAGUGCGAAGGUUUGUUAUAUCUUUUUAGCUUGAUUGUUGAUCUGAAUUUAUGCUGUGUAAAUAGUUUCUCCUUUUUAUUGUUCUCAUCCUUAGGUCAGAAGCAAAGGAUUUGUUGGGGGAUGAUUGGGUGCAAAUACACCGAAGGAUUGUACAGCAGCAUGCAAACCAGUAUAAGAGGGUAUCUUGGGCAAAGGUUUUGUUCUUUGACCAAACUUGAUAUAAAAUGUCCAUGAUUUGUUACUAUUUUUCCAGUGCAAUUUCUUUUUCUUAUUUAGAUGUUGUUUGUUUUUACCCCACAAUUCUACUAGCUUUAUAGAUGUGAUGUGUACCUCUCUAUUCCUGGAAUAUGAUCUUCUGAUCCUGUAUAAAUUUUCUUCUCCAUUGCUCACUUAGAACUGUCAUGAUACUGUUUGUUCUUCACCAAGGGUAAGGUUGACACACACAAAAGAUUCUUCUGUCUUUCCCUUAUUAUCUGGAUUCUGUUGAUGAGUAAGGGAUGACGGACAUGCUGGACACUAUACUGCCACAGACGCAUAAACAUAAGACAUAUUUAUCUUUCAAGUGUCUAUCUUAUGCACAUGGGUUAGUAGGCUUUGUUGAUAGAGCAGCAUGAUAAUUAUUGCGGCCUUCUAUAUGGUCUGGAUUUUUUGAAUUUAGAGCUUGCGUACAUUUAUGUAUGUUAAAUCUUCCCCAAUACUCAUUAUAUCUUUGUAUGCACUUAACUAGUUUCGUAGACAUCUUGAUACUGAUCUUCCUAAAAAUUAAGCUUCGUUGGGGAUUAUAAUUAGUUCUGGAUUGAGAAUCAUUUGGCAAUAUUUGCUGCUUACUCUUAUGGUAUAUAUCUCUAUAAGACAAAUUGCUUAUAGUUGUAGGUUGUUGGAAAUUGUUUGUUUCCAUUGAAUAAAUUGCAAGACUAUAAAUUUUAACCAUUGAUUGGACAGCAAUGUGAUAAAUGUCAUGCUGUAUUACAGUUUGGACAUGAAGCCCUUGUUUUGUUCAUGGUCCCUGAUGUAUCUUGAUAUUCAGCUAUAAAUAAAUACAAGAGGCAAAUAUUUGAGAAAGCCAUUGAAAUGUAGCCUUCUAAGAUUGUGUUGUACAGACCUACAUUAUUGUUUCUGAUUAGCAUCACUUCAAAUAUAUGCUUGAUUUUGUCUCACACUUCUGCUAGGAAAGUUAAGUAUCAAUCACGCUAAGCCACUGAUAUUUCUUGCUCUACAGAUUCUGCAGUGUCUGUCCAUUCAAGGUGCUGCUUCAUCAGGUGGUGGUGGUGCGAUUGCAGAAGCUGGUAGCGGCAGUGGAGUUUCAAGAGCGAUGGUGAAAGACAGGUACAAGACCUUCAACAUCCAGUUUGAGGAGCUUCAUCAAAGGCAAUCUCAAUGGACAGUUCCAGACAGUGAGUUGCGAGAGUCAUUGAGGCUGGCAGUUGCUGAAGUUCUCCUACCUGCCUACAGAUCUUUCAUUAAACGUUUUGGGUAUCUGUUUUCUCACACUCGUGACCUGUUCUUCUAAAAUUCCUGUUGCUUCCUUAUCCCUUGAUUGUUCAAAUGUGGUUUGGGUGUUACAGGCCUAUGAUUGAAAAUGGGAAAAACCCGCAUAAGUACAUCAGAUACACUCCUGAGGAUCUUGAGCACAUGCUGAGUGAAUUCUUUGAGGGGAAGACCCUGAAUGAACUAAAGCGGUAAAUAUACUCAAGAAGCUCUCAGUCCAUGUGAUGGCUAACACUGUUUUAUUCUUUGUACUAUGAUGCGAUCAAAUAAAAGCUGGGGUAGCCUUCCUUUCCCACUGAACGCUUUUAUUAGUGUUCUGAAGUUCUGUUGUUAUUUAACUUAUUCUUAUUUUUAAACUGCUGAAGUAUAUUUUCUGACUAGGUAACUUGAAGUAUGACUUAGCUAUAUGGGUUUAUUCUGGUAGAUUUCUUUGGGCAGAAUUUGGGUAUAUCCAAACUUAAGGCAUACCCCAUCCUGCUAAAAAUUUGUUAAGAUUUGGAAAUAGGGUAGAAAAGAAAAAAAAUAAAAUAAAAAAUAUAUAUAAAUAUAUAUAUAUAUAUAUGGGAGAAAAGUCAUGUUUUUGUUUGAUUAUGGAUAAAAAUGGGAUGUAAAAAUUGAUGAAAAUUUGAUGCAUUUUGUAACUCUUCAUUUUGUUCUUGGAAAGUGAGAGAAUUUAGGAGAUGAGUAUCGGAAAUUUUAGCAAAUUCAAAUAUAGAAUUUAUUUUCUAUCUUGUUAAUUUUGCAUUUAUAUUCUUUUUUUACUGAACCUCCUUUAUCUUUUCUCUUACAUAUACUAAAAAUAAAUACAGUGGAGAAGGAAAAAAGAAUUAAGUAAAUAAGAUACGAGUUCAAGAACCAAAAAGCCAUCUUUUUCCAUUACAUCUCACCAUUCAAAAAAGAAAAAGUAGAAUUUUGGGAACCUAAUUUCUUUUUUGGAAUAUUAAGCAAAGCAAAAUGGCAAUGAAAAGAGGUUUAUGUUUUAUAUUCUGUCUUUCCUAACCCUGAGUACAUAUGUUGGUGUGUGUAAAUUUGUGGCCUCUAGAUGCAAUAUAGUGUGCCUUGUAUGAAAAAUAUAAAUGUUAGCCCAAGGGGUUCUCCUAAUCAAGUUUUGAUGAUAACAAAACAGGUCUAAAGUUACUAAGGGUUAAAUCAAGUUAAUUGCUUCAAGUUUUCUUGAAAAAUUAAAGAAAGUUCAAACAACUCAAAUAGAAGAUUCUUGUUAAUGGAAAUUUGAGCUUAUUGAAGACUUAAGAAGGCCUAGGAACAAUUGUAAGGUUGUAUUUAAAGAUGAUGUGGAAUUUAAAUGAUUUAAUCUUGUUUUCUAUAUCAUCUGAAUCAAAAUUUCAUCUUCUAGUUAAACUUUUUGAAGAAAGGAGUCAUCACUUGAACAUUUUUUUAUUUGGUAGUUAUAACUUGAACUGUUACUAACAAAUUGAAAGGACUCACAAUAUAUUUUAAAUUUUGAAAAUGACCAUGUUCAUGUUACAACUUGCAGUAUAAACAAUUUGCAAAGCUUAAAAGAUGAAGUAGAUUAAUUCAAUUUUUUUUAGGUGAUCGUGAAUGCUUCCUAAUUAAAUUUCCUUCUUGUAAACCAUUUUAAUUAUGCUUCCAGGUGCAAAUAAAAUAUCCUCUGCUGCUCAUAACAGGUUCUUAUAGUCAUGAUUCAAUAAAUGUUUGUAGAGACCUAGUUCCUUUUGAGGAAGUGGAUUGCAACAUGGCCAGUGAUGUAAGAGUAACUGGUGUUAGAACUGAUGUUGAGGCAAACUGUUCCUGUUAUGCACAUGGUGCCAAAAAGAGAGUUUGGGAGCCUCAUUGUCUUCACUGAGGUCCAAAGAAGUGAAGGAAAGCCAUCAAAUUGGCUGCCAGUUAGAUUCCAACUGGGAUAUUGUUUCGGGAAAUGGUAAAAUAGAUAAUGCAUGCUUUGCUGGAUGCUCCUUGGGAGCUACUAGAAAUGAAUCUUUGGCUGAAUUUUCCCUAGGGAUAUUCUGGCCAGGAGCUAUGUAGAGAAGAAUGUUGAAGAUCGUAGGCCACUAUCAAAAGAGCAGCUCGGUGCACUUGAGUCAUUAAAAUUUUUAAUGCACUUAAGCUUUUAAAAAUCAUCCUUUCUUGAACUUAAAUCAAUCACAUCUUCAUCAGGUCAGAUGAUUUCAUGUUUUUUUAUCAAACCCUGAUUUUAAUUCUUUCAAAAUAUGCAUUAAAGGGUUUAUAUGGUGUGUAAGAUUCUUUCCCAGAGGUUUCUGACCUCGGUCUAGCCUUUUUUCUUUAGUUAUAGUGUAACUGGUCAAGACAGGGAGGAAUUGGUUGAGCCAAAAAGGCUCGAUCAGUCAAGGUGCACAAAAUGCAUCUCUAACUUCUAGUAGCAUUUUUUAACUGGUUACGGUAGGAGGCUCAACCAGUUGCUCAAUCGGUUGAGGUCUAGAACCCCAACAGUCACCUGCAAGUACAUUUAAUGUACAAUUGCCAAUGAACUAGUCAAACCGAUUGCUUGACCAAUCAAGCCUAAGUUAUGGGUUCUUGGGUUUCAGAGCUACUCACCUAUAUAUUGAGUCUUUUAAGAGCAUUUAUGAACAAGAGAUUUUGAAAUUGGGAUAAUUUCCAAAUGGAUUUUGAAAUCAUAACUUGAAUUUCCAAAUCAUUUCGAAAUGGUCCUUCAGCCUUGUGCAGUUGUCUUCAAAUGACCCUAACUUCUUCAUUUUAGCUCCGAUUUAUGCACCGUUUGAAGCAUUGGACUCUUGACUUCCCGAGCUUUGAAACAAUCUAUAGCUUGCCCAAAAUUGACCUUGGGAAGUGCUUCAGAUUUUACCUUAAAGUCAGAGUAUGUGUUGCUGCCAGAUUUUGAAUUCUAAAUUUCCAUGUCAACUUGAUUGCAUUUGUUUCAAACCUCCUCCAUUAUAGUUGCUUGCCCUUUAUCUCACUCCAUAACAUCCGUUGCUAGUAUUUUAUGUCUAUGAGUCACUCAUCACGCCCUUGCUUGGACUCGUCAUGGUUCACAAGUCCUGAAUCUCUUCUUUAUGCAUGUUUUACCACUUCUACUUCCUUGGAUGAUAAUGAAUUUUAUACUCAUCACAUUUUUCAUCCCUUAAACCUGAAUUAGGCUCAAAAUAGAAGUUAGAUCCAUAACUAGGGUCUUAGCAUCAAUUUGAUUUAAGUUGGAUGAUUUGAGUUUUUUUAUAUUCCAUAAAUCAUGUCAUAUAUGUGCUAUUGGAGCACAUAUUUUGGCUCUAAUCAGGUCUCAAGUUGUCUCCUCGAGCUUGGUUUGAUUGUUUUACCAAAGCCGUAAAGAGGUUUGGCCAUUCUCAGUGUCAAUUUAACCAUACUCUAUUUGUAAAACACACACCUGAGGGAAGAACUGUCGUUAUCAUCGUUUAUGUGGAUGACAUAAUUCUGACCAGAAACCAUAGGGAAGAAAUAGGCAAACUCAAGAGUUUUCUUACCUAUGAAUUCAAAAUUAAAGACUUGAAGAGUCUUAAAUAUUUUCUUGGGAUGGAAAUUGCUAGAUAAAAAUAAGUAUUGUAGUCUCCCAACAUAAGUAUGUUCUAGACUUGCUAAAGGAGACUAGGAUGCUUGGUUGUAAACCUACAAACACAUCUAUGGACCACACUAUUAAACUAGGAAUUAUUGAAGGAAGUUCUCUAGUGGAUAAAGGGAGAUAUCAAAGAUUUGUGGGGAAACUCAUCUCUCUCUCACACACAAAACCAAAUGUUGCUUUUUUUAGUCAACGUGGAUAGUCAAUUCUUGAACAAUCCAAUUGAGGAAUAUAUGAAAGUUGUGUAUCGUAUUCUAAAAUAUCUCAAAAUGACUCUAGGAAAGGGACUUUAUUUCAAAAGAGCACAAAAAAGAAACAUUGAAUUUUUUUCAAAUGUAGACUAGGAUGGUUCCGUAACCGAUUGAAGAUCAAUCUCAGGAUAUUGCACCUAUGUAUGGAGGAAUUUGGUUACUUGGCGAAGCAAGAAAUAGUCUAUUGUAGCUCGAAGUAACGCAAAAGUAGAAUUUAGAGCUAUGACACAUGGAAUUUGUAGAGGAAUGUGGUUAAAGAGACUCUUAAACAAGCUGAAAAUUUUAGUAGAAGAUUCUGUAAAGAUGUUCUGUGACAAUCAAGUUGUCAUAAUUAUUGCUAAGAACCUGGUUUAUCAUUAUUAGAAGAAGCAUGUAGAAAUAGACCGUCAUUUUAUAGGGAGAAGCUAGAAGAAGGGAGAAUUUAAUUGGUUUACACUCCAAUAGCUCUCUACAUACCAGACAUCCUUACCAAGGCACUUUCUAGAACCAACUUUGAAGAUUUGAGAUUCAAGUUAGGAAUAAUCAACAUUUACAAUCUAGUUUGAGGGGAUGUGUGGAAAUUUAGAAUUUACAGCUGGGUUAACAACCAUGUUAUAGCUACAACUAUGUUACAAUUAUAUUAUAGUUGUGUGAUAGCUAGGGAUUCAAAUGUUGUUUUUUGUUUCAGCGAUAUUUUGUCGAUAUAUCGUGUAUGAGUGUAGCUUGACAUGAUAACGGGCAUGGAUAUCUCGACUGAGAGAGAGAUCAUUUUUUCUUGCCAUUUAUUGAGGGUUUUUUUGGCAAAGUUCCAGAUUUGCACCAAUAUUUCAGAUAUAUCAACAAUUUUCAGCCACGUUAGCAUGUUGUGUCAGCGAUAUUUUUCAGCUUUUACUUAAAAUUUUUGAAAUAUGGGCCUGAAGUAAGAGACACCCAUUUUUUUUGUGACAACUGAUGGAGCCUAAUUUUACAUGUGAUGAUACUUGGGGCACCAACACUUCAAAUAUGGGAAUGUUUUCUCUUCACUUUCAUGCAAGUUAGGGAAUUGAUCUUGAGACCUUAAGAAUGAAAAGGUUUGUCCUUGCCACCAAACUAACUAUACUUUGCUUAUACAAGCACAUAUUAAAAUAUAUAUAUAUAUAUAUAUAUAUAAAUUACUUAAAAUAAAAAAAAAUGAGUUAAUUUUAAUUAUGUCUUUUAUAUAAUAAUUAGGUAUAAGAUAAAUAUAAACUUAUAAAUAAAAUUAUCAAUAUUUUUAAAUAAAAAAUACUAACAUAUCAUCAUUUCUUUUAUAUCAUUUGAAUAUCCAAACUAAAUAUAUUAUCAUUUUAGUUUUUAUGUAUUAUCAAAUUCAAUAUAUUAUUGUCAAAUAUUAUAAUUUGUUUUAUCGAUAUUUUUAUAUUAAAGUUUCCAUCAAUAUUUCCUUAUAUAUCCCGAUAUAUCCAUAAAAUCUAACUACUGAUAUAUCCAUGAACACCGAUAUUUUCAUCCUUGGUGAUAGUUGUGUUAUAGUUGUGACACAACUGUGUUGUUGUAUUUCUAAUUUUAACUUACUCCCUUAUUUUAUUUUGUGAGAGAUUUUUUCUCCUAAAAUAAAAAAUUAGAUUUCUUUUCUAAGGCAGAUGACCUCAAUCGUUUGUGCAUAAAUAUUGGUACUAUAAUCAAUUUGCAAUAUAGAGAAAAAGUAUUUUUUUCCCUCAAAUUUCUUUAGUUUUUAUAGAUUUCUUGUUACAAGUUUAGACUGUUAUGAUAGUUUUAAAUGUGUGGAUGGUUUUCUUUUCCUUCCAUAGAAUAUGGUAUAUGAAAUGCGCAAGUUUUCUAUCUACUUUUGGUAUAAUUUGUUUAUAUGGAUAUGGAUUAACCAUGUAGUACCACCUACACUAUUUCAUCAGUACUAGUGGAAUAUGGUAUUGACUCAUAGCUGCCAUCAACAAUUCAUUCCACUAGCCAAAUCACCCAUAUUGUGCCAUCAAUCACAGGUUCCUCAAGCAUGUUGAAGUGUCUAUUAUAUGUCUUAUAGCAUACUGUCAGAAAUGUAAUUAUAAUAGGAAAUUAUUUUGUUGAGUGUUUUUUCUAUUAGUUUUUCUUUUUUUUUUAGUUAAAUUUUUGUUUCCAUUGGGACUUGAACCUGGUAGCUCCCACAAACCCUCCCCAACCCUUUACCACUUGAUUCCAGCCCCAAGGGUGAGUGUUUUCUCUAUUAGUUAUUACACUGUCGAGGACAUUUGACUUAAGAUACCAUCUUGUAAUGUAAACCCAUCUUAAGUCCUCUUCUAGUUCUUCCUAAUACAUUGAGAAAUUCCUUUUUCCACUAGAUGCAGGUUUUUGAAUUCUGCAUGAAUAAUGAUUGGUACCAUAUUAUGUUAGGCGAUUGGUACCAUAUUUGACCUUAGAAUCCCUCCUCCCCAUCUACCUGCAUGAUUUAAGGAUUAGAGAGUGCAACUGUGACAGUUUUGUGCUUUCAGUGGAGAUGCUAUUAAUGAAGUUGGUCCGCACUAGUAAUAGGAUGACCAAUAAAUGCAUUUUGGGGUGAGGUCAAAUUGAAAACUGAAAACAAAUCCAUCUCUGGCAGCUGUCUUGCCUUACUUUUGCCAAAAAAAGCACCCAUUUCCAUGCUGAAGCACCAGCUACUACUGUAGAGGGCCUCUAAUCUCCAUACACUAUGUGAGCAACUUAUAAUCAUUGUUUCUGUUUCUGUUUCAUUGUAAAUAAAUUCCUAAAAUGAUAUGGCAAUAAUUUUGUUUGUGAGUCAUAUUCUAGGCAAUGAAGAUCACAUGAAUGAAAUGAAGUUAUUACAAAGUUAGAAAACAGUGGUAAAGAUAAGGUUAUCUCAUGUUAUAAUAUAUGUGCACACAAAUGCAUUUUAAUGAAAAAGUGACAUAUCUGAUAAAAGAAAAAGGAAAUCUUUUCCCGUUGCCCCUUCAUCCAUAGUCCUUUUCUUGGCAAAUAGCAAUGCACUCAGACCAAGCAUAACUGAGUCAUAUCUUAAGUUACCUAUAUAUGUAGAUGCAUACACAUUCUAUUUUCUUUGGAGAUGUUUUGAAUCUCCAGAUCACUGAAACUCUCUCUUGCUUUUGGUUGGUGCUCUGAGCACCUUGUUGCUGCCAACUCAACAAACACUAAAAAGAUGACAAGAUGAUUUUGAUGGUUAUUUACUAAGCUUGCAGUAAGAUAAGGACUUUUCUUUUUAUUACCUUUCCUUCCUAUUUGGUCUGUGAUUGACAAGGAAAUAAAGAUAGUUCUUGAUUAUAAUCAGGAGUGUCUUUUUCCUUCUUCAAUCUCAGACUACACUUUAUUCUUCAUUUCUAUUUGCCUCUUUUUGACCUAAGAAUCUCUCUCUCUCUCUCUCUCUCUCUUUCUCUCUCUAGUGUGUUUUUUGAUUUCUAAUGAAUAUCACACUCUGAGGAGAAUGUCUUGAAGCUGAAUGCCUCAAGUAAAAGGGAUGAUUCAAAAUAGACAAUUACUACUUGAAAAGGCUCUCAUAAGAAAAAAUGCAUAUCAGAAGCAACAUCAAGGACACUGCACUUAUAAAUGCUUUACAAUAAUAUUAGCUGGGGAAGAAGUGGCAUCGGCAAAGUGGAAAGCAAACAAUUUCUGCCUGAUUUUGGAUGCAGAAAAUUUGGUUAUUUUUUAGAAUUACUAGAGAUGGUGUCAUUGACAAUUGAGGGAAAGGAAACAUUGGAGAGAGCAGCUUUACCUAGAUGCUUUAACUGCUAGCAAAACCAAAUACUCAACCAUAUGAUGUUGCUCAGGUGAAUGCUGAUCUGAAACUCAAUAUGACCUGAUAAUUCUUAGUUCCGUCUUAUCUAUUGUCCUGUAUUUUUUUUUUCUUUUUAUAAUGCAAAUUGAAUAUUCUUUGUUGACUGAUAAUUUGAUAGAUGUCUGACAUGUCAUGAGAAAACACCUGCUGAGAGAUCAAGCAGGAGAACAGAGAGGAUCCAUGCUGUGCUUUGACCUCAAGAACCAAAGGAGUUUAGUAGUUGGAGUUAUUGAAGAAACCAAAAAAAAAAAUUAUGGUGAGAACAUGGAAGAAAAGCAUAAGUUGCAUGAUUCUAGGUUUCAUUGACAGGACAUGAUUAUUAAAUUGGAGAAAGAAUUAGAGGCUAAGUUAUUUACACUAGACAUAUAGCACAAAUGGUUAAGUUUUCUUAAUCUGUAAAAAAGUGAUAAUAUCCUUAUAAAUGUCUCACAUUUGAUCUCAUGUUUAACUAGUAAAUUUCAAGAAAUUAGUUAUAAAUCUUCCAUUGAGAUGCAAUUAUAUUGAUAACAUUUUGCCUUUAUAUUUGGUUUGCUGUAGAAUUACUUUUUAUAUCAGAAGUUGGUGGAAAAAUGAUAUUUCUCUUUCUGGGAUAAGGACAUGGUAACAUUCUCCCAACUUCUGCCUUAGAUCCUUUGGCUGCUUCUGUGUUUAAUUGAUGUUAUGAAUGAUGUAAUUGGGGAGGGUAAAGUAAAUUGGAUUGUAACAAUAAUGACACAACUUUGGCGCUCUCUCUCACACACAGAUGCUCGGUUGCUCACUCACUCAUAUGUGCAUGCUCACAUGCACCGAUAGGUUUUUAAAUGUUUAAUGCUAUUAUAUUUGACUAGUUUGUUUAAGAAUUUAAUUUUACUAAUAAUUGUCUCUCACGUGCUUGUCCAAUAUUUAUAUGUAUAUAUCUGUAUCUCAGGCACACAUAAUUAGGUUGAUUAAAGGUUUGUUGCUACUAUAUUUGCUUUGAGGUAGGUUUUCUUGGCCUUCAUCUUUGUCCCUUAGCACCUUGAACUUGAAUCAAAUCACUCCUCCCACUCUAAUUCAUUUUUUUCCAUUGCAGCCCACAUUCAAAAUACCAAAGCCUUGCAAAUUGAAGGUGAUAGACCCAGGUAAAUCUUUGCACUGAUUCUGUUUCUCAUUAAUAGUGAAUCUCUGUCAUCCAUCACUACUCAAAGAGGUUCAUAUGUUUUUGCUUUUUCUUCAAGUUUCAUAUUGUUAUAGGGUUUUAUUUGUUCAACUUAGUCAAAAAUUUCACUUGCUUAUUCUGUUAGAUUCUUACAUCAAUGGAAAUUUCUGGGUGAAAGCAUACUUCGCCUGCUCAGCUUGCCACUUGGGGCAGCCACUUCACUCACAGAUUAGCAUUUCAGGUUAACAAGUUGAUAGCUGUGUUCCAAUCAUGGUUAUUGAUUUUGAACUACUUCAAGCAGGUUAGCUUUCACUAGUAAACCUUAUUUGCUAGAGCCAAUGGUAUCAUAAUAUGUUAGAUUGCAAAUUGUAAGCUUUGGUGAAGGUGUCUUCAAUGCUGGAUGGCUUCUUUGUGUGCAGAGACCAAUACAGGUCUGAGUUCGCCAGUAACUCUCAUUUGAAAGCAAUCGGGGCUAUGGCAUCAUCAUAGCCCUCUCCUCGAUUAAUGGCCAUACUAAAUUGCUUAACAUAGUCUUGUACACUUUCCCUUUCAUUCAUUUGGAUAUUAAGGAGGGAAGAAUCCAUGUCUCUUCUUUGCCGAAAAGAACACAUAUGUUGAGCCACAAUUGUUGUGCACAAUUUUUAAGAAAGAAGAAAUAGACCCGCUCGAGAGAUUAUGGAACUAAAUGAGGGGUGGGCUUUGCAGACUUGUUGGGAAUGCGUUGCAAAGCCCUGCAUCAGGAUGAUGAGCUGACAAAAAUGCAUUAAAUGGUCAACCAGGUCUCCCAUGCCAUAAUAUGGAUGUAAUUUUGGAAACACAAACCUGGUUGGGAUUCUUGCAUUAGUGAACAAGCUGUUGACUAAGCCCCGAAUGAUUUGACUCACAAAUUGUUGUCUUCUUCCUAUUCAUAGCAUCCUUUGAAAAUCAUCCAACUGCUCUUCAAUAGUGCCUUUUUCCUUGAAGGUAUGAAUAGCCUCAUUCCUUACCAACUUAUCUUCUUCCAAGGUUGGGGGUGACUCUUCUCGGUGAGAUUGAUUUGUCUCAUGCAAAACGAUAGUGUCAAGGGAGAAGUAGAACGAUAGGAGUGUAACAAUGCUUGAAGCUCUUAAUUGUCCCUAGCCAAAGUAUCCUCUAUUUGAGAUAGAGAUUGCAUUCUUUGCUCAAGCCGGAGUUGUUGUUGCUCUGGCCAUAACUGUAGUCGACAAAGAGGCUCUUCCCCUGAAGGGCCCUUUCCAUUGUAGUGUAGGGAUGCAACUUGGCUAACCCGACCAACUUGAGGUUUGAGUUGGCAUGGGUAAUAUGUGAAGGGUUUGAGUUAGAAAAAUACCCAAAUCGACGAUAUCAAGACGGGUGAAACCUGAACCCAUGUUUUAUUUAAAAUAUGAAAAAUAUAUAUAAAAAAAGGAUGAUAGAACUUUAUCCUUUACCUUUUACAAUUGUAGGAUACUAAUAAGUUUAUCAUUUUUGUUUAAUUAUUUAAAUAUUUUUAACUUGAGUUUAGAGUUAUUAUUUAUGUUAAAUUAGCAAUUAAUAAAUAUAUUUGAUUGCUUUAAGACAUCUUUGGCAUUUAUGGUUGAUAUUUUAUAACUUUGAAAUAAAUAUUUUAUUUAGCAAGAAACUCUAUUAUAGGUCUUUUAGUUGACAAUAUGUAUGAGAACUUUUAGAAAUUUGAGUUGUCUGUGGGCUUAGCAUGGGUUGAGAAUUCCUGAAAACUAUUUCCAAAUCUCCAACAUUUUCAAAAAAUUUAAUUGAAAGUUGUCUUACAAUUCCAAUUGAAUUUUAAAGUUGUUUUUUUCCAAAACAUUUUUCCAUAUUUAUAUUGAAAUUUUGUCUUCAAUGGACAACUUUUAAUUGAUGUUAUUUCAAUUGAUAUUAUAAAAAAUAAGGUGGUAGAUUUAGAAAUAAUUUUUAAAAUAUCAAAUUUUAAUAAAUAUUUUUUUUUUCAAAAAUCUGAUAAACAAUCUCAGCACAUGAUAACCUUCCAAUCCAUCCUACUUAAGUGCUAUGGGUGUUGUGGUUGGGAUGUCACUGAAAUAACCUCCGUCCUCUCUCAUUUUUGCGGCCGGUGGUUAUUCUCAUUGACGGUGCCAAGACAUUGAGUAUUUUCUCUUCUUUCUGCUCGAUUUUAUAGAUAUUUUGGGAACAAGUUACCAAGUGGUAAUAUUAUGGGUAAUGGAGUGAGAGUGGUAGGAUCAACCACAGUCAGCUGGAUGCCCAUAUCUUUGACAGAUGGUAUUCCUCAACUAUGUCGGGUUCCUAGCUUUGUACCCCUUCUAUCUAGUACCUACAUAAAUUCUAAUUUUUUACAAUUUUUAUUGAGUUCUAAUAUUAGUCAAUUUUUAAAGACAACUGAUGUAAAAAUAUUUUUACCAAGUUUAAGCAACUGAUUAGAGGUAUUUUUUGUAAUUUAUUUUGAAAGGCUAAUCAUUUUUAAAAAUAAUUUAUAAAUAUAAAUAUAUUAUAUAACCAUCCUUUUAUGUAAAAAUUUUUUUUUUUUUUUUUUAAAGUAUCUGUUCUAUUUCUAUUCUUUUAAGACCUUUACUUCUCAAUGAAAGUCCACUGGACUGUUAGUAUUUUAAUGAAAUUGUUGCAGCUCUUUGUUUCCUGGAUUGAAGAAUGCUAUUAAUUGUCCAGGUUUUGGUCUUUAUAUAUAUUUUUUCCCUUAUGUGUUGGUUGAAUUUUAGGUAUAUAAUGUGCAUGUUUGCAUAUUUUCAUAAUUGUCAGAAUAAUUCUAUAAUUUCUUGUUCACAUGGAGUCUAUCUAUACCAUUUUCAUUAUACCAGAAAAUUUCUAAGUUGCCCUCGUAGUUGGUAUAUAAUUUACAUCUCUUUUUAUAAUCAAAAUUUAGUAGCUCUCAAAAAAGUUAUAUUUAUUGGCUUAUCUUCAACUUAUGUUUUUUAUUUUCUUUUUUGGUUAGGUUUUUCCAUAUUCUCAUGUGUUAUUUCUUCUACUUUACCUAGUAAAGGUGAAGGCACCUUGAGCACUAGGAGAUGGGUGCUUUUACCACUCAUUAGUCAUUUCCAUAUUAAAUAUAACAAUAACCUGAUGCAUGUGGUUCUGAAUCAGAUGUUUAUGUAAUGAUUAGCAAAGCAAACACAUUAGACUCUAAUCAUUGCUACCUGUGAGUCUAUUUGUUCAAAUAAUUACGAAUAGGAAGCUUAAGCCUCACAAGACACAGUCCUAUUGCUUCACUAGAUGAGAAAACCUUCCUUGCUAUAUGCAAGCCAGUAUUGGAGUGGCUAUUUGUCUACUAACCAGAUUCUUCAAGACCUCGAAUUCUAAGAUUAUAGGUUUGGCUAAUAAAAAGAGUCUGCCUUUGGAUAUGUCAUUCAUUAAUUGACAGAAGUAAGCCUUCCAUACAAGGAAAUAUAUGUGUGCGCCUAUAUAUUUAGAGAUAUAUAUUACAGUUGCAAUAAAUCUUAGGCAUAUUGAGAACUUUUUAACUAGUGUUGAAUUUUUGAUGUGGUUACUUUUGUUCCAGAUUAACAAUAAGAAAAUCUGUGCUUUAUGAUGCUGGUACUCUUGUUGGUAUGUAUUUCCAAGAGUCAAACCUGUGACUUCCAAAUCUUAUGAGAAGUACAUGUUAAAUUAUCAAAGUUCAGCUAUUUUUUCUUCUUUUAUAUAUCUUGGGGACAAAAGGAAGUGUUUGUGCAACGUAGUGUGCCUUCCUGGAAAAUUUGCUCGUUUUAAAAUAUCAUUGAUAGUAUGGUUAUAUCAAGAAACUAUCUUUUCAACUUAUAGCAAAUAAGAGACAUGAAUCUUUUUCUUUUAUUUGUUACACCUAUGAUCCAAUCUUACAUGGAACAUAAAUCACUAGCAUAUCAGACAAUGGAGCAUAGAUUGUUAUGAUAUGGGGAAUGGAAAUGAGUACACAAAACAGUAUAUAAACUGGAACGUGGUAAAUCAGGUUAGGCUUAAAUGGUCCAUCGAUUGGUUAUUAAAAAUUAGAUUGUUGUAAGAUAAAUGCAAUAAUACCUUUUUUUUCCCAUUUCUAUAGAAGGGGCUAUAUGUUGGUAGUUCUCUCUCCUUUUUGGCAACUUUUUAUUUUUUCCUUUAAAAUGGAUUGACCAUGUAAUGCCACAAAACUACUUAUUUCAUAUUUCUGUUAUUCUUUUGGUAUGUUAUAACUGUUGAUCCAGUUUGCUUUAAAGACUUGUAUCCUCUUGCAUUUUGUUAACUAUUUGUAAUCUUGUUUUGUAAAAUUCAAUGAUAUAUUAAGGUUUAGUUUUUGACCUCUUCAAGCUUGUUUUCUAAUUGUUCAUUUUUCUUAGCUCUUUUUUGAAACCUUAAGCCCGCUUCCUUGUUUUUCAGCUAGUUUCAUUUGGAAAUCUACAUCCCCACCUAAAGCAAAAGCCUUUUGUAUGGUCAGUGGCAAAUAAGCAACACCAACAAGAAGCUAUAGGUGAGCAGGCCUUAUAAAGGUUUUUGUUUAAAUUGUGUUUAUGUGCUUGUGGCAUGGUGAAUCAGUUGGUUAUAACUUUCUUCACUGCCUAUUUGCUUUAGGGAUUUGUUAUAAGUUGUUUGCAUAGCUGGGAUAGACAGGGUUUCUCAGAAUUUUGACAAAUAGGAUGAUUAUCUCUUUUAAGGAGUUUGGGAGACUCCCUAGAGGUGGAAUUCUUCGGUAAUUGGUGAGCCUCACUUUGAUUUGGAUAAGGUCAAUAAUUUUGUCAAGAAUUCGGUUGAUUUAUUUUCUUCUCUAUGACUUUAUAUUUUUGAAGCUUUGAACAGGUACUCCCUUGAAUCGCAUUUUGCUAUAUUGAAACGAAGCAGUACCAAAAUUUUUAUAGGAGUGAAGUGAGUUGAGCAUGUACAUGUUUGUCCUGUAGAGGGAGUGUAUGUAUGGAGUAAACUUUUAUUCUGAGGAGAUUUUUUCCAUUGAUUUACACGUGUGUGUGUGUGUGUGUUUGCAUUUAAUGGUUUGUUUAGUUGUCUGUUUCACAACAACAGAGAUAGGUUUCAUCUUGAAGAAUGCUUGCUGCAUGUAUUACUGAAAAUUCCAAGUACCCUAUUUCUUGAAUAAAAUUGAAGGAGAUAUUUUUUUGAGGGCUUGAUCAGCAUGGAAACAAGUAUCUUUUACUAGCUUUAUGGUGUGGUUGUGAGCAAUUGAGAUAGGAUCCGACUGAGAUGGUCCAGUUUUAGUCUGGACAAACCAUUUUGCCCCAGGUUUCGCUUUUCAAAAGCCAAGGUUUUGGAAACUGAUGUGCACCUUGUAAAUUCUAAUUAGUAUAUUGAACAACUUUGAUAAGAUUCCCUCUCACAAGCAAAGGGGCCCUACUGUAUUGGACUCCAUCAGGCUGAUUAAGACCCCCAGAAUGGACAUUAAAAGAGACGCUUUCAACUUAUUGGACGUUGAACUUACUUUUUGAUUGCAAAAAUGAAGAGGACCUUGUUCAAAUGCAUCAGUAGAAUGGCCAAGUUGUGGUGUAAAGUCUGUUUGUAGAAUGUGAAAAAUAUUCACCUUUUCCAGUGGUUUUUAAGGACAAGCCUAUGGUAUAUGGUAGAGUUAAAUCUCUUUAAAUAUGGAGGAGGUAGAUUGCCUUGAAAUCAUAUAAUCCCAAUUCAUUCUAUUACGGUAACUUUCGGGCAUUAAAGUUACUUUAAGCGUGGCUGAAUUAAUACCACAUGUCCUGUUAUAGUGUCAAAGAGACGCCUAAGUUUGGUUUGCUUUCAAUUCCAUAAUGCCCUUGAAAGUGACAUUAUAUUGAGACGUCCUAAUGGUCAUUUAAUAUUUUUUAUUUUUCCCCUUUUAGGUUUUUUAUUGUUGAACUUGCUUCCAUAUGAAAUACUGAGACUGAUGUGGAUGUCAUUGUUGUGAGCUCCAUCUAUCUUCCUUGCGUUAUCUGAACUCAGGUUGCUGUUACAAGAUUCCCCUAACAAGGCUUUCUUUAGUUUAGACCAUCUAAUCUCACUAAACAAAGCCUUCAUGUGGUCCAUUCUUGACUUAAAUUUGAAAAUCUUGCUGGCAUGAUGAGAGAUGCAAUAUAUUAUAUAUUAUAUAUUUAUAUUUAUAUUGAUGUAAAGCUUCCUCUGUAUACUUGUGUAUUUGGAUUUCUUAAAAUUCAUUUCUUUGCUUGCCAUGACUUCGUUUUUCUUACCCUCUAUUUGUUUGUUUUCUGCCCUGGAGAAUUUCCCAUCAUCCAAACAGUCUUUUCUCCCUCUGAUUUUUUUUUUUUUUUUAAAAUCUCUUCUCCCCACGCUUUAUUCCUUCUACUUUAUAGAGUUUUGUCCCUUGCACUAGCACUGCUCAUGGAAUUUGGAAAGUGAGCUUGAUACAAAAACUGAGCGCCUUUCCUGUAAUCCAGCAAUGUGGGCAUCAUCUGUGCGAUGGGAGUGCACACCACGCGCAGACCUUGAAAAAAAGAGGAUAUAACUGCUCUGAAAAUUAUGCGGAUGUUAGAGGUUCAAAGAAGAUCUUGUAGGGACUUCUUAUCAGUACAACGUGGUAAGACUCGAGUCUGUGAAAGCCAAGCUUUUGGGAUCCCCCUCCUAGGUAUAUACACCCACCACACGUCUCUGCCCACCGAUAAUCCUUAGCUUCUACACGCUGGUUAGCCAACCUUUCUCCCUCUGUUCUGUCGGAAUCGGUUCAGAAUUUGGCGGGGGUUCUCUGCACCUGCCAUGUGUCUCACUACUCCCCAAAACCUAAUCAUUUUUCACUCGAGGGCAUUGUGGUAAAGAAUGACUUCGGGGUUUUGACUAGUCAUACGAGCAUUGAAUUCUCAUUUUUAUCUAUUUAUUUAUUUUUUAUAUGCUCCCAUUUGUCCUGUAACUAUUCACUUCCAAUAGUUUCAUUGGCCGUGACAAUAACAAUUGAUUUUUAACCAAUUGAUGGAGAAAACUAAUCAUACGCUUAAAAUAGACUCUAUACAAUUCAACAGUUGGAGUGCGACAUGCAUAACUAAAUGGGCACUGCCUUUUUAAAAGGUCCCCCACCAUCUAAAACAAUAUGACAAUGUCCAUGGACCAAAGUGUGUGAUCAAUUUGGUGGUCUUGCCUUGGAAUAUUUUAGGUUGAGCCGGUUUGUUUUCUCCUAAAUUUUAUUUCAGUUUAGUCUUGCAAUCUCGACCACUCUUAAUAUCCAAUUCCCAAGUUGUAUAGACAGCCAUUACAAACGAUAAGGACCAGGUGGCUCCCACCUAAAUUAUUCACAAGCUGUUUGCCCCAUUUCUCUUGUCAUAUUGUGCCACAGAGAGAUGUUAAAUUUAUUGAUUUCAGAUUACUCAAUCAUCAUGAUUUAAUUGUUGGCGGUUCCCAAAAUGUCAUCCAAACAUGAUGGAUUAGUAGAACAAAAAUAAUAAUAAUAAAAAAUCAAAAGUAGACUCCCCCCGAUUAGCAAAGUAAACGAUGGUCAUCGGUUGCAUCCAUUUUAUUUGUGGGAGGUGCAAAUUGUGUUACGAAAGUGGGGGUGAAGGAGAAUAUGAUGAGAAGGAAAGUAGGUGGAACAUCGCUUUUAAUAAUUGAGAUUGAGAAAGAGAAGAGGAUGAGGGGAUGAGACAAGGGCCUUUCUAUUAUUUUAUUUCACUGUUAUUAUGGUCGCACUCUCUUUGAUCAUCUCCUUGUCACGAAUUUGAAAUUUCUUCCAUCUCCCUUCCUUUUCACUCUUUAUCAUGUUAGGAACUUAGGGCUUAGGACUUUAGUUUCCACCGCCCACUACAACCUCCUCUCAAAUCUUCCGACACCAACUCUUCAGUUACCCAUCUAGAAACUAUCUUCUAAUGAGACCUACUUAGUCUUUCUCCUACUGUCAAUUAAAAUCGAAGAUAAAUUAUUUGUUUAUGAGAUAAAGUGUGCCUUACGAAACUUCCAACCAAUUUCAUACCAACCACUGUUAGGCCACUUGAUAUGGGUCCCAAGUGACUCGCGGUCAACACACUCUUCUUUGAAAUGAACCUCUUUUGCCCAAUUUUGACUAGUCAAAUUCACAUUCAAUCUACCACGGUACCACCUAAUAAAUUGAAAUUAAUUAUCCUCUGCUUUUUAUUUUUAUUUUUGUUUCAUUACAAAAGAAAUUUUUUUUGGCCCUUGUGCAUAUUGGAGGCGAUACAGCCCAUGUCGCUGGAGUAUUUAUUCAGUUGAUGCAAGUAUUCUGACUUAUUGAAUAACUUUUACUCUUAAAUAUUAAUGCUCACUUACCCUGUUAGAAGAAAACGAUCAUCUUGAGACUGACAAGAAAGCGAGAGGAUUCAAAAUUUCAGCCUGUUUAUGCUGUGGCAAUCAUUCGACUUUGCUGAAAAUGAUUUCUUCUGCCUAAUUUUUUGUUAUUAGUAUGUGGAAUGAAUGAGUGGAGAGCAAGAAAAAUUUUGCGCCUUCGUGUACGUGUACUGCGUUCGGAAUUGAUCAUAGGUGAGGCCUAUGAAUGUAUCAUUCUAGAUGGAAAUUAAGUACAAGUACAAAUUAAGAGAAAAGUGGAAACAAAAAGAGUGGAGAAAUGCUCAAGGCCACUUAAUUAAAUAAGCCCACAAUUAAGAAAAUGCAAUUGUACUUGUGACCCAUAUGCCCUGAAAAUAUGUGACCCAUAUGCCCCUUCAUUCUCUCUCUUAUAGGCUGUAUAUCAAGUUCGGUUAACUUUUGGAUGCUACUGCGUGUAUAUUCUAGAACAUCAAAAUGGUCGGCUGGGUGAGCUGGGAUCCUCCGGGUGAUGAUAAAGUGGGGUCCAGUCAUGGCCGCGACGUGUUUUGAUCUAACCUAUUCAAUCUGACAUCCGACGGUCAUCAAGCUACAUGCGCUUUGAACCACUUUAUUCAGCAUCAUAUAAAGGUAAGCCCGUCAUAACAAAAUAACACCUUUAGGAAAGUCAGGAUGCCUUUAUUUCUUAGGCACUUGAAAAGUCAUAGGCCUUUUUCAUCCAUUGAAGUUUGCUCAUUCAUUCAUGAUUUAUAUAUAUAUAUAGAUUUUUGUGUGUCGUAGGACCUUUAUUUAACCAGAAAGUUCCCACUGAUAAAAGGGAAGGUGAAGGUGCUCUCAACCUCGGUCAUAUUAUUUGAUUUAAAUUAUUGGCCUCGCCAGAGAUUGUUAAAUUAUGGAUUUUUCCUUUAUAGCAUAGCACCUAUCAAUUUUUAUUUCCAAAUCUCACCCUCAGUGCGAAGCCAUGAAAUGUCUUCUCUAUUCUUUUUUAAUAUAAAGGUGAAUCCAAUCAUAAAGCAGAAGGGAGAAAGUUGUGGACAUAUUCAGAAUCUGUCCAGCAUACCCAGCCAUAGACGCAGGCUUCCAAUGUGUUGUACAUAUAUGUUGAUAUACAGGGCUUCUCUUCGUCUCGAUCACCUCCCUUGCUUAAAUUUUAGCUUCUCCAAUUUUUUUAUUUUUUCUAAAUUAUUUGACCCCAUAUUGACAUGGAACAGUCAAUUUGUAACAAGUGGCAAAGUCGGGAAUCUCGAGGUAGAGUUUGGUUUUCACCCUGAAAACGCGGAAGGUUUGAUGGAGUUCCUUUAUUUCAUGUGUGACAAAUCCCCAUACAUAGCCCACAUGUUCACUCUGAUCUUAUGCUAUUAUAUUUCCGAAGGCGGUCCCGAAUUGAAAAGACUCCUUCAUCUACCAAAUUCAAUGUCACAAAAGAAUAUAAUAAAAAUAAACAUCAAAAUGCAUCUUAAAAUUUUAUCAUCUACAAUUCUCUAUUUUUUAUUUUUACCAAUAAAAUAGAUGUCAGUAAAGGAGUGGGAAGUCAACUAUCUGAAGUUAAAACAAGUCCUGCUCUUCCGUAUUCAUAAUAAAUACGAAUUUUAUUUAUAUGGUAACAGAUGAUGUGAAUUACAAAUACAAAGCGUUCGUCACACGGAACUUCUCACACAAAAGCAGAGGCCACUCCACUCACUUCAUAAUUCAUUUCUCCUCCUCCUCCUCCUCCUCCUCCUGCUUUCUCCCUCUCUUAGCUUCCUUCUCCCACCAUGACUUCAAAAGACUGCGGCAACCAUAGGCACAAGCAUCAUAAGCUGAGGCGAUGCUUCGCCGGAUUGCUUAUCUUCUUCUUCAUCGUCCUCCUCGUCGUACUCCUGGUGUGGGCAAUCCUCCAGCCCAAGGACCCACGCUUCGUCCUCCAAGACGCCACCAUCUACGCCCUCAACGUCUCCACCCCGAAUAUCCUCACCGUCAACAUCCAAGUCACCAUCACCACCCGCAACCCCAACGACAAGAUCGGCAUCUACUAUGAGAAACUCGACACCUACGCCACCUACCGCGGCCAGCAGAUUACCCUCGCGUACCUCAUCCCCCCCACCUACCAGGGCCACAAGGAGAUCAUCACCUGGUCACCUUUUCUCUCCGGCACGGCCGUACCCGUGGCUCCCUACAACGCCAUUGCACUGAAUCAGGACCAGUCGUAUGGCGCCCUCAC
rnacentral:lncRNA from 1 species